GGGAAUUGUAGUUGGGAUUAUGGGGACUGAGGGGAUGUUUGGCAGAAGGGGCAGUCCUGUUGGCAAUGUGGUAGGAAGUGGAGGAAGCGCCCCAGGCCAUGGGAAUGAUGGUCGGGAUGGCGUUGGGAGAUUAGGGAAAGAUGACAAACUUUGCGUUUGAGGCUGCUGUAGAAGGUGACGAGUUGCUACCCCAACAUCAAUGCUUGCAAAUGACAAAGCCAUCAAUAAUGCUAAAGCAAAGCAAUUGAAAAAGGCCAUUUUUGUUCAGAGAUUUCGAAACAAAUGAAGCAAAUGAAACAAAGUUCUUUAUCUGAAUAGUUGUUAGUGAGGAAAACAAAGCAUGGUAUUGAGGUUUAUAUAGGCAUUGGACCAGUGAAUAAAAAUCCCCUGCCCCUAAACAAUGCCCCAUUCAUGCCCCCAAAACAAAAUAGCGCCACGUGUUUUUUUUAUUUUUUGUAGUUUAUUUUUUAAAUAAAAAUUUAUAAUGAUUAUUAAUUUUUAACUUAUUAUCAACGUUUUUGUUUUAUUUUUAAUUUCUAUUAAUUUUACCUAUUUUUUAGUUAACAAAUUUAUAAUGACUUAGAGUUAAUUUAACAGAGUUUUUUUUAUAAUCGUUCUUAUAAUAAAAUUUUACAAGGUGGGAACAAGUCCCACAAUGACAAAAUGAUCCUUAAAUUUUGGGUGGUGGCAUGCCUUUAGUCAAAGGAUCAGCUAACAUCUGCUCAGUGUUAAUGUGCUUAAUUACAACUUGCUUUUCUUUAACAUGUUCCCCUAUUCCUAGAUACUUAAUGUCGAUAUGUUUACUUUGACUUUCACUUUUGUCGUUCUUAGCCAUAAAGACAGCAGUUGAAUUGCCACAAUAUACCAUAAAUGGCCUAGAAAUCGAAUUCACAAGUCUAAGCCCAAAAAUGAAACUCUUCAACUAUACUCUAUGUGAUGUAGCCUCAAAACAUGAAAUGAACUCAGCCUCUAUAGUGGAAGUAGCAGUUAAUGUCUACUUGACGCUCUUCCAAGAUAUCCUCUGUUGGAAAAUAAUUAUUGAGUGAUGAAUGAUAAUUGUAUCUCUUGGUUUAAUAUUGCAUUUUUCCAUACAGUUGUAUCUUUUGAAAAAAAUGUAUCUCUUGGUUUAAUAUUGAAUUUUUUCAUUCAUUGUCUCUAUUCACUCAUGUCUAUUGAUUUUUCAACAAAUCUUUUCAUUCAUUUUCUCUUCUCUAUAUAAAGCCAAGUUAGGAGAUUUCAAAAACAUAUAAUCAAAACUAUCAAUAUAAAAAAGUUCUUCUAAAUUCAUUUCUCCUGGUAAUAGAGAAAGGCAAGAUUGUGUUCAAUUAAUCACUGUUGUUGUGCUACUACUGUGAUCGUUUGUUGUUGUAUCCUGGGUUACAGACGCCCAACAUUACUCAAAGCACUGAGGAGAGGACGAAUUUGUCUUAAGGAAAUUGUUUAUACAGGCCUUGACAAAAUUCUUCUUCUAAAUUUUAACUUUGUCUGAUUACAAGUAUUCUGUUGUGUUACUACUACUGCAUUGUAUUGCAUUAUCAUUGUUAUUGACAUAUUAAUACUACAUAUGAUAUCAAAAUUUUUUACAUUCUUAGGACAUAUUAAUUGUUGUAGUUUUAAUCUAAGGCGUACAGAUUGCCAUCAUAACUUAUUUAAGAUUGGUUUAUACUUCUGUUUCAGAUUUUAAUUUAUUUAAAGAUUCUGGUUUUUUAUUCCGAUUACAGAAAUGUCUCAUACAUGAAACAACUCAUCCAAUUCAAAGGUUGAGGCGAUUGUCACUGCUCAGGCUCAGGCUCAGGCUACAAGCCAAACGUUACCUGUGACUAUGAGUCAUAAUGAAAAGACUGCGAAAUUAACUGGAGAGAAUUUUAAAACAUGGCAACAGAAAAUGUUGUUCUAUUUGACCAUGUUGAAUAUGGCAAAAAUUCUGAAGGAUGACAGUCUUAUUUUUAGAGAGGAUGAGGAUUAUGCUAUUACCGUCUUCAACAUUUUCGAAGCAUGGAACAACUUUGAUUUCCUAUGCCGUAACUACAUUUUAAAGAAUUUAUCUGAUGAACUUUAUGAAGUAUACAGUAUUAAGAAAACCGCUAAGGAAUUAUGGGAAUCGCUGGACCAUAUAUACAAAAUUGAAUAUGCUAGUGCUUAGAAAUUCUUAGUUUUCAAGUUUUUAAACUUUGUAAUGGUUGAUUCUAAAGUUGUUGUAAAUUAGGUGCAGGAAUUCCAACUAAUCAUUCAUGGUAUUUUGGCAGAAGGGAUGGAGAUAAGUGAACCUUUCAGGUGGCAACCAUUAUUGAAAAACUUCCCCUUGUAUGGAAUGACUUUAAGAACUAUCUUAAGCAUAAAAGAAAGGAAAUGAUGGUGGAAGAUCUGAUUGUUAGACUUCUAAUUGAAGAUGAUAAUCGAGGUGCGACUAAAAGGCUAAACAAAGCAACCAAUCCUAACCUUGCCAAGGUAAACGUAGUAGAAGUCAAUAAGGACUCAAAGAAAAGAAAACAUUUUCAGACUAGGUCUAAAUUAGGACCAAAAUGCAGUGUUUUCAAGAAGCCAAAAUUACAAGGAAAAUGCUUUAAUUGCAAUAAGAUGGAACACAAGUCAUCCGACUGUAGGCUUCCAAAGAGGGUCAGAAUAAACGAGGCCAACGCUGUGGAAAAUAUUUCUAAGGAAGUAUUUGAUCUUGACCUCUGCGCUGUAAUUUCUAAAGUCAACUUGGUUGAUUCAAAUCCAAGAGAAUGGUGGCUUGAUACUGGUGCCACAUGUCAUAUUUGUUGUAACAAGGACUCAUUUGUUGAGUUGGUUCCUUGUGAGAAAGGGGAGAAACUCUAUAUGGGCAAUGCUGCAACUUCCAAGAUUAAAGGUAAAGGUACUGUGAUUUUGAAGUUGGCUUCUGGCAAAAAGUUGAAACUUCAAAAUGUGUUGUAUGUGCCUGACAUACGCAAGAAUCUUAUCUCUGGGACCCUUCUAAGUAUACAUGGCUUUAGGAUGAUAUUUGAAUCCUAGAAGUUAGUUUUGUCAAAAGGGGGAACAUUUGUGGGAAGGGGAUAUGUAUUAAAUGAUAUGUGGAAACUCAAUGCUACCUCUGUAAAAGCUAAUACUAUGAAUAAGAAUAAUGCUUCUUCUUCUAUUUAUAUGCUUGAGUCAUUUGAUUUAUGGCAUGGUCAGCUUGGGCAUCUUAAUUAUAAUACUUUAUGUAGAUUAAUUAACUUAGAGCACUUUCCUUCAUUUCACAUUAAUUAUAAUCAUAAAUGUGAAACGUGUGUUGAGGCAAAACUAACAAGGUCUUCAUUUCAAUCUGUUGAAAGACAUACUGAAUCACUUGAUCUAAUACAUAGUGAUAUUUGUGACUUAGAAGUUUAUUCAAACUAGAGGAGGGAAAUGUAUAUUUGCUUAAAAGAAAAGAUGAAGCUAUAGAGAAAUUUGUUCUCUAUAAGCAAGAAGUUGAAACCCAACUUAAUAAAAUAAUUAAGAGGGUGAGAAGUGGCCGUAGUGGUGAAUAUGUUGAACCAUUUGGUAAAUUUUGUGCAGAACAUGGUAUUAUUCAUGAAGUGACACCACCAUACUCUCUCUUAUCCAAUGGAGUAGCAGAUCGUAAAAAUCGAACCCUAAAGGAAAUGAUGAACGUAAUGCUAGGAAGUUCUGGGUUGUCACAAAACAUGUGGGGGAAAGCUUUUUAUCAGCGAAUUACCUUUUAAAUAAUGUGCCUUGUAAGAAAAAGAACAAAACACCAUAUGAAUUAUGGAAGGGCAAGAAACUUUGCUACAACUACUUGAAAGUGUAGGGGUGUCUUGCAAAAGUAAUGGUUCCUUUGCCGAAGUAAAUGAAAAUAUGUCCUAAAAUGGAAGAUUAUAUUUUCAUUGGUUAUACACACCACCACAAUGCAUAUCAGUUACUUGUACAUGAAUCAAAGAAUCCUAAAAUUUACAAGAAUAAGAUAUUGGAAUCUAAAAAUACCUCAUUCUUUGACAAUAUAUUCCCUUGUAAAAACUAGGGAAGAUGGGUCAAGUUUAACAAAACGAACUUCAGAAACUAUUGAUAGUUAAGACUUUCAACAAGAAGUUGAAGUCAAGGUAGAACCAGGCAUAAGUAAAAAGGAAAGGGUGGAAAAGUCCUUGGGAUCAGAUUUUCUAACCUAUAUGCUAGAAACUGAACCUCAAACUUAUAGUGAAGCUAUAUGCUCAUCUGAAAACAUUUUUUGGGAAGAUGCUAUCAAUAGUGAAAUUGAUUCUGUCAUGAAAAAUCAUACGUGGGAAUUAAUAGAUCUACCUCAGGGAAUUAAACCACUAAAUUCUAAAUGGGUUUUCAAAUGAAAAAUGAAAGCAUAUGGAACAAUUGAUAAGUACAAGGCCAAAUUGGUUAUAAAAGGUUAUAGACAAAAGGAAGGCAUUGAUUACUUUGAUACAUUUUCUCUUGUAUCAAGAAUAACUUCUAUAAGGGUGAUAUUUGAUAUUGCCGCUUUGCGGAAUCUAGAAGUUCAUCAAAUGGAUGUUAAGAAAACUUUUCUAAAUGGAGAUCUUGAUGAGGAGAUUUACAUAGAACAAACUAAGGGUCUUGUAGCUCUAGGACAAGAAAGAAAAGUCUGUAGAUUGGUAAAAUCUUUGUAUGGACUUAAGCAAGCACCAAAGCAGUGGCAUGAAAAGUUUGACAGUGUUAUGAUAUCAAAUGGAUUUAAAAUUAAUGAGUGUGACAAAUGUGUAUGUCAAAACCAUUGUUGAUGGAUAUGUAAUUCUAUGUUUAUAUGUUGAUGACAUACUCAUUGUUGGAAGUAACAAUAAAAUGGUAAAGCGUACCAAAAACUUGUUAAAUUCAAGAUUUGAUAUAAAAGAUAUGGGACUUGCUGACGUGAUAUUGGGUACCCAAAUCAAAAGGUCAUCUGAAGGGUCUCGUAUUGACUCAAUCACACUACAUAGACAAGAUUCUUGAUAAAUUUGGCAAAGAUGAUUUUGGUGUUGCCAGACUCCGAUAGAUAUAAAUCAACAUCUAUCCGAAAACAAAGGUGAAAGUAUUGACCAAGUAGAAUAUGCAAGAGUCAAAGACAGUCUAAUGAACCUUAUAAGUUGCACUAGACUUAAUAUUGCUUUCACUGUAAGCAACUUAAGUAGAUUCACAAGCAAUCCAGGGGAGAACCACUGGAAAGUGAUUGUGAAGGUACUGAUAUGUCUCAGAUAUACUUAGAACUACAGAUUACAUUAUUCCAGAGAUCCUGCUGUGUUAGAAGGAUUCUCUGGUGCUAGUUGGAUAUCUAAUAUUCAAGAUGCCAAAGGCACAAGUGGUUAUAUUUUCACAUUGGAAGGAGGAGCUGUGUCAUGGAAAUCCUUAAGGCAAACGAUUAUAAUAAGAUCCAUAAUUGAAUUUGAGUUUGUAGCUCUAGACAAAUCUAGAAAAGAGGCAGAAUGACUAUGAAACUUUUUAGAGGAUAUUCCUAAAUGGCCAAGGCUUGUGCCCACAAUAUGCAUAUAUUGUGAUAACCAAGCAACAAUUGGUAGAGCACAGAAUGUAAUGUAUAAUGGUAAGUCGAGACACAUGCGUCAUCGACACAAUACCAUUAGACAAUUAAUCUCAACUAGAGUUAUCUCUAUUGAUUUUGUAAGAUCAAAAGAUAACACUGCUGAUUUGUUAACCAAAGAGGUAAACUGAGAUCAAGUUGAUAAAACAUCGAAAGGAAUGAGACUAAAGCCUAUGAAUAUUUAAGGCGCUAUGUGAAGGAAAACCUAACCUAGUUGACUGGAGAUCCCAAGAUCUAAGUUCAAUAGGAAAACCUACUUGCAUAGACCUUGUGAGGUCACUGUGGGGGUUCUUAUCUUGAGUUCAUUCCUAUGAUGAAAACAAUGAUUAAAAUGUGGAAAAGGUUAACCAAUGCUUUUAAUGACCAUUGUUUGUUUCAGUGAAACAUACAACAUAAGUCACCUAUGUGAGAGUGAAGUGAAUUCGCUUCAAGGAGACUAUUGGGGCAUAAUUCUCUAAGCUCUUGUAGAACCAAGAGGAUGUUCACGGCUAUAUGAACAUACCCAUGAGAACCAAAAAUCUUGCCAGGGAGGUAUUUGUGUGAGGAACAUUAUCGUUUACACAAACGGUAAAACAGUUCAAGGACAUCGCGUCUACUGGUUAGCUGGUAAAGUAAAUAUACUUUCACAAGGGAAGGUUCAAAGGUUGAUGCCUACCUAUCCUAUGCAAAUAUCGAAUGUAGAAUCUAUUACCUCUUUGAGUCUUGUUGAUCCAUCAACUUCAUUUAUGUGGGGGAUUGUUGGAAAAUAAUUAUUGAGUGAUGAAUGAAAAUUAUUGAGUGAUAAAUGAUAAUUGUAUCUCUUGGUUUCUUAUUGCAUUUUCCAUAUAGUUGUAUCAUUUGAAAAAAUGUAUCUCUUGGUUUAAUAUUGAAUUUUUUCAUUAAUUGUCUCUAUUCACUCGUGUAUAUUAAUUUUUCAACAAAUCUCUUCAUUCAUUUCCUCUCCUCUAUAUAAAGCCAAGUUAGGAGAUUUCAAAAACAUAUCAUCAAAACUAUCAAUAUUAAAAUUUCCUUCUAAAUUCAUUUCUCCUGGUAAUAGGGAAAGACAAGAUUGUGUUCGAUUGAUCACUAUUGUUGGGCUACUAUUGUGAUCGUUUGUUGUUGCAUCCUGGGAGACAUACAUCCAACGUUACUCAAAGCACUGAGGAGAGGAUGAAUUUGUCUUAAGAAAACUAUUUAUACAGGCCUCGACAAAUUUCUUCUUCUAAUUUUUAACUUUGUCCGAUUACAGGUAUUCUGUUGUGUUACUGCUACUGCAUUGUAUUGCAUUAUCAUUGUUAUUGACAUAUUAAUACUACAUAUGAUAUGAAAUUUUCUUACAUAGCUCCGCCAGCAAACAUAAAUAUAUAACCUGAUGUUGAUUUACGUGAAUCAACACAACUAGAAAACUCUAAAUUGGAGUAGGCAAUCACCUUCAAAUUGCCUUAUUGUUGGUACGUAAGUAUGUAGUCCUUUGUCCCUUUAAAACAUCUCAAAAUUUUUUUUGUAGCUCUCUAGUGGCCAAUACCUGGAUUACUUUGAUAUCUUCCUGUCGAGACUAUAGAGUAGAAUAUUAAAAAAAAUGGCUUGAUUUUCCAUUGAUUAAGAAGGAAUAUAUAUACACAAAUUGGGCAACAUAUAUAGGAACUAUUCUAAAUUUAGGGGAUUGCAACUAAUUACAAUAUAGAGAACAUCUUUUGGAAUUAAUUCUCUAAUAUGCCCCCUUAAGAUAUAGCUUCGGAGGAGACACCAAUCUUGGCCUUUAAUUCUUGGAAGUGUUUUUGUGCAAGCGGUUUGGUAAGAGCAUCAACAAGUUGAUCUUUUUAAGAUUCUAUAGAGAAAAGGAUGGAGCAAGGUUUCUGGUUCCAUUCUGAACAAGAGCAUUAAAGUCAUCAGUCAUAGCUUGUGUCUGAGAUCUUUUAAGGCUUGGUUAACAGUAUGAGGCUCAACGUUUGAUCAUUGAGGAAGGAUAGCAGUGAGAGUCAUAUUGGUUAGGGGUUUGUGGAUGUUGUUUUUUGCUCUAGUGGUCACGGGAUAAGUAUUUUUGAUGGGUGGGUUGAGUUGUGGUUGAAGUAGAGUUAGUUUUAGAAUUGUGUAGUUCAAGCUAUAAACUUUUAAUUAAACUAUGUCCAAGUAAGAGAGAUUUGAGGACUGGGGUGAGUAAUCGAUUGGUAAGGGGGGUUGGGAAACCGUUUGGGCAUGUAGUGAUGAAUGUUGACAUGAGGAAUCCUUUUGUGGAGAUGUAUUGAGUGAGCUACGUGAAAUGGGGAGAAUUUGGAUUAAGGGAAGCCAUUUGGAAAUAAUCUCUGGAGUGUUACAAGAUAGAUGUGACUGGUGAGUAGUAAAGGGAAAGGAGUUUUCAAGAAAUUUGACAUGAUGAGAAAUAUAUGUUUUAAAAGUGGGCAGGUUAAGACAGAUAUAGACACUUUGUGUGGAAGAGUAACCAAGAAAAACACAAGGUAUGGAACGAGAGUUAAGUUUAUGUUGAGAAUAAGGAUGAAGCCACAGAUAACAUAAGCAGUCGAACACCCAAAGUUUAGUGUAGUUGGGUGGAGACCCAAAGAUUUUUUCANNNNNNNNNNNNNNNNNNNNNNNNNNNNNNNNNNNNNNNNNNNNNNNNNNNNNNNNNNNNNNNNNNNNNNNNNNNNNNNNNNNNNACUUAAGGAUCUUGUUUCUUAGGCAAUUUAGUAUUUCAUAUUAUGUUUUCAGUAUUGAGUACUUAGGAUUAAAUAUUAGUAAAAUAAGUGUUUUAGACACAUUUUGUGAAUGUUGUGACCUAUUAGGCUGACACGGGCCUUAGGUAGUGGUAAUAUGUUAAAUUGAGUGUGUAGGAUUGAUCUAUUGUAAUUUGGUGUAGUAGAUUAAACUAGUUUUAAUACUUAAGGAGCUUAAAUAUGAAAAGUUUCAUUAUGUUUUAGUUAGUUUUCUUAUUGUAGUUUGAAUUCAAUAAAAAGUGUAAAAUGAGUCUUUUUAUGACCUUUGGGGUCGAAUGAGACCUAAAGGUGAGCUAACGUACUUAGUGAGUGUGUAGGACACCAUUAAAAGGAAUAGGAACUUAAGGGAAAUUCAAUGUCGCAACAUAGAGAGCAGAAUACAAGAAUUACAAGACUGCCUUUGGUGUCACAACAUAGCCAUAGGAUGUCACGACACGCCCCUGAAUCUAAACUUGAACUAGAGUACACUGCCUUCAAUGUCACGGCACAGGCACUGAGUGUCACAACACCGACUUUGCAUGAGAAGAAUUAAGAGCGAGGGGCAUUUUAGUCCGCACAAUGAAAAUUAACACAAAAACGUCAGCCAACCUAGGAUUAAUGAUGAUGACAGAUCCUAACUCUAUAAAUAGGCUCAGUUAACACUUGUUUAGGGACAAUUUUUACAGUUUAGAAUUAUCUUUGUAAUUUUAGUUUUAGUUUUCUUUUCUUUUGGCUUUAGAUUUCUUUUUAUUUAUUUACGUUCGUGUUCUUCAGAUAACUUGAUUUGUAGACCCAAUCAAACUAUUGUGGAUUUUUACGCUUUCAUCAGUCAAAUACAAUCAGGAUUCUCUUAACCUUUAUUCUUGGUUUAUUCUUUAUACAUAUCUUAUUUAUCAAGUUUAUUGUGUUUAUGGAUUCCAUGAGGAACUAAUCCUCUUAUGGGACGUUAGUUAGUGGAGGUGUGAUUAACUAAUUACUAUGUAGGGUUCUUUUAGCGGAUUAGUUUUUUAGGAGAGGAAGAAAUUAAACCAUAGGCUUGACGACUCUAAGAAGUCAGUUAGGUGGGAAUUAACUCAAAAUUGGUAUGGCCUAUCUGUGAACACCUUAGCCCCGAAUCGGUCUAGACUGUGAAGUCGAGAGAUAAGUAGUCUUUCCCAACUCAUUUGUUUAGUGGAAGAUCGAGAGAUCCUGUUAGGGUAAUGACUAGUUGAUUGAAUAGAAACCUAAAAUAGGAAUUAGUUAAGAUCACUGAAAUGAGCUAAUUACCCAUGCAUAGAUUUGAUUAAGUUUAGGUUUCAGUUAUUUGAAGUUCACUUUAUUUAUGCCAUUUUUAUUUAUUUAUUUUUAAAAACCUUAAAAUCUCUUCUUUAUGUUUUCUCGCAAUAUAAUUUAUGUAAAGUACUAAUUAAUUCUAUUUGUGUUUAGGUUAACUUUAAUUUAGUACUCGUCUCCCUUGGGUACGAUCCUUAGAGUACUCACCUACUUUGUUGUAAAAAAUCUAUUACAACCUGACUCGUAUACUUAUGGACCCCACCUCAAUAUUAUAUCUUUAGUUGCAAUAUUCACACUCUAGACGUUAGUACAUCCAGAGGCGAUCAAGUUGGCGUCGUUGUUAGGGAGGCAAAACUACUAGAUUAAUUUUAAUUUUUGUGUUUUUAUAGAAUAAUUAAGAAAUUUAUAAAUUAUAUAUACAAUUUUUUCACUUUAUUUUCUGUAGCGCCCUAUUCCUAACCCUUAAGGAGGAUCUAGGAAUAGCGUGUUAUAGCCUUAAAGUCUUUUCCUUACAGAAAUGUAUUUGGCGGAACCUUAGGUUUUACAAAAAUAGUUAGGUAUAUGCUAUAGCAGUAAUAUAUAAAACAUUUAAGCUUAAGGACCCAAACACUUUUAAAACAUAAAACUUCAUUGUAAAUAUUUAAAGAAAGAGAACAGUUUGGCGAACACAAAUUUUAGUUACAAAAUAUUGUUCUUCAAAUUUCAAGCAUUGACACCACCCUCAUUUGUCAUAUGCAUAAUACAAAAUCACUAGAAGCCUCACACAAAAUGUAUCCUCUGGCAUAGUCCUUGAAGGUUCCUUUUAUUUCUUCGGUGGUCAUGAGAAGGGAAGAUAAACGGAUUAAGUUCAUAGAACUUAGUGAGUUAUAGAGUGACCAUUAGGAUAUCUAUACGUCACAGAGAUAGAAGGACUCUUUCCAACUCAGUGGAUCAUACAGUUCACCCAUUGGUGAAUUCACCACACAAAUUGACUUCAUGUAGCUCGCCUAUUGGUGAAUACUGAACUUACACAAACUUUAAUAGAAUAGGACUCAUUUUGGUGCAUACAUUGCGUCCAUGUAUUCAUGCAGACAACCUCCAUCGUGCUAGCCAAAAACCCUAAUAUAUGUUUAGAGAUCGUAUCGUUUGUUCAUUGCUUUUUCCUCUGUUAUGCUUUGCCAAUUUGGUUUGCAUUACACUCUCCCUACUAGAGGCUACAUAACAUCAUUCAUGUAUUUCGAUCUGUCGGUUCAAUGCUUUUUGCAAUGAAGGUAAUACCAUGAAUUCAUUUCUUUUGUUUUGGCCAUAUGGUUCCUUUUUCAGAGUAAGGUGGGUAAUGACUCAGAACGAAGUAAGGCCCUUUCAUUUCUUGCAUAGACAUGCAAAGCCAGACUUUUCACCAGACAUGUAAACUUACCUUGAACGAGGCAUGUACAACACACACAUUGGGUAUGAAGGAACUCGCCAGAAGGUGUAGUAGAGACUAAACAAUAGGUCCCUUGCCCUUUUCUUGAGAGCCUUUAGGAGUUUCUUGAGCUAUAACAUAAAUAGUUAACUUAUUAGACCAUGUUUUCUGAAGAACUAAACAAACUUUCAAGAACACUUAAUUAAGAAACCCGAAUCUAAAAGUUUCCUUCCUUUAAUCUUUAGUCUGUCUGUAAUGUAUGAAACCCUAGGAUCUUAUAAAUAAUAACAAAAAUAGCUAUAUUUUCAUCAUUAUUUACCAGGUUUUACGAUGCUUAAGUUAGUUGAUUACAAUGAGUUCUAAUCCUUCAAACAGGCCUUGGCUCUAACGCUUUCCCGAAAAAUGCAGAGAAAAUUUUGAAAGGAAGUAUGAAUUGCCAGAGAAAGUAUAGAAAUUGCUUAGGAAGCUAAGGUUGGCUUAUAUAGGUGCACAAGAAAAGGAAAACUUAGUGGACAAGCUUAUUUCCCUCCGCUAACUUUCUUUUGGUACCUGUGACUAAUAGUUUUCUCUUUCAUCUUAAAUGCAUGUCCUUUCAUUUUCAGAAACUUUGUCCAAUCCUGACUAGUGCUCAUUAGGCCACCUAAAUAGUUUAAGCAAAUAAUAAAAUAACAAUAUAUUUAUCGUUCCUACUAGAUUAGGGAUUUAACAAUAGGACUUACUAUUUUCAUCUAGUCGCUGGGGCAAUGAAUACUUUAUCGAAGAGUCUAGCAAACCUCAACGCUCUCCUUAAUCAGGGCUUUGUCCAAGGGCGUAUUCGUAGACCUUAAGUACCUAAUAAAUUUGUAAUCAUUUUCUUACUCGGGGGCCACAUUAUAAGCAUAAGUUCAAUUAACAUGACUCAGGUACUACACUUCGUCGGGCGAGAUGUUACAACUCUCCCCCGCUUAGGAAAUUUCGUACUCGAAAUUCAUACCUGAAAACAAUUAUAGAUAUUGUUCUUUCAUUAUGCUCUCCCUUUCCCAAGUGACUUCCUUAGUUUUAUGAUUCCUCCAUAGUACCUUUACUAAGGGAAUUCUCUUAUUCCUCAGCAUUUUAAUUUCCUUGGAUAAAAUACGGAUUGGCUCUUCCUCAUAAGAUAGGUUUGGUUCAAUCUCAAGCUAUUCAAUUUGUACCAUGUGCUCAGGGUUGGAUCUAUUCCUUUGCAACACUAACACGUGGAAGGCGUUAUGAAUCUUAGAUAGUUUAGGAGGCAAAGAUAAUUUAUAUGCCACUGGAUCACAUCUUUCCAGAAUUUCAUAAGGUCCCACAAAUCUUGGGCUUAGCUUUCCUUUUUGGCCAAAUCAUAUAAUCCUUUUCCAAGGGGAUACCUUUUUAUAAUAUUGAUUGUUUUUCCCUCUUUUCAGAAACAUAGUGAAUUCUUCUUCACUAUUUACUAUCUCUAACAAAACCUUUCACUAUUCAUUCUGCAAUGCCCUAAAAUUUUGAGAAUUUAAUUGUGAGAAUCUGCAGUAAUUAAUUUCUAUAUCUGUGGCUCUGUGUUCUGCUAUCGUGUUUAAGGUCUGGAGUUGGAGCCGCAUCGUUAAAAGUUUUAUUAUUUUUAAAACAACCCCUAUCCAUGCGUUACAAGUUAAGUGCAAUUCUGUGUGAAUCUAUGUCAGGAAUGAGCCUGUUGGUUCACUGGUUAAGCAUCUGUAUUCUAUAUGGUCCCGAGUUCGAAUCCCAUCAUAUGCAUUAGGAAAUAUUUUUCUUGUUGUCGGAAAACUUGCUGGUGGUUAAGACAAUAUGUUUCAAAUGUUCUUUUUCUUUUUCUUUUCCUCUUACGAUUUUCUUCCUUCCCUUUUAUUUUCUUUUUCCUCUUCUUUUGCUUUUGUUUUUUUAUAUAUCGUUAGAGCUCUGUUGAUGAUAGUUAGACUCUCAUUCUGAUUUGUUGUACGAGUUAGGUAAGUACAUCUUUUGUGAUAUCAAUUGUAGUAAUUCGUUAAGAGUUCUAAGAACGACGGUGUCAUAUUAUUGGUUGUUUGCGUUAAAGAAUGAUUUCGCAUUGUUAAACGAUAUUGGUUCCUUAUUUUAGGAAUAGGUGUUGGAAGUAGUGAAUCUUGGCAGGAUAAUUUGAGUAGUCACAAGUAAUCUUUCGGUAGGUGACAAUUUUGUUGAAGGUUUUGUGUCGACAUAAGUUUUUGUGUUUAAUUAUGCUUCAUUGGCGUUAAGGUCGGUUGAUUAAACGAUUGGAUGGUUGUUUUAGGUUUCAGGGACUCUCUAUAUUCGUAUUACUUCAAAAUCUCUUCAGGUGCGUAUUGAAAACCUUAAAUUCUGUGAUUUUCGGACGCCAAAAAAUGUGGCAGUCAAUGCCACACGGCUAGCUACAUGGGCGUGUGCCAGGCCAUGUGGGUGGCCGUGUAACUCACUGUUCAUUGAUUUGGAGCCAUACAAGUAAGGCACAUGGGAAUGUGUCAAGGCCGUAUGUGGCAUGUUAGUGUAGGGUUCACACGGGCAAGGACACGAACGUGUGUCUAAGCCGUGUAACUCUCUAUUUGUGACUUAGGGCCACACAGCCAGGGACACGGACCCGUGUCCAGGCCGUGUAACUUACUGUUUAUGUUUUAGAACCACAUGGGCAGAGGACAUGGGCACGUGCCCAGGCCGUGUGAGUCACACGGUCAAGGACAUGGGCGUGUUUCUAGGCCGUGUGGCAUAUAAAUAUGGUCUGAAUCUUGUUUUUGAGGCCAUGAGUGUUGCCCAACACUAAUAUUGACCUCCCCAAUGUGUGAAUGAUCUAAAUUUUUUUGUCUGAGAACUUUUUGAUGCUCUAUAACUGACAUAUGAAUAACAUAAUUGUGUAUGUACUAUGAUAGUUAUUUUUGAUAUUGAACUGUUCUAUCUAAUCGUGAAAUAAUUUAGAAAGACUGGACACAUAUUGUGUAUAUUUGUACUUUGCAUUUGCAUGGGUUAGGAUAUUGUGUAGAAGGAAGUAAUAUGCUCUGAAUUAGUGGUUAAGCCACAAUGCGUAUAAUUUUGAAUUUGGCGAUUUGUCGUAUUUUGAUCUAGCAGGUAAGCUGCGCCUCUGUAAACGUGUCAGACAUACACUCUAUGGUGUGUAGUGUUGGUUGGGCAUUGAACACCCUUAAUGGUGUGUUAGGAUGGCUAAAGACGGUGUGUAGAGGAUGGGGUUAGUAAUAUUUGCAUCCGAAUCUGAGCUGUUCUGUAUGUGAAAUUGAAAUUGCUUCUGCAUAUGCAACUGAUCUGUUCUGAAUCUGAAUUGAAAUUUUUUUCUAUUACUAAAACGAAUCUUGGGAUUCGAGAACUAUUUGAUAAAUUGUUCUAAUUGAAUGAACGUCUUUUAUGAACUGAGUUCACAACUCAUUUUUUUUUAUUGGAUUUCAAGUGGUUUUCAGACUUGAAUGGGUCGGCACCGCGAGAGUUCGGUCAAGCUUUUAUCUUUUCUUUAAAUACUACUAUUAGGGGUUUUGGUAUUCUAUGAUAUUAUGAUGUUUGAGAAGAUUCUAUACUUAGUUAAUCGUGGUGUUUAUAUUUUGUGCUGAAUGGUUAUUUUGACUACGUUAUAAAUGCGGUAUGUUUAAUGUUGAUGAUGUAACCCUCUGGACUUGGUUUGGACGUCUAGGCCGAUUUUAGGGUGUUACACAUUCUUAAUAAUUAAUACAAUUGUAACUAAGAAUUAAUUACAUUAUUCUUACUAAUUAUUAGUUUUGUAACUCCUAUUCUUGAAACAUUAUAAAUAGGAGUCUUUCAUAAUAGGUGAAAGGACUUUUAGUACUUUUGGCAUUUUCAUCAUUUUGAACUCUCAAAGUGUUCUCUUUGAAAUUCUCUUAACUUACUUCUUUGUUAAGCGCGAUCGGCAGCCAUAUUUCCUUUUUCCACUUUACUGACUAUCACCUACUGCUGCUAUUAGUGCAAUCGGAUCUUCUCCAGUCUUUCUUUUUGCCUUCUUUUAGUAUAUCUCUUUCACUUGUUUGCAGUGCUUCCUCUCUCUAUCAAAAGAAUCCUCUACACCUAUUUAUACCAAAAUCUUCUAACACCUAUUGGACCACAUUCCUAAUCAUCAUUGGUUAUCUACACUGGCCAAACCCCAUUAGUCGAAAAGAGGUUGUUUAACAUGAAUAGGGGUGCUCUAACACCCAUAGGUGUAGUGCCCCAGGUAUGCUGUGAGGUGGUUAAAUCCCCACACACUCAAUUCAGGCAUCCAGGUAGGUAAUCAUCUACCUGGCGUAUCUAAAAGACCCAUUAGGGAUGACAAGAUGUUGUCGGCACCUCGUCUAGUGGCCACGCAACUGGCUUGCCUGUCUGUUACCUUGUCUUGAGCAUAUUCACACCUACCUAGUUCAGAUGACCGUGAAUGUUGUUUAAUUAGGCCCUUGGCUUCCAAGAGUAAUUCCUUGACUCUGGUAACUUGCAUGCUCCUUGAGAAUGUCCAAAACUUAUUUAUCAAAAGAUUCCCGAGCUGCGGGUUUAGUGUUUCUUUGACAAUCUUCCUUGUCCAAUUGCUCCCUUGUAGAUCAUUCCAAACACCUCAAUCUCUUAGGCCAUGACAAGCUCCUUUAGCUUUAGUGAGUAAGAACUCACUCCAGUGUGAAGAUGUUUUUACAAAUAUAGCCCCACUUGUUUUUCUUUUUCAAUCUUUCCUUUAUUUUAUUGGAUUUAAAGGUAGAUAAUGAUCAGGUAAUUUGUUUCCCUAAUGCUUUUAUCAAAACAAAAUAUAGUUUAACUAUUUUUGAAUACAAAGUGAACACACGAACCUAUCCUAUGAACACCUAAUCCAAAUAGAUUUGUCAAUUGGUUGAGUUUGGUUAGUUUUGGUGUGAGUCAAUUAAUUAGAUCGAGUUUAUUUGGUUCUAAAGCUUUUAGGCCAAUUCAGGUUUGGAUAUAAGCUUGCCUCCAAGUUAAACUUGUUGUAUGGCAUUAAGUUACCUACAUGCAAGAAUCUGGAAGUUAGACCUAUCAAUUUGAGGUGGUAGUUGUUUUUUUAUAAGGAUGAAAAUAUAUGUUGCCAUUCUAAGUUACUUGUUAGUUGAAGUACAAAAUUGUAAAUGGAAGUGUGUUAUUGUAGCGAUUAGUAUGGUUUAACACUGCGAAAAACUGUGCAAACAAAACUAUAUAACACCAAGGAUUCCACUAUCUUUGAUUGAAAAUAUAACAAGUGAUUCACACUCUAUCACUCCUCAAGUAUAGAGAUCUCACCUUUCUACCUAAAGACUAGAGCACUUACCUCUAAAUUCUCAGCAAACACUCAAGAAUGUUUACAAUAACAGUUUGCACUCUCUCAUAAAACAAUUCCUCAAUGAACAUAUUAAAAUGCUCUCAAUAAGCUCUUAUAAAAAACCAAUACAAGCCUUCAAAUAUAUAUAAAUUUUGGCUACCUAACAUAGAAUCUAAGUGAGUAUAAAGUAACUCCGUAACCUCCUUAACCCAACCCAGAAGUUAUUGUUGGAUUCUGAAGGCCAUAUUGGCCACUGAAAUGACGCAAUAAAAAAAAUGACCAGAUUCUCAGAAACUUCCUUUUUAAAUCAUUUGCCUAUUUUAUUUCAAAAAAAUUGUAGUGGGCUUAUCUUAUUUUUAUUAUUCUUUUUUUUAUUUAUUAAAAAAACAUUUUUACAUGCUUAUAAUCACCAAUGUGUAGGUUCGUCCAAUUAUCUAACUUAACUAGUUUUAAUGAUAUUGCAUGCAAAAUACCAAAAUAACCCAGAAUAUCAAACGCAUACCAAAUUCUAUAUAAAAAUUAUUACAGUCCCAAAUAGUGAUAAAAAUUAUAAUAUUAAACUGAAAAAAUGAGACGAGACCUCCGAAUGCCGAGUUCAGGUCCUAACCUGUCAGGUAACCUAUAAGAUAGUUAUAGGGUUUGGGAAGCAAAAAUAAGCUGAAAAUAAAGAUAUGAGAGGGGAGGGAAUCGAAAUCUAAUCUCAAGGAUAAUUUCACUAACACUUAAUCAUUCGACUAGUAGCUCAUUUUCAUUUUAUGCUAACAAACACACAUAAGAUAACAUUAUAAAAUCGGGGCGUGACGACUCUCCCCUCCUUAGAAGAAAUUUGUCCUCAAAAUUUCCUGCUGAUAUACUAGUCACUUAGCCACAAAGUCUGUUAUCCUUCUUUUCAACCCAAACCAACACUUUUUCACUGCACAACUUUGAUUCCAACGUAAUUCUAGGCAAAACUUCACCCUGAACUUCUACGAACAUCUCUUAAAGAACUAAUUACAGAAACAUCACUAAUAGAUUCCUCCACCCCAAAUUCCCAGUUUUAACAGAAACAUUAUUAACAUCAAACAAUUGAGUAAAACCAAUAUUAAUCAAUACAAAGUACAAAUUUUGAAUGGAUCAUAAAAUUACCUGCAUUGAUAUUGGAUACGUCUCGGUCCUCUCAAUGCCUAGCUCCAUAAAUCAGUGUCGGCUAUCUAGCUCGAUUUUGAUCGGACCCCUCAAAAAUAACUUUCUAGCUUUCUGAUUUUGAAUCUGAUUCUAAGCUUGCAUCUGACCAGGAGGAUGACGUGGACAAUCUUUUAUUUGAUGCUCGACAGACUCACAUCUGAAACAUACACCAAUCUUUUUGUAACACUCACCUAGAUGUCGCUUAUCACAAUAUCUAAAAACCUGAAUCCUUAUUAAUCUAAUAGAACCUCCAGUAUUAGCUCCUACAUUAAAUUGUUGUGGUUUCCCUUCUCUAGACUAUAUCAAGGGUCGUAAAUAUAAGCCAGUAGGUCAUGAAUCCCUCUCAUGUUGAACUCUAUUCUUUUCCCUUUCCUCACUUUCCCAGUGCUUAGUCUUCUCAAUAAUCUUGGUUUUCUCAACCGAGGCCUCAAACACUCUUUCCUGAUGCAGGGCCACUUGGAUUUUCAAGUCAUAUCUCAGCCGAUCUUCAAACUGUAGGUUCUUGUCCUUCUCAGUCAUCAGCAUACCCAGAGCAUAACAGCUCAAUCUAAAAAACUUAGCCUUAUAUUUGGCUAUUGACAUGUCUUAUUGCUUAAGUUCUUUAAAUUCAAACCGACGGGCCUUGACAUAUGAAGUAUCCACAUAUUUCUUUUGAAAGGCCUACUAAAAGUAGGUACAAGUUAUAUGAUGAGCCUGUAUACCUCUAACCAGUGAUUACCACCAACGAUAGGCUUCGACCCUUAGAAAGGGCACAGUACCUUUAACCUUCUAUUUUGGAGUGCAGUCCAUAUCCUCUAGAAUCUUUUUAGUGGUCUCUAUCCAAUAUUCUACCACUAUAGGGCUUGUUCAAGAAGACCCCUAAAUAAUUCGGCCUUAUUAGAUCGUAGCCUCUCAGUAAUAAGCCCACUGUUUCCAGUCCUAGUCUGGGCUUUUUUCCAGCAACCCUUUGUAAAACGCUUAACAUGGCUUGGGUCACAGCCUCAUCCCAAGACUCUUGAUUUUCACCUUCAGCGAUAAGCGCAUCAACGGUGUUGUUUGUCUUUAGGUCAGGCAUACAUCCUAAAGAAGAAAAUGACUCAACUUUAGCCACUUGACAUCGCCCUUCACGGGUUCGCAUACCACGAGCUCGUGUACCACUAUAUUCAUAGCUGAUUAUACGGUCUUAAGUUUUAUCUACAGUUUGAGAAAGAUACAAACUCUAAUUAAUUCUUGAAAGUUUUCAGUUCUAAUGUUUACAUUUUUAAGCAACACAAUCCUUAGUGUUUGUAUAUAAUUUCACGCGUACUAUGAGGUCCGACAUUCAUUUUUUAAAAUAACACUGUCUUUUUUCCAAAUAUUAUGGCAUGUUUUUUUCCAGAAUACCACUUUUCAAAAUCAUGCAAGCAAACUCAUUUAAAACCUCAGGCUGAGUUUAUGAACCAAGCUUUGAUACCACCAAAUAUAACCUCCCUAACCCGACCCGAAAGUUAUUGCCAAAUCCUAAAGGCCACAUUGGCCACUGAAAUGGCUCAAUAAAAAAAUCAGAUUCUAAGAAACUUCCAUUUUAAAUCAUUUACCUAUUUUAUUUCGAAAAAACUAUAGUGAACUUCUCUUAGUUUUAUUUUUCUCCUUUUUAUUAAAAAAAUUCUUACAUGCUUAUAAUCACAAAUUUGUAGGUUCGUGCAAUUAUUUAACUUAACCAUUUUUAACGAUAUUGCAUGCAAAAUACAAAAAUAACCCAUAAUAUCGAACCCAUACCACAAUCUGUUUAAAAAUUAUUACAGUCCCGAAUAGUGAUAAAAAUUAUAAUAUUAAACUGAGAAACUGAUACAAGACCUUCGAAUGUAGAGUCCAAGUCCUAACCUCUUAGGUUACCUAUAAGAUAGUAAACUAAGGGAAUAAGCUAUAAAGCUAAGUGUGAGUUUUAAUCAUAAGAAAUCAGUGUACCAUAGAUCCCAAAAGCAUGCAAGUAAACAGAGAGAAUAUCUUAACAGUGUCAUAGAUCAUAGUGUUUCAGAAUAUACAGAAUCACAGAGUUUUCAUCAUUUAUGAACAUGUCCCUGAAUGUCAAUGUAGUUUCCAACCCAUCAAUCAGCUCAUUUUGUAUAAACCACUAGUAACAGUAAAUAUUUACAAAUAAACUACCAGUAAUUUACGGUUAAACCACUAGUAAAAAGUUAGUAGACAGACCGCUAGAACUUCAAACAAUACUCUAGUGUUGCGGCUAUAUCGCUAGAACUCUAAUAUUUGUGGAUAAACCACUAGAACUCCCAUAUUUAUGGAUAAACCACCGGAACUACUCUGUCACCAAUCUUCCCAAUCCCAUGCAACAGGAUGGCAUAACAUGCAUGAAAGAAUCGGAUACAAUACAAAAUAGUGGCAUGUAUUAACCUGCUAUCAGUAACUCAGUAACAGUGGCAUACUUUACAUGCGAUCAGUAAAUACAAAGCAAUAGGCAUGCUCUCAUGCAUUCAGUAAAACAAGUAAUAAAAAUACGAUAUCCUAGAUUAGCAGUUUAUACUUAUUCAAUCGUAGCAGACAACCCUUAGGCACAAUCGGGCAAUCAUAGAAGUAAGCACAAGUCACAUUCAGCUGUUAGGGAUAAGGGCACAUAUGUAUUUAAUUUACAUAGUCAAGGCUCGUGACAUUUGAUUUCCACAAUUUAGGGUUCAUGGCAUUUGGUUAAUCUUAACUUGGUGAUGCAGUCGUUGAAAGCACCAAAAAUAUCCUAUCCCUAAUAAAUAAUGAAAAAGAAUAGUAAAAGGGAAGUAGGGUCAAAUCCUCAGGGACUGGACUUGCAAAAUAUCUUGUUCCGUAAAAUCCCAGGCAGAGUCUUGCCCAAGACAACUUGCGUGCCUGAAAAAAAUAAAAUAAAAAAAUAACAGAAUUAAAUGUUUGGAUUUGAAAACGAAAAAUAAAAUAAAAACAAAUUUAAGAAUAUUGAAUCGAAAAUUAGAGAAAUUAAAAAUAGAAUUGAGAGAAAGAAAAUUCUUAUGGGAGAUUCCAGCCUCCAAUUGUCUCGUUCCACCUUGGGUUCAAUCCUCAGCUUUUAGAUGAUCCUUCCCAAACCGAAUAAGCCAGUUAUAGUGGAAGAGGACGCCUACGACCACCAGCUCCAAGGAUUUAGACUUACGAUGUGGUGGAACCUGACUCUAGCCAAGAAUCGCUUCUGUGGGAUCGUCUUAUGCUAGAUCAACGCUUCUCAAUGGCAAAUCCCACGCCAUUUUGUCUCUUGGGCUCGCCAACCUCUGACGCAGUAAGCUAACGAACCGACUGUGCAACCUUCCCAAAACAUACAAAGCGGCCGCCUUUGCAUACGUUGAAAAGCUUACUUCUUAAGGGACAUGGACGAAAGCGUCAACCCCGUAGUGCAGAGAAACGAUGAAUACUCAGCGAGGAGGCUAAUUAUGAAUUCUAAGCCUCAUGAACUCUUUUGGAGAUUUUUGACAACCUUCGGCUAGAUGAGUUUAGUGGCUCAUGGUUGUGGUACAAAAGAAAAUAAAUAAAAAAAUAAAGAUUUUAUUAAAAAUAAAUAUGAGAAGAACAAAAGGCUAAACUUUUGGGGAGAGAGUGUUUUCAGAAAAAUAUCUGGGAUCCCCUUUUGAGUCACUUCACCCCCUAUUUAUAGUGCUAGGGGGGAUAGUCUAAUCCUGCUUAAAUUCCUAAAAGAUAAAUACAUUUAAUUGAAGAUAAAUAAAGAUAAAAUAAAAUCCUAAAAAUAAUCCUUAAUAAUUAUCUCAAUAUUAAUUAUCCUAAUAUAAUUAAAAUAGAGUUUAAUAGAAUAAAAUCUCUUCUUUUUGCAUUUCAACCCUUGUGUCCUCCAUGCUUGCACUUUUGGCACCAACUUUUCCUUGUGUCACACAUUGGCCCAUUUUAUCUCUAAAUUCACGCUUUUGGCCCUUAAUUUUGCUUUUGCCUCAAAUUUAGUCCCUAUGAGAUAAAAGAUCAUAAAUAGCUCAAAUUAGCAGGAUCAUACUCAGAAUAAAUACAUAAUUAAUACAUAAAAAUACGUUAUUCUAGAGUGUUAUCACUUGGUAACAUACACAAUCGGUUAAGUCUUAUAAUAUUCACCAUACAAUCGGCCACCCACAUACACUUACUUGACAUUCAGCCAUAGCACAAGAAGACAUACAUAUUCGAACAACUUGCAAAACAUAUGCAUACAUAUUCAACCAACUUACAAAACAAAUACACACAUUCGACCAUGGUAUAAGGGUUACACACACACACACACACUCCAAUCACAAAUUUUUAGGACACAUACCUCAAUACACGUCCACAAAGCACUGUCAAUUGUUCGAAGCACCACUACGAUUCGGAUCUGAAACUUGGAUAUGAAAUACACACAAAACAAAAAAAAUAAGAUUUGGUGAAAUACCAUAAUAAGAUUUGACCAACACAAGGAAAAAGAAAUCAAAUACGAGAUUGGAUUUGAUUUUAAUAUCAACUUACUCUUCCACCAAAUUGUAGAUCUGAGAUGACAAUUGAUCAAAGAAUUCAAAUGUCCACCAACAAAAACAUUAAAUAAGCUUCGACCAAAUGCAAAUUGUGAUUUCGACAACAAUAAUAAUGAAAGAAUAUGAGGGAAAAAAUGAUGCGACAAUGGUGAGAAAAAAUCAACAGAGAUUUGACCACAAAUAGGGCAAAGUAGAAGAAAAAAUAGAGAGAAAAGAGAUGAACUGAGUGCAACAAAAAUUCGAUAGCAAUGGUGAAAAGAAGAGGUGACUCAAAUAAAAGUAAAACUCGGGUUUAGGGAUAGAAGAACAGAGAAAAAAAAGAUAAAAUUAAAUAUGGGAGAAAUAGGGAAGAGGGGUGGCAACAAGAAUGAGCAAAUAAGGAAGAAAAGAAAGGCUAAACAGGAAAAAGAAAAUAUAUACUAGGGUUUUAAUAGGCUUAUGCACGACACACUCUAGGGUUUGGGAAGCAAAAUUAAGCUGAAAAUAAAGAUACGUGAGGGGAGGGAAUCGAACUCAAGUCUUAAGGAUAAUUUCACUAACACUUAACUAUUAGGCCAAUAACUCAUUUUAUGCUAACAAACACACAUAAGAUAAAAUUAAAAAAUCAGGGCGUGACAAACUCCUUAAAAAUAGUUAUUACCAUAUCAACAUUCAAAGCACAAUUAAUCAAAGAUAUUCUCUCCAAAAUCAACAAUGCAAUUUCGAUCAAAUCUCCACAUUCUAAGUGUUGAAGUUGACUCCUAUUUCAGUCAAAUUUGAGAAAUAAUAUUUCAGUUAAACUCUGUUUAUUUGUUUCAAUCAAACUCUGAUUAGUCUAGAUUAUUUUAUUAUUAUUUGACCUAUGAAUUUAGCUUCACUACACCAAAACAGGCUUUUAGCGGCGCUUUUAGUGGCGCUUGGAUAAAAAACGCCACUAAAAAUCGAGCAUUAGCGGCGCUUUACAGAAAACGUAGCUAAAGAUUGAGCAUUAGCGGGGCUAAAAAAAAGAAUUAGCGACGUUUUUGAGAAAAUGCCACAAAAAACCUAAGCCCAAUGACAUCGUUUUUUGACCUUUCGGGGCUUUAGCGGCGUUUUUGGAGAAGCGCCGCUAAUGCUCUGGGCUUUAGCGGCGUUUUUGGAGAAGCGCCGCUAAUGCUCAGGGCUUUAGCGGCGUUUUUGGAAAAGCGCCGCAAAAACAUUUUAUCUGUCUAAUUACUAUUUAAAUUGUUUAUUUAUAUUAAUUAAAAUUUAAUUUAUUUUUAAUUGAAUGUUUGUUAAAAAUGGAAAAAUUAAAAUAUUAUUAUUUAAAAUAAUUUUAAAAUUUUUGGAUACAUGACUGAUUGAUUUUUAAUUUAUAUAUUAAAUAAUUUCAUAUAUAAUUGUAAAAGAUACGAUAGUAUUAAUUUUAAAAUAUUUAAUUAAUUAUCAUUAUAGUUUAGGGUUUAAUAUAUAUGGUUUAGGGUAUAUGGUUAAUUUAGGAUUUAAGGCCGGUUUAGGAGUUACAAUUUUAAUGUUUAUAUAUUAUGGAAUUAGGGAUUAUGGAUUAGAGGUUCUGGUUUAAGGGUUGUGAUUUAGGGGUUAGGGUUAGAGAUUAAGAGUUACAGAUUUAAGGUUUAUGGAUUCAGUGUCAGGUUAGGAUAUAAGCUUUAGAUUAAUUAGUGUGGUUUAAUUUAUAUUAAAUAAGGUUUAGGGUUAGGGGUAGGGAUUCGAGUUAUGGUUUAUGGUUUAGAUUAAUUAGUGUUUUUUAAUUUAUAUAUUAAAUAAGGUUUAGGGGUUAGUAGUUAGGGGUUAGGGGUUUAUAGUUAGGGGUUAGAGCUUAGAGGUUAAGAGUUAGUGAUUUAGGGUUUAGAGAUUCGGGGCUGGGUUAAGGUUUUGUUUAGAUUAAUUAGUAUUUUUUAAUUUAUAUAUUAAUUAAGUUCUUAUAUAACUGUCAAAGAGGGGUUAGGGGUUUUAGGGUUUAUGUUUUAUGAUUUAGGGCUUAAGAGAUAGGGGUUAAGGGUUUAGGGUUUAGAUUAAUCGAUGUUUUUUAAUUUAUAUAUUAAAUAAUUUCUUAUAUAAUUAUAAAAAAGAUAAUAUUAAUUUUAAUAUAUUAAAAUUAGGAUUAUAGUUUAAAUUAUUUAAGAGAUAAUAGAUCAAUUUUAUAUAUAUUAAAUGGUUUAGGAUUUAAGGUUUACUUUAGAUUUGUUAAAUGAUGAAAUUUUAUACAAUUAAUUAAUGUUUUUAUAUUUAAAAAUAUUUAAUCUAAAUUUAGAUUAAAUGGUUUAAACCAUUUGAUAUAUUUAAAUAUUAGAUUUAAAAAAAUUGAUAAAUAAAUAAAUUCAUGUAACAGAUUGAUCAUAUGGAUAGGUAAGUAUAUAUUUUGGAUAGAACCAAUUUAUAACAAAUAAAAAUGAAAUACAAAAACUAAAAUCAUUCCACAUUGAACAUGUAGCAAAAUAGCNNNNNNNNNNNNNNNNNNNNNNNNNNNNNNNNNNNNNNNNNNNNNNNNNNNNNNNNNNNNNNNNNNNNNNNNNNNNNNNNNNNNNNNNNNNNNNNNNNNNNNNNNNNNNNNNNNNNNNNNNNNNNNNNNNNNNNNNNNNNNNNNNNNNNNNNNNNNNNNNNNNNNNNNNNNNNNNNNNNNNNNNNNNNNNNNNNNNNNNNNNNNNNNNNNNNNNNNNNNNNNNNNNNNNNNNNNNNNNNNNNNNNNNNNNNNNNNNNNNNNNNNNNCUAUUACCCUUUCCCCUCUCCCUUUCUCUCUUUCCUCUUCACCUGACCCUAUCAAAGGAACCCAGCUUUCCAUCUCGCUACCAGAUGACGAUGUUUUAAACUCCUUCUUCAUCGUUUUCUCUACUUCCCCUUCUUCUUCUACUCUCCAAUGGCUAACCGAAAAAUACGAGUCCCCACCCAUUCCACCAAACAUGUUUAUCUUGUCUUUCAGAACAAAAGAAACAACACCACCAGUCUAAGCCUAAACAGAUCCGAGCUUUCUAUUUUGGCUAAACCAAUACUAUAGCUUGUUCUAUACUGUUGGUGGGUCUGUUUGUUUCCAAAGAUAACUUCACUGCAUUUUCUUUGCUUUUUCCCAAUGGAUGUUUUCUACCUUCUUUCUUUUGGAGGUUAGUUAGCUUUUUUUCUAGGUUUUUAUUUCUAUUUGGAGUUCUUUUCUUUUGGGGUUCUUUUCUGGGUUUAAAUUUGAAACUUAGAUUGCUUUUCUGGAUCUGCUACUUCUUUUAUUUCUUAUUCCAUUAUUCAGGCAUAUAUGUUUGAUUAUGUGUUAAGGCAUGAUAGAUUGAGACCUGAUAUAUGUAUAUGUAUGUAUUAUUCACCUCAUUACCUUUGCAAGGAUUAAAGAUUGUUGAAAUUGAUAUUGUAAAUAUAAAUUCUCUAAGUGGGAAUUUGUAAUAAAAUAGGUAGAAAGAACACCUGGCCAAGGUAUUAAAGAAUGAUUUCUUACAAGUUAUUAAUAACCUGGAAAGAUAGGUGAUAAACUGUGUGGUUUAGGACAACUUGCUGUCUGAAACUUGAAAGUUUUCGCCUUUUUUGUUGUUUAAAAUAUACUUUUGAUUUCAAUCAUUUCAUAUAGAAUUCCACCAUAGAUGUUCAGUUUCUGAUACUAUCUUAUAUCGUUAAUUCGUAGUUAACAUAAUAGUUAAUACAGUACGGUGGAAGUGAGUGAGGCCCUUAUAAUCGAUUUACAGAAUGGAACUGUGCUUCGGUUGGUUCUUAUUUGUGUCUCGAUUCCUGUGAUAUUUGCUCAAGAUAUUAGUCAUGGAUCGAUUGUAGUUGAUGGAACUAUGACUGUUGCUCAAGAUGUUAGGCACAUACAUAAUUUUUCAUUCACUAUAUGUCAUAUUCAUGGUAGGCACAUACAUACAAUCAUCAUUUUUGAUGCAGUCAGUUGGUUCAAGGAAAUCAAGGAAGUGUAACUGCAGCAUUGCAACAAAUUCAGGCAUUGAUUCUACUAACUUUUUUUUGCUANNNNNNNNNNNNNNNNNNNNNNNNNNNNNNNNNNNNNNNNNNNNNNNNNNNNNNNNNNNNNNNNNNNNNNNNNNNNNNNNNNNNNNNNNNNNNNNNNNNNUCAUCUUUUAAACUUUUUUUAUUUUAUCUGAUUAAUAUCUUUUUUGAGUUUUAAUUUGUACUAUUUUAAUCAAAUAAAUAUAAUUUUGAAUGUAAAAAAACAUUAAAGAAAAAUAAAAAUCACCAUCGUUAUUAUGCUAAUAUUUUUAAAAUAAAAUCAUGGUACAAAAGAGAAAAGAUCAACUGUUCUCAGGUUAAUAAUUUAUAUUAUGUCUAUUACUUUUGGUUAUUUGAUUGUCAGUUCUCUAUAGACCGUAGAGGAAAUGUAAUUUAUUUUCUUGGUUACAGGUUGCUUUUUACCUCUGCUAUGUCAUAAUGUUUUAUAAAUUGGAUAUAAGUGACUAUUUAAUCUUUGCAUUUUAAGGAGGAACUUAUCUGUUAUUUAUUUUAGAAUUGUUUUUCUUUAGCUGAAAUAACCCUUGACAAAUGUGACAUUGAAUUCCUCACUUGUAUUAGAUUUGAUGAACUGGAGACAGCAUUGAUGGAGAUGGUUAAGCAGGACAAUCGACGCGAAUUAUGUGCUAGGGUAAACUGGAAUAUGUUAUUCAAUUUGCCAAAAUUUACAGUCAAUUGCCGACUUGUUUUUAAAGAUAAUUAUAAAACUAUGUAAUUCCUGUCAUGCAAAUCAUUUUGCUUACUUUUACCUGGCACCUUAGGCUUCUUCAUGAAAUUUAAUGUCAAUAUGCCAGAACUUGCUAAAAAACCCGUGUUUCUGGUUUUCAUGAAUCAUGAAUUGGAAGUUGCUAGUUUUCUUAGCAGUUUGAAGAUUAUUUUCUUCUAUCGAUAUGUAUGUCUUUAUGAUAAUGAUGUUUGUUAAAUAUUUCAUAGAUCUUAAUGCGAUUUGAGCAAGAUCAAAAGGAAACGGAAGAUGCUUGUAGAUUUGCCGAACAAAAUCCAGCUGCACAGAGAUAUUCGUGUUCAAGUUUCUUUUUUUUUGUUUAUAAAAUUUCCCCUCAAACAUACCUUAUUGAGGCACUUGAAUUCUCGAAUCUUUUAUUUAUGCAUACUUUUAUGUCUGCAAGUAGAAGUAUAGACGUUUUGAUAAUACAGUGGCGUCAUAUGCCUUUUGUGUUAGAAUUUGAAUUGUUCCCCCUAAACAAUUUUCUCUAUGUACAGGUUUGAUUGUGGCAUGUUUAUGUAUUCUAUAUAUCAACUUCUAUAGCAGAGGCUUAAGUCUUUGUUUUGAGCAGGUAAGUCCAUGGAACAAUUUUUUAUCCUUGUAGUUCAUGUUUUAUUUUGAUUUUUCUAUGAUUAAACUCUAGUACUCAGGGCAGUAGUUGUUGGGAUGUAAAAUCUAUUGUCUAUCUGCCUAAAUAUAUGACAAAAGGCAAAAGUACAUAUUGAAGAUACUCUCACAUGCACAUUCAUUCGUUUGAAACACGAUAUCUAGUCAUUUUUCUUUGAACUGAGUUGGAUUUUUCCAUGCUUAUGUAGGAACACAUGCCUAUGCCCUAUUUUUGUUUAAGGACCGCCAAGGAAAUUCUAAAACUGAAAGCUGAUUGAUCGGAUGUGUAUGCCGGCUUUCAUCAACUACUUUCGAAGGCCUUACUAGGAAUUGAAAUGGUGUGCAAAGAGAUUGCUUCUUCUGAUCUGAUUUUUCGAUAUAAAUACUAGACAUUUUACUGCUGUUAGUAAAAUAGGAUUCUCUUCUUAGGAUAUUAGUUUGUUCACUUGUAUUAGACUCAACAAUGGCUUGCAUUGCAUUGGUGUUGAUUUGACUUAAAUUUCGAGGUUUACGAUUUUUAAUUUUUAUUAAUUAUUUACGUUUUCUCACUUUUAUUAAUUUUUAUUUUUAUUUAAGCUUCCUUUAUUUGCCUUCUUUUAUCAUUUUCAUAGAAAAAUUAAUUUAAAUAAUAUUUUUUUAUUUAUCCUUAAAAGUAUAUUUAAAGUUCAAAAUUUAAAAAUAAAACAUAAUAUAAUAUUUAUCAUAAAAAUAAAUAUUAUUUGAUUAAAAUAAUUUUUUUGCAUGAUAUGUUUUUAGCGGCGUUUUUGCGAGAAGCAUCGCUAAAGGUUUGUUCUAUAGCGGUGUUUGUGAUAAAAAGCGCCGCUAAAGGUCAUGUUCUUUAGCGGCGUUUGUGACAAAAGCGCCGCUAAAGGUCAUGGUCUUUAGCAGCGUUUGUGGGAAAAGUGCUGCUAAAGGUCAUGGUCUAUAGCGGCAUUUGUGUGAAAAGCGUCGCUAAAGGUCAUGAUCUUUAGCGGUGUUCGUGGUCUAUAGUGGCGUUUGUGGGAAAGCGCCGCUAAAGGUCAUGACUUUUAGCGGCGUUUAUUUCUAAAAGCGCCGCAAAAGUUAGUGACGCAUUCAAUAGCGGUGUAUUUUACGACGCUUGUCAAAGCGCCGCAAAUACUUUUAUCGGCGCUAAAAAACGCCGCUAAAAGACUGUUUUCGUGUAUUGCUUAUAUGUAACACCCCAAACCCAGCCUAGACGUUAUGGCCGAAUCUGGCGAUGUUACAUAGAAAGGGAUUUAAAGACAAGAUUGUCAAGUUUAAAAACUGUUACAGUAAGUUAACUUUUAUUUAAUUCGAAAAAAAAUAGUUGAUUUGCUUUAAAACUUGUCUCUUUUAUGAAGCUUUUGUAACCAAUUAAUUUAGGGAAAUCGUUUCUAUUUACGUAAAACCUUAGUUUUUAGAAAAAAAUCAUGUUUUGUAGAGUUGCAGUUUAAAAAAAAAUCCAUAAAAACAAUAUAAAGUCCCAAAUUUAAAGCCAUCCAGUCCAUAGUUUAGAAGAUACACUACACCAGAACAGGUUUUUAGCGGCGCUUCUUAGCGCCACUAAAGGUGUUUGCGGCGCUUGUGGAAGCGCUGCAAAAAAUGCUGCUAACGACAAUGUCGCUAACAUUUGCAGCGUUUACAGAAAAAAACGCUGCUAAAGGUCAUGUUCUUUAGCGGCGCUUCGAAAAAACGCCGCUAAAGGUCAUGUUCUUUAGCGGCGCUCAAAAAAAAGGCGUCGCUAAAGAUCAUGUUCUUUAGCAGCGCAUAGAGAAAAACGCCACUAAAGAUCAUGUUCUUUAGCGGCGCUUAAAGAAAAACGCUGCUAAAGAUCAUGUUCUUUAGCGGCGCUUGGUAAAAACGCCGCUAGAGAUCAUGUUCUUUAGCAACGCUUUCUUCACAAACGCCGCGAAAAGAAAUGUUCUUUAGCGGCGCUUUCUUCACAAAUGCCGUUAUAGAACAUGACUUUUAGCGGCGCUUUUAUAAAAAACGCCACUAAUUUUGGGAUUUUUGUAAAAUAAAAUUUUCUAUUUUUUCAGCCCUCCUGUAACAACAAAUCAAAAGCAACCAGAUCUAAACCAGCCAAAAGAAAUAAAUUUAUAUAAUAUUUAAAAUUAAACGAAUAGAAUAAUAUUAAUAUCAAUAAAUAAAAGUGAAUUCAUAUUUUUCUUUACAAAAAUGUUAAAAGUUAAAAUGAUAAAAAUAUUUAUGCAAUACACUAUGACGGCUGAAGUUGCGACUGCUGAAACAUCUUCAUUAUAAUCUGAAGCUGCUGUUGAAGUUCGUCGUACUUUUUGCUCUGCUCUACUUCUCUCGAUGCCGCAUCUGCUUUAAGUUGUAUCUGGAGUUCUUCAUAUUUCUUUUGAACCUCUGCUUCUCUCGCUGCAGCUUCUGCUACCCUCGCGGCCGCCUCUGCUUUAAGUUGUAGCUAGAGUUCUUCAUAUUUCCUUUGAACCUAAACUGUGGUCGCUUGCAUCUGAGCCAUCUGGUCUUUUAACCUCUGAACUUCAGCUUGAGCCUGACUCCCCGAAGCCAUGUAUUGCUGUGAGCUUUAUCCAAAAUAUUGGGUUGGGCUAACAAAAGAUCCUUGAAAUCGAACCCAACCAUACCUUUCAGGAUCCAAAACUUUAGUAAUAAUCCGGUUAUCAAUGUCUUCAGGAUGAACAGAACUAUCACUAGAAGCAAUCGCUUCGUACUCCGCCUUUUUAUCCUUUAGUUUUUCCUAAUAAAUAAAUCACAUAGUUAGGAACGCAAUAUAUAUUAAAAAAACAAAUGCAACAUAACAAUAGUCAUAUUACAAGCAAUGAAUUAAACCAUUAGAAAAUAAAAACUAUAAAUAACUGAAACAAGUCAAAUCGUAUUAAGUAAACGUACCAUAAUUUCACCAGCUUCAGAAGUCAUAGCAGAUCCAUCUUUCUUCCUAUGUGUAAUUUCAAAAAGUUGAAGGCAUCCAACUUUUUGACCGAACGACCGUUCCUACAAUAUAGUAGUAAAAAUAUUAUUUAAUGGAAAGUUAUACAUAUUUGACAAUAUUAAAAAAUUAAAAAUACCUCCGCCUCAGCUACACAUGCAAAACUUCUCGACCCGGCUGUGUGAGUGAAUUUUUAUUUCUGCCUGCUGCUUUUCCCAACUUGUUCAUGAUCCUACGUUAUGAAAUUUUUAGUACGUAAAUAGUAAAUACUAUAAACCAAAAUAAUUACAAUAGUUUGGAAUUACGUCAUACCUCGCUUUUCUUCGAAUGCCAAAAUCUAACCGCAUCUUCCCAUUAGUACCUCAGCAUACCCGGCGGGACAUUUUUCAAUUUCUCAUCGAGGGUUGUUUUUGUCUUAUAAUAAUAUUUCUUCAAAGUACUUUUGUGGUCUCUCCAUCUUUUUCCCAAUGCCUUCUUUACAUAAGCAUCCGAGAUCUCUAAAGCAAACCUCACUUGCAAAAAACACAAGUUAAUAAAGUAAAUAUAAAUGAAACUAUUUCCCAAGCAUUACAGAUGACAUUAACAUUUUGUUACCUUAAUAUUAUCGAGGGCUUGGUUUUUGUUGCUGUCGGGCAUUUGAUGCCAUGACUCGUAGUUGAUAGGCAACAUAUUCGUAUUUCGUGCUAAAAUGCCCAUGUAUCCUGCUAAAAGUCGAGCUUCUGAUCUAACAGGCUGACCAAAACUGUUUCUGCAUACCUUGACACGCUCGACUGGAUCUAACUCGUAUAAAUCUCUAAGUAGUGUACGUCCUCGACCUCUGCUCGUCCCACCAUUUUCAGCUGCAAAUGGUAUAUUAUAAUAUAAGAAUUUGAAAAAUAAAUCAAUUAUAAGUCAACACACAUGUAAAUUAAAUGUAAAAUUACUUUGAAUUCUGUAGGAUUUUCAGGUGUAAUCGGAACAUUCGAAGAUCCAAUUACUGUCUGUUGUUCAAUACUAUUUGUUUCUGUCGAGUUUGGAUAAUUUUGAACAAUGCUUCCCCUUGGAAUUUUUCUUCUAGGCAUUUUAUCUGCAAUACACAUAAAAUAGUUGAAAACUUAAUAACUAAUUACAAUAAUAACAACACAUAUAAAAUAGUUGAAAUAUAUAAUAAGACCGAGAUUUAAAUUAUGAUAUUACAUAUAAUUAAACAAUCGUAAAAUCUUACUACGUCAUUAUUCGUAAAUAUCUUCAUCCGUAUCCUGCGAACCCAUUGAAAUUGUUUACUAGUACUAGGGAUAUUAUCGUUUAAGUUUUGUUCUGGAAAGGGCAAAGUUUCUGAUCUGUCGUCGAUGUUAUCUCUACUUCCACUGCCCAUGUCAAACAAGUCUCUAGGGAUGUUACGGAGUACAACGUACCAACCCUCAUCAGUUGGAUCUUUUGAGUAAAAAACUUGUUUGAAUUGAGAUGAGAAUACAUACGGCUCAUCUAUCAGUUGUUGUCCUGUGUGAAUCAAUCGAGCGAAGUUCACCAUUGUAAAAUCAAAUUGAUCUUGCUUAAUUCCACGAGUAGUAUUAACAUCGGCCCAAUCACCUCGAAAUAAGACAACUUUCCAUUUGCCGUAGUAAUCCAACUCAAUUAUGUCAGUAAGAAGUCUGAAAUAUUCCAUAUUUCCCUCGACAGGAUUAUUGUCCCUAGCACUAGCAUAACUUGUAAUUGAGAAAUUAACAACUAUUCCAUAAUUUUGCGUUCUCCUCAACCUCUCACGAUAUUUUGUAUGAAAUCUGAAUCCAUUGAUGAUGAAUGCACUAUAUCUUUUAACCACUCGAUUUGGACCUUGGGAGAGCCAUUUAACUUCGUCGUUUACGUUCUUCCCACUCCAAACCUAUUGAAUGGAAAGUAAACUGAGUAAUUAAAAAUGUUAUGAGAAAACAUUAUUAUUUGUAAACAUAAGCUCUGCAUACCGUUUGGCUUAACCAUUCAUGAAAAGAUUCUGUAAACAACUUAUUGAUAUCUCGAUGUUGUGUUCUACGGGAGCACGAACGAGAUCUCAAUAUUUGUUCGUACUCACUAUGUUAAAAAAAUGUUCACUUUGUUAGAAGAUAAACAAAUUUUAAUUUGAUAAAUAUUUAUCAAAUUUGUAGAACUUACUUCUGUAAAGGUUCCAUUGAUUCGUGGUGAAACAGAACAUAUCAAUGUGCUUGUACCCACGAUAAGUGAUCUAAUUCUGCAAUUUCAACUUUGCCGAUUGGUUCUCCAAAACUUUGGAACAAAUAAGUAUCGGCGAAGUUAUUGUCCGUGAGUCCAGCAUUCCUAUUUGGUCUGUUCAAACUUAUUUCAACAUCUUCCAAAUAUCUUGAGCAGAAGGUCAUACAUUCCUCUGUCAAGUAGCCUUCAGCAAUCGAUCCUUCUGGAUAUCACUUGUUACGGCAGUAAGACUUUAAUUUGGAUAGGAACCUAAACACGAUAUACAACACUAUCAAAAGUUGUAACUAAAGGCAUAGAGGUGAAUGAAGGAAAAUUUUAAAAAUUUUAAUUAACAUCUUUCUAUGGGAUACAUCCAUCGAUAGAAAACGAGUCCGCCAAGAAUUGCUUCAUGCGGGAGAUGGAUUAUCAAGUGAACCAUAAUGGUGAAGAAGGAAGGUGGGAAGAUUUUCUCCAUGUUGCAUAAAGUCAAAGCGGCUCGAUCUUGUACCUUUUGAAGUUCUUGAACAUCCAAAACUUUGUCACAAAUGGCUUUCAUUAUAUUGGAUAGUUCAAUUAUACAAGACGUCACCUUCUUGGGCAUACAACAUUGUAAAGCAACUGGCAGUAAUUCUUGCAUCAAGAUGUGAUAGUCAUGUGAUUUUAUAAUCUUCGAUCUUUAACACUAACACAUAGAGAUAUAUUGGAUGCAUACGCAUCUAGAACCUUUAAAUCCUUCAACACCGUGCAGAACACUUCUUUUUUCGUCUUUGACAUUGAAAAAAUAGAAUGCGGCAACCGAUAUUUCCCAUUCGGAAUUGGAUUGGGAUGAAGAUCAGUCCGAAUUCCCAUUUGGACUAAAUCAAGUCUACUUUGAAGAUUGUCUUUCGAUUUUCCGUCGACAUUCAAAAUUGUACCCACAAUGUUCUUGCAGACAUUUUUCUCAAUGUGCAUAACAUCAAGAUUGUGUCGUAAAAGGUGAUGCCCCCAAUAAGGCAACUCAAAAAAAAUACUUCUUUUUUUUCCACAAGUCCGCCUCAUUAGGAUUGUCCUCUUCAUCAGAGUCAUCAUCAGCUUCAUCUUUUGAUCUUCUAUUUCUUUGCGUGUUUGGCAGUUGGUUCAUCUUCCCAUAAAUGAAAUUCAUAUAUUCUAACAUGAUCAAGAUUUCAGACCUACUGGUCUGCGAAAGAGCUUCUCUGAACUCUUCAGUACCGUCAAAUACAGAACUCUGAAAUCUAAAUCUAUGAUUUUUCGGUAACCACCGACGAUGCCCCAUGUAAGAGAACUUCUUCCCAUUGUACAACCAUUGCGAACAUGUUUGUGUAGCACAAUAAGGACACGUAUAACGACCUUUGGUACUCCAACCGGAUAAAUUGACAUAAGCGAGGAAGUCAUUAAUGGUCCACAUCAGAGCUACACGUAAAUUAAAGUUCUCCUUUCUCAGCACAUCGUAUGUCUCGACACCAGCCCAUAAUUGUUUUAAUUCUUCAAUAAGUGGCUGUAAAUAAAUGUCGAUAUCAUUCCCGGGCCCUUUCUCUCCAGGGAUAAUCAUAGAUAAGAUAAGGGAAGAUUGCUUCAUGCAAAUCCACGGAGGCAGAUUGUAAGGAACAAGCACUACUGGCCAAGUACUGUACGCAGUGGUCAUGAUCUUGAAAGGAUUAAAUCCAUCAGAUGCUAGCCCAAGCCUCACACUCCUAGGAUCGCUUGCAAAGCUUGGAAAUUUAUUGUCAAAUGAUUUCCAAGCUAAAAAAUCUGUUGGAUGCCUUAAUAAUCCAUCAUCGGUUCGUCCAUCAUGGUGCCACGUCAUAGACUCCGCUGUCUUGGACGACAUGAAAAGCCUUUGAAGCCUUGGUAUAAGGGUAAAAUACCGCAAAAUCUUGAUUGGCUUCUUUCUCAACUGUGCAUCAUUUUCAUCGUCGUUCCCAUCUUCUGUGUUUCUAUUUAUCUAACGGGAUUGGCCGCAUACAUGACAGCACUAUUGGUUUUUCCGAUCGCCCCAAUACAACAUGCAGUCAUUUGGGCAACUAUGGAUUUUGUUGUACCCAAGGCCAAGGCCUAAAUCUUUUAUCAUUUUCUUCAUAUCUUUGCAUGACCGAGGGAUUUUUGCAAACAAAAACAUUUCUCUCAAAAACUUUAACAGCAUUUUCAAUGAGUUUCCGGUCCACCCUCUCAAACAUUUUAACUGAAAAAGACGAACACAGAAGGACAUUUUUGAAAAUUUUGAUCCCUCAUACAGUUCUUCGUUCAUGUCAUUAAGUAGAGCGUAGAACUUCACUGCUUUUCCAUUCGGCUCUUCAUGAGGUACACUACUUCUCGGUUUGGUAAAAGCAGUUCCACCAAUAUUACAAUCAUCAGAUGCCAUAAAAUCUGCUAGGAACGAAUGCACACCAUGGUUGUGCAUAUUAAAUGCAUCCCACAACAUACCUUCCAUGUCAUCCCCUCUAUCAGACUGAUGGUAAGCAGUACUAGGAUAAGAUACAUCCAUCAUUGAAGAGGAAGUACUAGGCGGGCAUUCUCCGUGAAAUAACCAUUGUUUAUAACCCCGAACAAACCUGUCAACAAUUAGAUGCUCGUAUACAACCUCACGAUAAUGCCAGUUUAUGUUGACACACUUCUUACAUGGGCAAAGAAUCAUGUUCUCUUGGCUUGCAUAUUGAAAUGCAAAAUUUAGAAAAGUCUGUACUCCAUUUCGAUAACCGUUGCUAACCCUUGACAAAUUCAUCCAAGACCGGUCCAUUUCUUAAUUCUUGAAGUCUGAUGUUGACAAUAAUUUGCACGGGUAAGUUAAAACGCCAGUUAUAACCAUAAAUGAGUUAUGUAAGUUAUGAUAUGAUAUAUUUUUAUGUAUUAUGUAAGUUAUGUAAGUUAUGUAUUAUGUAAGUACUGUAAGUACUGUAAGUUAUGUAAGUAAUGUAAGUAAUGUAUUAUGUAAGUUGUGUAUAAUAUUAAUUAUAUAAGUUGUGUAUAAUGUAAGUUAAGAAGGUUAUGUAUUAUGUAAUUUAUUUAAGUUAUGUAAGUUAUGUAAGUUAUUCAAUUUAUGUAAGUUAUGUAAGUUAUUUAAUUUAUUUAAGUUAUGUAAGUUAUGUAAGUUAUUCAAUUUAUGUAAGUUAUGUAAGUUAUUUAAUUUAUGUAAGUUAUGUAGGUUAUGCAAGUUAUUUAAUUUAUGUAAGUUAUGUAAGUUAUGUAGGCAAUGUAUUAUAUAAAUAAUGUAAGUUAGGAAGGUUAUGUAUUAAGUUAUGUAAGUUAUGUAAGUUAUUUAAUUUAUGUAAGUUAUGUAAGUUAUUUAAUUUAUGUAAGUUAUGUAAGUUAUGUAAGUUAUUUAAUUUAUGUAAGUUAUGUAAGUUAUGUAGGUUAUGUAUUAUGUUAGUUAUUAUGUUAUUAUAUGUAAUAUAUAAAAAGAAUAUAAAUUUUAGUAUUUACGAUAUAAUAUUUCUGUCGAAAAUUUAUUAUGUUUUUGGCACGAAUGAUUGCAUUUUUUGCAUGAAUGUAGCAAACCAUAUUCCUUUCUAAGUUGCUGCUGGAAAAUAUUAACAUGCUAGAGAGACUAUGAAAAUUAUGUGUUCAUUUUCUAAGCAUUGCAAACUGUUACCAAUUAAUUAAAAUAUUUCAUUUCAAAUAAAUAAAACCUAACACAUGAGGUACAUCUUAUGAUUACGAAUCAGAUUACAAACCAUAAAUCGAAAUUUUAGAAACUGAAUUUAUAGUUUACAAACCACAAACCGAAUAGGGACUAAUUGGUAACAUGGAUUCUAGAACACAUUGACCCAUUUCCAUUCGGCUAAAUAAAUUUUAGUUUCUUUACUAAUGUAUCACUUUGAUAUUAUCUCAUUUCAUCACUUAUACUUAUAUAUAAGUAUAUGUAUAAGAAGGUAAAUGACAGUUCCCAAUCCAAUCUACUUUAUAUAAUCCCACAUGACAAUAAGAAAAUGGAUGAAAGAUAAUUUUAACAAACAAACAAAGAGUAUAUAUAUCGAACUUAAAAAUCAUACUAAAAAACAACAUGGCGUAAUACAAUUCAACUUAAAAAUCCAAUUCAUUACCUGGAAAUGUAAUCGGCUGUUAUUAUAUUUAACAGAACAUUUUUAUAAAUUAAUAAAUUAAACCCUAAACUAGACAUCAAAAUUUCAUACUAAAAAAAUAGUACCAAAUGAUUUCACCGACACGAACAAAGAAUAAAUGGAAUCUUAACAUUUAACCCGUUACACUGAUAAUGAAAGUAAUGAAAUUAAAUGAAAGCAUGAGUUCUGUACCUUCAGAACGAUGAAGAAAACUGAAAUGAAAGCAACGAAAUGGAAUGAAAUGAAACCCUAUACACAAACAACAUAACAUCAGUUCCUAACCAAUGAAACCAUUCCCAAAAUAAAUGAACAAUCGAAGCAUUACAGUACCUUCAGAAGGAUGACCAAAACAGUCGAGGACCAAAAACCCUAAACACAGAGAAUAAUUUUUUUUAAUUCCAGGAUCACCAACCAAUAACAAAGCAAAAAAAUAAAAAACUAAAAAAUAUGAGAAAACCCAAUGUAUAAAAUACGCAGCAUUGAUUUAAAUGCAUAGAUGCAAUUGGCGAUUGCCAAGUUUAAAGCAAAGUCAAAUCCCCUAAUAUUCUUGUCUAUGAAGUCAAAAGUUUAAAGCAAAGUCAUAGUUUAAACCCCCAAAUCAGUAACUUACCUUUGUAGAAGAUCAACAACUCCCCAAGCCUUAAUCCUCCAAUAGAUUAGUUGGUCUGUGACCUUCACCAAAAUAAUCCAAAAGAUUAAUAUCGAAAAUAAACCUCAAUUCAAAAAGGUAACAAAUAACGAAAUAAAGGGCUUUAAUCGAAAGAAAUAUAACCUUAAUCGAAACAAAUAACAAAAAUCGUGCAAUGUGGAAACAAGGAAACUUAUAGUGAAUAGAAGAAGCAGACGACAGAGAAAGCGGGUGGCAGAGCGACCGCCGGAGUGGAGACGACUGCAAUGACAGGGGGAAUUUGGGGAUUUGGGGAAAUAAAAUCGAGGAAAUUGGGGGAAAAGGAAUUGGGGGAAAUGAAAUCGGGGAAGUUGGGGGAUAGGAAAUGGGAAAUUAGGGAGAUGAAAUUGGGGAAAUCAGAGUGGGGGAGAACUAAGGAAAUUCAGCGCUAAACAAACAACGUCGUUUAAGUUAGUUCAAUUAAAAUUUGCGGCGUUUAUCAAUAGUGCCACUAACGCAUUAAAAAAUCCCAUAUAGAAAACGACAACGUUUAGCCAACACUAAAAACAUAUUUGCUGCAUUUAUAAUAAAAACGCCACUAAAACAUAUCCUUUACCGGCGUUUUAGUACAAACGCCACUAAAAUCAUAGAUAAAAACGACAACGUUUAGCGAAAACUUAUAACAUAAUUGCGGCAUUUUUAUAAAAAACGCCACUACCACAUAACCUUUUGCGGCGUUUUUGUAAAAAUGCCACCAAUAAUGUAGAUAAAAAUGACAACGUUUACAAAAGACUAAUAACAUAAUUGCGACGUUACCUGAAAAUGGCACUAACACAUAUCAUUUUGCGGCGUUUUGGCAAAAAUGCCACUGAAAACCUGGAUAAAAACGACAACGUUUAACAAAGACAAAAAACAUAAUUGUGGCUUUUUUUGUAGAAAUGGCACUAAUAUAACUCCUUUUGCGGCAUUUUAGUAAAAACGCCACUUAAAAAUCAGACUAAACGAAACCGUUUUGCUAUCUUUCAAUGAAUAUUUGUGGCGUUUUCACGAAAAACGCCACUACUGGUCAAACUUAAAAUUAUUUUCAAAUUAUUUUAAAUAAUACUAUUUUAUUUUUUUCUAUUUUUAACAUAUAUUUUUCUAUGUUUUUAGCAUAACCCUUAAAUGUGGAAAAAUAAAAUUUAAACCCUAAACCAUAAGCCCCUAACCAUUAAACUCUAAACCCGUAACCUUUAAACUUUAACCUCUUAAACCCUAAACAAUAAACACUAGACCAUAAACCUACACCAUAAAUAGUAAACACUAAACUCUUAACACUAAACCAUAAACCUUAAACUUUAUACCUUAAACAUGCACCCUAAGCUAUAAACCCUAAAUUAACCUUAAAAUCGUAAAUCAUAAAUUAUAAACCCUAAAAUCAUAAACCUUAAACCUUAAACCCUAAACCCUAAAACCUAAACCAGUAAACCCCAUGAACCCUUAAACCCCUAACCUAUAAACCCUUAAACCCAAAACUCUAAGCCGCUACCCCUUAGACCCUAAGCCCAUAACCCCUAAACCCUAUGCUCCUAACCACUAAACACUAAACCAUAAACCACGAACAGUAAAUCAUGAACUCUAAACUUAAAACUCUAAUCCCAAUAUAAUAAACAUUACUUCAUAAAUCCUAAAACCCUAAACUAUAAAAAUUAAACCUUAAAUACUAAACACAUAAACCUAAAAUAAAUUUAUUUUUACUUGUGGCGCUUACAAUAAAGCGCCACUAAUGUCUCUAAACCUCCACAACAAAACGACGACGUUUGCUUAAAUAUAUUUGCGGCGCUUAACAUAAAGCGCCGCUAAUGCUUGACAUCUGCGGCGUUUUUAAAGUUGCGCCACUAAUGUAACUAAACCUUAACAACAAAACGUUGCUGUUCGCUUAAAAAUUUUGUGGCGCAACGUAAAAGCGCCGCUAAUUAUUGAAUUUUGCGGCGUUUAUAUCUACGCGCCACUAAUAUCUUUAAAAUUUGAAAAAUAAAACGACGUCGUUUGGCUAAAACUAUUGCCGCUAGUGCUUGACAUUUACGGUGUUUUCCCAAAGCACCACUAAUGUCCCUAAGCACAACAGGAAACGACGUCGUAUGCUUAAAACAUUUUGUAGCGCUUCCUCUUAAGCGCCGCUAACGAUUGACUUUAGCGGCGAUUUCUUCAAAGCGCCACUAUUGUGUCUAAAACUCAACAAGAUCAAAAUGACUUCGUUCGGUAAAAUCUUUUAUGGUGAUUCAGGAAAGCGCCGCCACUAUUGUCCCUAAUACGGCGCAUACUUAAGACAUUUUCCGGCGCUUCCUCUAAAGCACCGAUAAUGAUUGACUUCAGCGGCGCUUCUAUAAAAGCGCCAUUAUUGUGUCUAAAAGUCAACAAGAAACGACGUCGUUCGGUAAGAAAUUUUGUGGCGCUUUGGGGAAAGCGCCGCUAAUACAUGAUAUUUUGCGGCGCUUCUUUAUAAACACCACUAAUGCAAUCAAACGUAAACCAAAACGGCGUCGUCUGUUAAUCAGUUUUACGACACUUCUUUAAAAGCGCCACUAAUGUCUUUGAAGCUGACAAAGAAAACGGUGCCAUUUACCUAACUCUUUUGCGGCGGUUUUGGUAAAUUGCCGCUGUUGCCUAUAAUUUACGGUGUUUUUUUUCACUCACCGCUAUUGUUCGGUUUUUUGCGGCAUUUUGUGUUAAAACGCCGCUAUAGACGUCGCUAAAGAGCUGUUCUGGUGUAGUGAUACAUCAAAAACUCCAAAUAAGUAAUAAAUUCUAGGAAUUAACAGAAAAUAGUCUAAAAUUUACGUGUGGCCACCGUCGAGUUCUCCGCUGCACUGACCCUUCAAGUCUGAGGAUUACCUGUACAUAUUAAAUAGAGAAAGGGUGAGUUUUCACAAACUCACUGUGUAAUCCCCACAGAAAACAUGCAUACAAUCAAUAUAAUUCAGUUAGAUACAGUGUAGGGCUCGUGCCCAUCACAGAGUCAGUUUGGGCCUUAGCCCGUUCAGAUAUAGUCUCAGAAAUACAUUAGGGCCUUGGCCCAUAUCAGAUACAGAAUGUAGAUAUAGUAAAUCAGAAUCGUACCCACCAGCCUCUACACAUCAUCUCCGUCCAACCCUACACACCAUGUGGGGAUUAAAUCAACCCACCCAUCCCUACACACUAUGCUGUACCAAAAUGCAGCACAUAAUUAGAAGGUUGCAGCUGAGCUGCUAGAUAACAGGCUUAAUAGCCUUUCGGACACUUCCUCCAAAUAUCAUCAACCCACCUCGAUGCAAUGAAACAUACAAAAUAUAUCAUGCCAUUAUGCAAUUAAUAGUACAUACAUUCAAAUAUCAUAAGUCAUGCUCGGUAUAGAAAUCAGACAGACAGAUCACACAUAUAGGGGUCCAAGUAAAACUUAUCGACCCUAAAGUAUUACUCUUUUAAAUGAUUUAAAGAAUGUUGAGGUUCAUAUUGAUGAUGAAGAUCAAGCUAUGCUAUUAUUGUGCUCUUUACCCCCUUCAUACAAGUCUUUCAGGGAAACCCUGAUUUAUGGCAGAGACAAACUCUCGUUCGAAGAUGUGAAGGGUCAUUUGUUGAGUAGAGACAAACUCGACAAUGAGCUUCAUUUGGAUAGCAAGACAGAUAGACAAGCUUUCGUUUUGAUAGCAUCAAAGAAACGAGACAAAAGGUGUCGCUAUUGUAAAAUGUUAGGUCACGUCAAAGCAGAUUGUUAUAAACUGCGAAAUAAAAGAGCUGCUGAGAGUAACGAGGAAGAUGAUACAGUCGACUUGGGUGACCCGUGCAACCUUACAGAACUUUUUAAAAAAAUGGGCUCACACGCCCAUGUGGCCCACUCGGCCCAAAUUGGCCUUGGCCACGAGAUCCAUUUUUAAGGUAACAUGUGCUAGUUAAUUAUUCAUAUAUGUUUUCACUAUUUACUUAUAUGUUCCUUCAAAGUUGUCUAAUUGAGUCACUAUUACUAAAUUAUUUAUAUCCUAAGCUACAGAAUUCUGAAUUAAGAUCUGCCUGAUGUCUUUGAAACUAGACUCAAAUAGCUUUCUACCAUAAAAUUUUCAGAAUUUUUGGUUUAGCCAAUAAGUACAGUAAAAUCUUCAUACUUACCCCUGUUCUGUUGUCUGACAGCUUCGUCCCUUCUUUGCUAAAAAUUAACUAUCUCUUAGUACAAAAUUUGGAUGAUGUUUCCAUUUGUUUCUAUUGAAAAUAGACUCAUUGGUAAUUUAAACAUGUAAAUUUUAAUCCCUAAUUAUUUUCUCCAAUUUUUGAUGAUUUUCCAAAGUCAGAAUAGGGGAACCCGAAUUUAAUCUGACCUUAUCUCACAAAGUUUAUUAUACCUCACGAUUUACAAUUCAAUUACUUAUAUAGUUUAUUCUAUGAAAAACUAGACUCAAUAAGCUUUAAUUCCAUAUUUUUUUCAUCCUCUAAUUUGAUUUCCACAAUUUAUGGUGAUUUUUCAAAAGUAGCCUACUGUUGUAAUUUUUCAAUAAGCUUUAAUCCCUUUUUUUUGUGUUUUGAGUACAGACCUGGUUUUAUUUGAUGCUAAAAUAGUCCCGAGCACUCCAAAGCCUAUAAUCAAGAAACUCAACAUUAAUUUAAUGGAUUUAUAAUCGAAUUGACAACCAAAAACGAAUCGAAACCCAACUUAUCACCAACGAUAACCCUCCGUUUAACUAUUGUUCAGACGAGAACACUGAAUUUACUAGUCCAAGCCUCCCCCUAUGCCCAAAUCACAGAGAAAAAACAUUACCACUUUAGUCGUUAAGAGAUUCAUGACUGAAAUGAAGAGAAACAUUUACCGAAACUAAGCAAGCACUAACCGCAUGUGAAAACGAAGGAAAAUAAAUGGAUUAGGGAAAAUCAAGAAGAAGAAAAAGAAGAGAAAGAUGGAAAAACUCAAAGAAUUUUGGCAAGAGGAGAGAGAGAAGAAUAUACGACAUAUUUUUUUUGAAAAAAGAGUCAAAAUUCGGUUAUGGGAAAAAAAUAAAAUAGAAUCCUGAUAACCCCCAAAAUCAUGUCCCCUAAUUCCCACUACAUAUCCACUACUCAGAAUUCCCCUAUUACACAACUCUAUCCCGAAAUCUUAGCAAAAAAAUAAUACCCUUGCUUGCAUAAGGAUUCGAACACAAGACCUCCACCACAAUAACACACCAUUUAACCACUAGACCAACAGGCCCAUUCUGAUGUAAUUUACCCAACAAUCAAAUAAAAGCCUACUAAACAAGAGUAAUGCCUAAUUCAUUCAAAAUACCAAAUUUUCCCAAGCGAAUGCUUGAACUUAGGACCUCCCAAACACUCCCAGGACACAUAACCACUAAAGCUGACAGAUAUUUGUGCAUAUUUUCAUAAUAACAAAAUUAGAAAUUUUGAGGUGUUACAUUAUAAAUAGGCUCUUUUACAACCUUAGAAAAUACACCCAUUAGGGAUUAGAACUCAUAACACAUUUAGAGAAUUUUGUGUUUACGUUUUGAGAGUUCUUUGUUUUCGGGUUUUCGGGGUUUAGUUUUUAUCUCCAUCUUUUGUGCUCUUCAUUCUUUUGCCAUUAUAAUAAAAUUACCUUUUCCUGUGGUUUUUUUAACUUCUUUGGAGGGGUUUUUCCACGUUAAAUUUGUGUGUUCAAUUUCUCAAUUUAUUCUGCUAUUCUUUUUUACUUGUUGCUUAAUCGGGUCGAUCCCAACAAGUGGUAUCAGAGCUAGUUUAAUUUUUAUAGAUUAACACAUUUAGAGAUGUUAGCUACAAGGUUUGAAAUUGAGAAGUUCAAUAGUGAGACAAAUUUCAAUCUGUGGCAAGUUUGGAUGAUAACAAUUCUAGUUCAAACAGGCCUGAAAAAGGUUGUUACUGGGAAAAAGCCUGAGAAUCUAAAUCAAACAGAAUGGGAAGAGCUUGAUGAAAAUGCCUUAUCUGCAAUCCAAUUGUGCCUUACGAAUAUGGUAUUGCAGGAGGUAUUGAUGGAGAAGGCCUCAUCCGCCUUGUGGAAAAGGUUAGAAACUCUUUAUGUGACUAAGUCUUUGGCUAACCGUUUAAUGUUGAAACAACGUCUAUUUACGUUUUGCAUGAACGAAUGUGAGCUUCUUAAAGAUCACAUCAAUCAAUUCAUUACUCUUUUAAAUGAUUUAAAGAACGUUGAGGUUCAUAUUGACGAUGAAGAUCAGACUAUGCUAUUAUUUGCUCUUUACCCCAUUCAUACAUGUCUUUUAGAGAGACCCUGAUUUAUGGAAAAGACAAACUCUCGUUCAAAGAUGUGAAGGGUCAUUUGUUGAGAAGAGACAAACUCGACAAUGAGUUUGGUUUGGAUAGCAAGGCAGAUAGGCAAGCUUCCAUUUUGGUAGCAUCAAAGAAACGAGAUAAAAUGUGUCGCUAUUAUAAAAAGUUAGGUCAUGUCAAAGCAUAUUGUUAUAAACUGCGAAAUGAAAGAGCUGUUAAGAGUAACGAGGAAGAUGUAGCUGAUGCUAAUUUGGCCGAUGAAAGUGGUGAUGAUUUCUUGUUAGUGUCAACGAGCGAUAACUCAAAGCUCACGUCUGAGUGGAUCCUAAAUUCAUGAUGUUCUUUCCACAUGUGUCCCAAUAGAGAAUGGCUCUCCACAUACAGUUCUGUUGAAGGUGGAGUUGUGCGCAUGGGAAUGAUUCAUCUAGUAAGGUAAUUGGUAUUGGUAUUGUUAAAAUUAGGAUACACGAUGAGACGAUUAGGACACUCUUAGAUGUCAGGUAUAUACCUGAUUUACAAAAGAAUCUCAUCUCAUUGAGUAUUUUAGAAUUGAAAGGAUUCAAAAUCAACAUUGAGUCGAGCGACAUUAAAGUAUCUCGUGGAGCUCUCAUUUUGUUAAAAGGUAAAAGAACCAACAGUCUUUAUAUUCUGGAAGGUUCUAUAGUGACCGGUGAAUUGAACGUCUCUCGUCCGUUACGGAGUCGAAUUCAACUCGUUUGGAGUGGAGGCAACUUGGUCAUAGGAGUGAAAAAGGUAUGACCGUUUCGUUGAAGAGAGGUUCUUUUUUGGAUGUAGGUUUUGAAAAGUUAGGGCAUUGUGUUCAUAAAAAUCAGACUCGGGUUAAUUUUAAUUCGGUAGUGUACAAGUCGAAGGCUAGAAGUCUUCCAGUUUCUAAGCAUAGAUUCAACUCAAUUAAUUCUCUGCAUAGUUCAAGAUAGGCCUGUGGCAGGCUUUGGCAAAGAUGGCAUUGUGAAAUAUGAGUCAAGGUGGAGAUUUGUUGAGUAUGACUCCUAUUUCAGUCAAAUUUGAGAAAUAAUCUUUCAGUUAAACUCUGUUUAUUUCUUUCAAUCAAACUUUUAUUAGUGUAGAUUAUUUUAUUAUUAUUUGACCUGUGAAUUUAGCUUAUAAAUAGGCUUUUUUACAACUUUAGAAAAUACACCCAUUAGAGAUUAGAACUCAUAACACAUUUAGAGAAUUUUGUGUUUACGUUUUGAGGGUUUUUUGUUUUCGGGGUUUAGUUUUUAUCUCCAUGUUUUGUCCUCUUCAUUCUUUUGCCAUUAUAAUAAAAUUAUCUUUGCCCGUGGUGUUUUAAUCCUCUUUGGAGGGCUUUUUCCACGUUAAAUUUGUAUGUUCAAUUUCUCAAUUUAUUCCACUAUUUUUUUUACUUGUUGCUUAAUCAGGUCGAUCCCAACACUAAGGAUUUAAUUGGUUCACUUGAAUCCAAUUCAAUCUUCAAAAGUCAAUGAUUGAUUUCCAUAGAUGGACCAUAGUAUUUUCAAUAUGAUAGUACAUUAACAAAUCCAAAGAUAUUUUUCAUUAAACUGUCAAUCCAAAUAACACAAGUAAUUAAACUACCUUAGUGGCAAUGUGUAGUGAGCACUGCCGAGUGCCACUCAGCAUCAAUCGAUUCAUCUUGCCUCAACAACAUGUAUAAUAUACCUAUAAGUAUGAGUUUAGAAAAACUUUUGAAUUGACAAGAAUACCUUUUAUUUUUAACCAUAUUACUAAAUUGAUAUUUAAAAAUAUUUAUAAUUUAAUUUAGAAUUAUUAGUUAUAACUUUCUUUAUUUAUUAAGAAUGAGCUAUGAUAAUUUUAUUCACUCUAAAAUUGAAUCAUAACUUGAAUAAAAGUCUAAGCAUACUCAUUCUAAAUAACUAAUAAAUUAAGGUUAAAAUAUUAAAUUUAAAAAAUCCAAAUCAUUUUUAUUUUUUACAAGUAAUUUUUUAUUUCCAUAUUUAUUAAUGAAAUAAAAAUAAAGUUAUAACUUGAACAGAAGUCUAAGUAUAUAUAAAAAAGAUUCUUUUUAUCUUUUAAUUACCACUUAACUAGUGUUAGAGUUUUAUAUCAAUUAAAAUUUAAGUUUAAAUCUAUAAAUAUAAUUUAUUAUUAGCAUUUAAGAAAAAUCAUCAGUUCAAAGAAAGAAAGUGGUUAGCAUUAAUAAGUUCGAAGGUUCUCAAAAAGAAAUAUUCAAAUGACAAUGGCACUCGAGAGCACCAGAAAGAUAUGUAAGAUUAUUUUAUCACCUAACUAUCUUGGAUUUUGGGUGUUUCCGUUUUUACAUUAAUCAGCUGGUGACCAAAAAGGACAAUUGAAUAAUUGGCUGACCAUUUUGUAACUUUCAUAGUUGGAUGAUCUAAAAAGAAAUGUACUAUUAGUUAAGUGAUUACUAGUGUAGUUUGUCCUAUAAUUAAUUGUGCAUGCAAUAUUUAAACAUAAGAUGAUGUUCUAUGGAUAAUUGUAUUAAUAGUUUGUGAGAAUUGAAUCAAAUCAAAAUUUCAUGUAUAAAAUUGCGCAAAAUCAAAGUUCUUGAGUAAAAUUGCACAUUAAACCAAAAUUCAUGUGUAGUUUUGAAAUUUAUCACAUACAAUAAUUCUUAUUUUGUCAAAAGAACAUAAAUAUAUAGGGUAAACUACAUAGAUAAUCACUCAACUAUAAAAAAUUCUCAUUUUAGGCGCCCAAAAUAAAAAAAGUUUACAAUUUAAGCACCCAUGUUACAUGGUUCGUUCAUUUUGGUCACUCCCAUUAAAAGCCCAAACAAAAAUCUGACAUGACAUUUUUUUGACACGUGGAUCAAUCAUUGGAUGCCACAUGGCACAAUUUACCACUGCAUACCACUUUACACUUGAAAGGAGUAAAAUAUAAUUUACCCCAUACUAAUUAUUAACCAAAUGAAUAAAUUAGUAUUGGGUAAAUUAUAUUUUAGUCCUUUCAAGUUUAAAGUGGUAUGCAAUGGUAAAUUGUGCCGUGUAGGCAUCCAAUGAUUGAUCCGCGUGUCAAAAGAAAAUGUCAUAUCAGAUUUUUGUUAGACUGUUAACGAGAUUGAUCAAAAUGAAUAAAUUAUUUAACAUGAAUGUUUAAAUUGCAAACAUUUUUAUUUUUGGUGUUUAAAAUGAAAAUUUUUUAAUAUUUGGGUGACUAUCUAUCUAGAUUACCCCAAUAUAUAUCCCAUAUAAAUGAUAACGUAUCAAAGUACAACAAAUUACAAACAAAAAGAAAGUACAAGAAAUAAUGGGAUUUGGGAAACUCCCAUUUAUCAAACAAAUAUAUGUGGUGAAAAAAAAGAACAUACAAUACUCAAAAUCAAGAGACAAAGACAACUAAAAUCACAUUCAAACAAAUCCAGUAUGCAGCAGAUAAACCAAAGGGGGUAUUUCAAUAAACCAAAGGGUAUUUCAAGGAGUAGAAGGAGAAGGUGGUGGAGAAAGGAAAGGAAUAGAGGGGAUUGCAGUUGGGAUUGAGGGCAUGCUUGGUAGAGGAGGCAGUGUGGCCCUUGGUACACUUGGCAAUGUGGGCAACCCUGGCAUGAUAGGAAGUGGAGGAAGCGCCCCAGGCCUUGGCAAUGCUGGUAUGGAUGGCUGUGGGAGAUUAGGGAUAGAUGGAAGUGGGGGGAGUGUGGUUGUAGGCAAAGUUGGCAUUGGAGGCAAUUGAGGCAGUUGCAGAAGGUGACGAGCUGCUACCCCAACAUCAGUGCUUGCAAAUGACAAAGCCAUCACGAAUACUAAAGCAAAGCAAUUGAAAGAUGCCAUUUUUCUAGAGAUGUGAGUCCAAUUAAGCAGACGAAAGAAAGCUCUUGUUUUGAUAGUUGUGGAGUGAGGGAGAGAAAGCAUGGUGUUGGGGGUUUAUAUAGGUCUUGGAUCAGUGGAGUUGGUAAUGUUUGAUCAUGUAUGGUUGGAAUGGAGAAAACAUAGUCGAUAUUAAAGGAUUUGGUAGCUCAACUUCCCAUGGGUAUUGUAGUUUAAAACAGGUGAAAUGCUGUUGUGGUUGGCAUAGAAGCUUCAUCCAGCCACUUAAUUAAACAGUAUACUUAAACAAUCCUCCAGGUUAGCAAAGUUUUCGCUAGUUGUCCAGAUAUCUAACAGAAUUAGGAUUUGUUUACUUAACAUGUUAGGUAUGAUAGUAUUUCCAAGGUUGGUUGUAUAAAUAAAUUUGCUAUGGUUGAGCAUAAAAUUGUUGUGAGUUAACCUACAGCUUCGUAUAGACUUAUUAAUUUUGACUUGAACUUGGAAUGAUUCAAACAAAUACUUUGAAAUGACAAACAAAUAACUCGAAAUGACCUAAAUUUGAAGUGACCAAAAUCUGAAAUAAUCGAAACCUAUAAUGACUCGGCCCAAAAAACUCGAGCCUCAAACCCAAAUUAAAUUGAAUCAAAAUUAUAAUUUCAUGUAUAUAACUGUAGAAAAUUAAAGUUUGUGUGUCAUAUUGUACAUUAAAUCAACGUUUACGUUUGACAUUACGUAUUGAGGUAAUGUUCAUUCAUAAUUUUGUGAUUUAUUCCCUUAAUUAAAGUAAUAUGUCAAAUAGUAUACUCUUGGUGAAGUUUAUGUACAUUGUAAGCGAACUAAAUAAUUAGAAUAAAUCUAAAGUAGGGCUUGGGCCUCCAAGAUUUCACGGUCUCAAUUUAUGUCUUAAAAUUUCAUAUUAUUGUCCUUAAGGAUAUUUACGAAUUUACGUAUUUCUUAGGAUUUAACUUAUAUCAUGCGCAAUGAGAAAAUUGCAAAAAUUUACUCAUUUGAAUGGAAUUGAGCUAUUAGGCUCAAGCAUCAUACAGGCAUAUCCAUCCUCUUAUUUUGAGUCUUACAAGUUUAUAGCAAACCAAAUCUAUAUAAACAUCAUUUAACAGAUGUAUCUAAAAGAUGUGAAAUAUGUAUAAUUCUUUAAAAUACACGAAAACUUCUAAUAGGGUUUAGGUUAUUUUUCGAUUUGUCUAUUUUAGGUUCAAAUCAUUCGAAUUUGAAGCUAAAUUUUUAAUAUCUAAUCAUUAUUGAUUCGAAUCAUUUCAAAUUUUGGUCAUUUUAAAUUCGAAUUGUUUUGUGAUCAAAUCAUUUCAAGUUUGGAUUGAUUCAGGUGAAUUCGAAUUUGGAUUUAUUAUUAUUAUUAUUAUAAAUUGAGUUUGAGUCAUUGCAUUGCUUAAGUAAAAAUUUAAAGAUUUGCCUCUGUGGUUUGCAUUGAGCUGCUUACGAGGGAGAAGUUGGAAGUUAGACUUACCCAUUGAGGUGGUAGCGGUCUUGCCUUGGAAUAACGCCAAGUAGAAGUUUGAAAAAAUACAUUUGUUAACAGAAUUUUAUUUUAUAACAUUCUCGGAUCCUGAAACACUUGUUUAAAGGUGAUAGUACGACGACGUUGAUUUCUUUUAUCACCACAAGUCUAAUUAUAUAUAUUGGAUUUAAUUUUUUAGUCCCAACCCAAUAAAUAAAAUAUACAUGUAACAUCUUAUAAAAAUUGUCAAUAAAUUAUACCUAGUGACAAAGUUAUUCAAAUCUAAUUUCAUUGCUAAUACCUAGUUUUUUUUUUCUACUGUCUUCAACUUUCAAUAUAAACGGAUUGAAAAUUUAAGAAAUUUAUGUUAUUUGAAAUAUCUUUUCUUAAAAAAUUGGUGUUUAGUAUAAGAUAAUUAGUAUCGUAUCAGUGGAUGUUUGAUUUUUAUUUUUACUAGAAUUGAUACAUAUCUUUUUGAAUUUAUCAAUAUUUUUUAAAAUUAUUUAAGAUAUGUAUAUAAAUAUAUUACAAAUAUAAAACGAAUGAAACCAAAUACAUUUCAAAUAUAACAUAUUCAUUAAUAAACUCAACAAAUAAAAAUUUAUCAUUCAAAUAAAUCCAAAAUUAAUAAUAAAAAUCCAUCAUUCAAUAUGAAGUUUUAAGGAUUUAGCUCGUUUCCUUAGUAAGGUGAAUGAUUUUUUCAUAAUUAUAUUUUAGUCUUUAUAUUUGAAUGUGAAAGUAUGUCCCAUUUUUUUUAAAACUUUACAUUCUUGAUGUCCACGAAAUUAACUAAAAUUAAGACAAGUGCAUCUAUCAAUUAAUAGUAUAGCUAUGGUGAGCACAAAUAUCGUUACCACAAAGAUUAAAAGUACUAGUAAUUAUUGUCUUUCUAUUAGUUAACUGAAUAAAUCGAGUGAUGGAUUAAAAACAAAAUUUAACUAACGAACAUGACAAAGAAAAAAAUAGAAAGAUAAUCGAUUAACAACCAAGAAGUAAAACAAUACCCGGGAAAUAAUUCACCUAGAUUUCAUCUGUCACUAUCAAUCUAAAUUACAUAAUUUCUUUACUUGGUAUCUUGAUACGCAGAAAUCCCUGAAUUAUGCUAAUAUCUCUUUCGAGAGUAAGAGCAACUGACUCUAGGUUGAUUAAUUGAAAUUUCUUUCUAAUUAAAACCCCUAUUAUCGCAUUAACUCGAUCUAUGGAUUCCUCAAUUAAAUUUGACUCUAAUCUUGUAGAUUUAUGUUGUCCUAUUUCUAGGAUUGCAUGCAACUCCACUCAAUUAUACAAGAUCUACUCUUAAACUGGGUUUAUUCCUCCUUUGAUUUAAGCACAUCAAACGUGAAUCAAUAAUCUAGAAAUAUUAAACCAAGAAUUAAGCACACAUAAUUGAGAACAAAAUCUAAGUAUUUAUUGCAUAAAAUAAAAAUCAAACGAUAAAAUUCAUCAUAAGGUUCAUCUCCUUUAGGUAUUUAGAAAUUUAGUUCAUGAUUGAAAGUAAAAAUAUCAAAAAUACAGUAUAAUCGAAAGAAACAAAGAAACUCAUGAUAAUUUCCUAAGAAAUCAAAUGUGAAUCUUCAAUCUUGACGGGAAUCUGCUUUAGAAUCGGCUUAAAUGAUGUUUUUUGAGUUGUUUUCUUGAAUAUUCUAUGACAGCUCUCUCUUAUCUUCUUAUUUUUGCCAUAUAUACGUCUUAGAAUGCACGAAAAACCUAAAAAUUGCAUUUUCCCGCAGUUCAGAGUGCUAAUUCACGAAAUCGGCACAGCCUGCCACAUGGCCGUGUGUAAGGGGUCAGCUCGUGUGACCCUUGUACCUUGCUUCGAUUUUUUGGUUUUUGUUCGUUUUUCACUUGUUUUGCUCCUAACUGCCCUCAUGAGUAUAAAAAACAUGAAUUUAAAGGAUUAGGAGCAUAAAAUUAAUCAUUAACAUCGAAUAAUCACCCAAAAACACAUUGAGGCUGAGAUUAAAACAUGUUCCUUUUAGCACUUAUCAAAUAUCCCUACAAUUAAGCAUUUGCUUGUCCUCAAGCAAAAUCCUCAACUCACAUUCAAGUUAAUUUCCCUCAAUUUAUUUUUUUCACUGAUAAUGUCUUAAGAUAAUUUACAAAUAAUCAUGCAUUAGAAAUUCACUCUAAAGUGACACUAAACAGUACAAACAAUCCAAGCAGAGAAUUUUUAAGGCUUAAAAACAUUAGGCAUCUCCCCUAUCUCAAUAAUUACCUGAAAUUCAAACUCAACAAGAAUUAUCAUCCUCACUAAGGAUUCACUCAAAGCACUCAAAGUGUUUUAAGGUUCAAGUAAUAUGCACUCAAUAGUUGAACAAGAAAUGUCAUUACUAUAGGCUUUCUUGAAAAUCAAAUCUCCACCACUAUAUAAAUGAGAUGACACAGCAAUCAAGAGGUCUUAAUAAGGUUGUAAUGGGGCUUAGGUUAAGGGUAUUGAAUAGGUUAGAAGAGUUGGUUUUAAUAGAGAAUCAAAUGGAUAUGUUACCAAACUAGAAAAAAAUCAGUUGUUGAAUUAAAAGAAUUUACAUAAACAAGAAAUAAAUAACGAAAAUGAGCUUUUCAACAGAAUAUGAAGCUAACGAUUCAAGCUCAAUCAAAUUUUUUAAUUUUUAGAUUUUUUCACUUUUUUUUCAAACAGAAUACAAUUCAACAAUACAAAUUAUAGAACAUAGUUAGACAACUAAGCAAAUGAGGUCUCGAAAAAAAGUGGUCCAUAAAAAGGAUAAUUUUACAACAUAGAUAUAGGUUAUGUGUUAACAUUAAAGGGUGAUAGAAAAAAUGUGUUAGGAUCAACGAGAUUUACUAGGGGUUAAUUCAACGGGUAAGCUAUUUAAAGGUUAAAUGGGUUAAAUCUUAAAUGCCUCUAUCAUCUCAAUAUAUCAAAUCAUUAAUGUGGUCUCGACAUAUAUAACCGAAGCAAGUUCUAGAAUAACAAAUCAAGUUGACAUACUCACAAUAGAACCAAUAGGAAAAAAAUAUAGGUUAUAUAGGAUCAAAAGCUCACAAAAAAUUAUGGUUUUGAUGUCAAACUUACAAAUUUAAAAUUUCAAAAUAAUUCUUUAGUUCAGGGAGACAACCUAAAAUAAUAGUUUUUGAAAAACAAAUUAUCAUGCUUGACUCUCUCGUGUCUUAAAAUAUUAAUCACACAAUGCACAAAUAUCCACAAAUUAUUCCCAAAAUAGAAUCACUAAAAACUCUAAAUUAAAAAAAUAACUUUAAUGAUAGGUGUGAGAAAAUCACUUAAACACGAACAAUAAUUCAUGGAGACACCUAAAAUAAUAAUUUCUGAAAAACAACUUAUCAUGCUUGACUCUCUCGUGUCUUAAAAAUAUUAAUUACACAAUGCACAAACAUCCACAAAUUAUUCACAAAACAGAAUCACUUAAAACUCUAAAUUAAAAAAAAAAUAACUUCAAUGAUAGGUGUGAGAAAAUUACUUAAACAUACAAACAAUAAUUCAGAGAUUUCAUCACAUAGGCAUACAAACAUCCACCCCACACUUAAGAUGUACAUUAUUCUCAAUGUACAAACAAAUAUAAACAAAAUACACAAAAUAUCAUAGGGGAGGAAGAGAACUAAAACUGCCUUGAAUUUAGAUGAAUUCGUUGGAAUAGUGAAAACCAGAAUCAUAGGCAAUUCUAAAUGAAGUACAUGUUUCCGAGCAAACUAAUAAAAAAAUAGAAAAAAAAGAAGAUAAAGAGAUACAAAAUAGAAAAACAACUUAUAAAAUAAUAACAGUAAUGUUUAAAAUAAAAAUAAAAUUAAACAGAUAAGUCUGAAAAAUAAAAUAAAAAUGAAUAACAAGAAAAAUAAAAAUAAAAAAACAUAAAACUAAAUAAAAUCUAAAUAUUUCAAAAGAAAAUAACAAAAAAAUUCUAAUACUAGUUUAAUAACAAAGUUAGCAGAAUAAAAAUGAAAAUAAUAAUAAAUAGGAUGGUUGGUUUGGAGGGUACCAACGGUGGUGUUGGGAGAAGGAAAAAAAAUGAAAACCCACUAGCAUUAAAAAAGGGUACAUGGCCAUGUGAUAGACCAUGUGAGCCACACAGCCGUGUGGUCAGACCAUAUAUUUCUUUGAAGCUAUGUGGCCUAUUAGAAAAUUUUAAAAAUUUGCUCCAGUGUUCACACGACCUGUGACACGCCGGUGUCUCCAGGCCAUGUGUUGUUACCGUUAGCUUCUCCCACGCCCGUGUACAUGGGUGUGUGGGGCACACGGCCGUAUCUUUAGGCCAUGUGCCUUCGACUCAGACCGUGUGGUCAAAAAAAUAAUUUUGAAAAAUUAUCUCUAGUGUUCACACGGCAUGUGACACGCUUAUGUGUCUAGGCAGUGUGUCCUACACGGUCAUGUGGUCUACCCCAGACCAUGUGGACCACUUUUUUUCCAAUUUUUUUAAAUAUAUUUUUUUUCAAAUUAUUUUUUAAUUUUUUAGGUAAUAAUAAAAAAUAAGUGUACUAAUCACUCAACAUAAUUAAAAUAAAAUAUAAAAAACCACACUCGGGUUGUCUCCCGAGGAACACAUAUUUAAAGUCUAAGUUCGACUUCCCUUUUCAAGAUAAUGGUUAAAGCGGAUCUUGGAGCUGGAGCUCCUUUCUCUCGUUAUCAAUAUCACCACCAAAAUAAAGUUUGAGUUGAAUACCAUUUACCUUAAAUGUGUUGUAUUCAGGACAUGUUACCUCAAUGGUUUCGUAUGAUAAUACGUUCUGUACCACAAAUGGGUUCGACCCUCUUGACUUAAGCUCUGUAAGGACCAUUCAUGGAUCUGACUCAUCUACCAGCACUUUGUCUUCAACUUUGAAUUGAUUUGUCCUCUUUACAUGCGUGCCAUAGCGUUGUUUUGUUACUUCUUUGAACGUUCUCGGUUUCUCAUAAGGCUUUGGUCGCCAUUCAUCUAAUUCAUCAAGUUGCACCAUUCAUUUUCCACUUUUCCCUAGAUUUUUAUCACCUUGAACACUAUACGAUUCUAACACGUAUUCGUGAUUGAUUUCCUGCAAAGAUUGUUGAGUUGCACGAUUACUAACAUUAUUAGAAUAAUGAGUAUCAUCUCACUCAUUAGAAACUCUCACAAUUUCAUGUGUUGGAAGAGUAAACCCUCAUGAUGGUCACUAACUAUAAUUACGACAAAGGCAAGUGCACCUAUCAAACAAUAGUAUAGCUAUGGUGAGUAUAGAGUAUAGUAUCCACGAGGACUAAAACUACUAGUAAUAACUGUUUUUCUAUUAUUUAGCCAAUAAAUUAGGGUGAUUGCUUUUAAUCUAAAUUUACUAAUCUAAAUUAACUAAGAACACAACAGAAAAUGAAAUAGGAAAUAAUCGAAUAAUACCAAAGAGAAAGACAAUACCCAGGAAAGAAUCCACCUAGACUUCACUUAUUAUUCUGAAUAUGAAUUAAAUGAUUUAUUCACUUGUGUCUUGAUCCAUAGAAAUCCCUAAAUUAUAUUAAUAUCUCUUUCGAGAGUAAGAAUAAUUAACACUAGGUUGAUUAAUUGAAAUCUCUUUCUAAUUAAAACUCCUUUUGUCGCAUUAAAUCGAUCUAUGGAUUCCCCUAUUAGAUUUGACUCUAAUCUGGUAGAUUUAUGUCAUCCUAUUUCUAAGAUUGCAUGCAACUUCACUCAAUUAUGUUAGAUCUACUCUUAAAUAGGGACUUUUGCUCCACUAAAAUAAUUACAUUAAACAUGAAUUAAUAUCCCAAAAAUAUUAAAACAUUAAAUAAGCAUAUAUAAUUGAGAACAAGAAUCAAAUAUUUAUCAUGUAAUUCAGAAAUCAAAUAAUAAGAUUCAUCAUAGGUUUCAUCUUCCGUAGGUAUCUAGGGAAUUUAGUUCAUAAUCUGAAAUGAAAACAUCUCAAAGUCAGAAAAACCACAAGACAUAAAGAAAUUCACUAAAACUUCAAAAGAAGUUAAAAUGAGAUUUUCAAUCUUGAAGGAAAUCCGCUUCUGCGUUGGCUUCGAUGGCGUUCUUUGAGUAAUUUCUUCAAUCUUCUCUGAGUGAUCCGUUAGGUCUUCUUCUAAUUGUUAUUUAUAUAUGUAAAAAAAUAGAACGUCGGCAAUGACAAUCUAUUGCAAAGAAAAAUAGAGAGAAAAAUAAAGAACACAGAUUUUACGUGGAAACCCUUUCGAGAAAAAAACCACGGGCAGAGGAGAAGAUAAUUCACUAUGUCGAAUUUGAAUAAUUACAAGAGAAGUAGACUAUGUCUAUUUAUAGGCUUGUAAAACCAUAUUCUAAUAAAAGUGUAGUAAGAUUGAAACACCUUAUUCUAAUAAAUAUCAAAUAGAUGGAGCUUAAUAAGGUUUGAAAAACCUUAUUCUAAAAUAAAAUAAAAGAAGUGUAGUUCUAUAUAGAUUUUACUUUUAUUUUAUUUUACCAAUGUAUUUUUUUAAAUAAGGAUUCGGGUCACUUAAUUCUAACAAUCUCCACAUUGACACGAAUUAUCAAUGAACAAGUUCUUCAUCGCGAACUCUCAAUGAACAAGUUCUCCAUCUCUUCCAUAAAACCCUUUAAGGGUUUAACUUCAACAAUGAACACCAACCAAGUCUAAGUAAUGUUCAAACUUGGUUAUAAGAAGUGACUUAGCAUCAUAUCUGUAGGAUUUUGAUGAGUACUAAUUUUGCUCAUAACAAUAUCACCACGAGCAAUAAUAUCACGAACAAAAUGAUACCAAACAUCAAUGUGUUUUGUUCUCUCAUGAAACAUUUGAUAAGGAAUAUGACACUCUAUCUUUCACAAAAUACUAUACUGAUUUGAAGGUCUUCAUUAAGUUCACUAAAGAGUCCCUUCAACCAAAUGGCUUCUUUACAAGCCUCAGUAAUCGCCAUGUACUCAGCUUCAGUGGUAGACAAAGCAACUGUAGUUUGCAAAGUGGCUUUCCAAUUGAUUGCACAACCUUUUGAUUGUAAAGACAUAACCUGUGAGAUCUUCUUCUAUCAAGGUCUCUAGCAAAAUUAGCAUUAACAUACUCAAUGACUCCAUCUCUAGUUCUUCCAAACUGUAAGCAAACAUCAGUAGUACCUCAUAAGUAUCUUAAAAUCCAGUGAACUACUUUCCACUGUUCUUUAUUGGGAUUCGCCAUGUAUCUGCUAACUGCACUGACUGCAUAUGAUAAAUUUCAACAUGAACAAACCAUAGCAUACAUGAGAGAUCCUACUGCACUAGAGUAUGGAACAUGUAACAUGUACUCAAUCUCAUCAUCUGAUUGUGGAGACAAAGCUGAUGAAAGUUUGAAAUAGGCUGCUAAAGGAGUACUAACAAGCUUAACAUUAUGCAUAUUGAAACUGCAAAGAACUUUCUCAAUGUACCCCUUCUGACUUAGGUAGAAUUUACUAGCUUUUCUAUCUCUGAGAAUCUCCAUACAAAGUAUCUUCUUUGCUGGUCACAAAUCUUUCAUCUCAAUUUCUUCACUUAGUUGUGCUUUGACCUUUCUUAUCUCCCCUUUAUCUUUCAUUGCUAUCAACAUGUCAUCAACAUAAAGGAGUAGAUACACAAAAGAACCAUCACUAUUUUUCUUAAAGUAAACACAACUGUCAAAGCUACUUCUUUUUAAAUCAUGAGAAUUCAUAAAGGAAUCAAACCUCUUGUACCAUUGUCUUGGUGACUAUUUCAAACUGUAAAAGGGACUUUUUUAGCAAGCAAACAUAGUCCUCUUUUUUUGAGACUGUAAAACCCUCUAGUUGUUGCAUGUAAAUAUCCUCCUUAAGUUCUCCAUGCAAAAAUACAUUUUUUACAUCUAACUGCUCAAGCUCCAAAUCAUGCAUGGCCACAAUACCAAGCAAAACUCAAAUCGAACUAUGCUUCACAACUGGGGAGAACACAUCUGUGAAAUCCACUCCUGGAAUUUGACUAUAACCCUUUGCAACAAGCCUUACUUUAUAUCUGGGUUCUUCAACUCCUGGAGUCCCUUCUUUCUUUUUAAAAACCUAUUUACAACGAACAACACUUUUACCUUUAGGAAGUUUCACAAGAUCCCAUGUUUUGUUUUUGUGGAGUGAUUCUAUCUUUUCUUACGUAGCAAACAUCCACUUUUCUGAGUCUUCAUAGCUAACUGCAUUAGAAUAAUUAGAUGGCUCUUGGUUUGCAUCUAUAUCUUCAGCCACAUUUAAAGCAUAAACAACUAGAUCAGCCUCGACAUACUUCUUUGGAGGUUUAAUUUCUCUUCUAAAUCUAUUUUUGGUGAGAGAGUAUUGUGGUGAAGAUGCAACUCUAUUUGAAUUUUUGUACUGGCUUAAGUAGUCGACUCUAUUGUAGAUUCUGGAUUAAUCUGAUGUUCCACCAGCUUUUGAUUUUCUUUAUUAGAAGAGUCUUUAAGAGAUAAGUUAGGUAGCAUAGCAGUUUCAUAAAAAAACAUCUCUGCUAAUCACAACUUUUCUAUUUUCAGGACACCAUAACUUAUACCCUUUUACACCAGCUUUAUAACCAAGAAAAACACAUUUAAUGGAUCUCGGUUCCAAUUUUCCAUUAUCAACAUGAGCAUACGCAGGACACCAAACCAUACUUCUUGUGGAGUCUUUUUCUCAAUGACAAUGGAUUGAGAUCGAUUGAUCAAAAAACAUGCAGUGGAGGCUGCUUCGGCCCAAAACGACUUUGGUGAGUUGGCAUUUGACAACAUAUAUCGAACUUGUUCCAUGAUCGUUUUGUUCAUUCGUUCUGCAACACCGUUUUGCUGUGGAGUAUGAUGAACUGUCAAGUGUCUCACGAUCCCUUCUAACUUGCGCAGUUUAUUAAACUCAUCAAAAUAGAACUCUAAGCCAUUGUCUGUGCGAAGGUAUUUUAUUUGUUUUCCCGUCUAUUUUUCAAUCAUAGUUUUCCAAGACUUAAAUGCGGAAAACAUAUCACUUUUCUUCUUCAGGAAGAACGCUCAAACUUUUCUGGAAAAAUCAUAAAUAAAAGUUAGCAUAUAAUUAGCUUCACCUCUCGAAGGCACUCUAGAUGCCUCCCACAUAUCAAAAUGAAUAUACUCCAAUGUUCCCUUCGUGUUAUGGAUUCCUCUGGUGAAUCGAACUCUCUUUUGCUUCCAAAAAAUGCAGUGCUGAUAGAACUUCAGUUUUCAAAUUCCUUGCCCAUCAAGAAGUCCUAUUUUGCUCAAUUUUGCCAUGCCAUUCUCACUCAUAUGCCCUAGGCUCAUAUGCCAAAGUUUAGUAAUAUCAGCAUCUAACAAGGAAAAGGAAGCGACAGUUGCAUCACCAGUAACAGUAAAACCCUACAGAACGUAUAACUUGGCGGUCUUUCUCUGCCCUUUCAUCACAAUGAGGGAACUUUUGAAAAUCUUCAAAACCCCACUUUCAGCUGUGUAUUUGUACCAUUUUGAAUCAAGAGUACUCAACAAAAUUAAAUUUGUCUUCAAUUCUGGAACAUGUCGUACGUUACUAAGUGUUUUGACAACACCAUCAAACAUCUUAACUUUAAUUGUUCCAACUCCUGCAAUUCUACAUGAAGCAUUAUUUCCCAUCAAAACAACACCUUCAGACACUAUUUUGUAAGUUGUAAAUCAAUCCUGAUUGGGACUCAUGUGGAAAGUGUAGCCCGAAUCAAGGAUCCACUCCUCGCUCACUUCAGAAUUGUUGACAGAAGCGACUAGAAGUUCACCAUCGCUGUAGUCUUCUACAACAUCAGCUUUACUGAUAUUUUCUGGUUGUUUUCCAUUUUGAUUCACAGCCUCCCUUUUGAUCUUGUUCUGUAGCUUAUAGCACUCAAAUUUAAUGUGUCCUUUCCUCUUGCAGGAGUUACAAGUUUUACCUCUGUUUGAAGACUUUGAUCUACUCUUGGAUUUACCGUGAGGAUUUCCCUAUGUCCUUCCACGAUCAUCAUCAACAUUCCAAUCUUGUCUUCCACGAACAAUGAGACCCUCUCUUUGAGAGUCGAUUUUAACUACAAGAUGCUUCAUCCUAUCAUACAAGGUUAAAGAAUUAUAAACCUCAUCAACUGUGAGAGACUCGCGGCUAUAUAAAAUCGUACCUCUAAAGGUUGAAUAAGAUGAGGGCAAUGAACAAAGUAGAAUCAACCCUAGAUCUUCCUUAUCAUAUUGAACCUCCAUGGCCUCCAAGUUUGAGAGAAUUUCUUUAAACACUGUUAAGUGUUCGUGCACCGACGCACCUUCCUCUAAACAAUGAGCAUAAAGAUGCUGCUUCAUAUGCAGCUUGCUAGUUAGAGUUUUCGACAUACAUAUUUUUCCAACCUCUUCCAUAAUCCAGUGGCAGUCUUCUCCUUCAUCACAUCUUGUAAAAUUUCGUUACAUAAAGGUAGAUGUAACUGUGUUAACGCCUUUUGAUUCUUGCGCUUCUUCUCUUUCUCCGUCAAUGUUGAAGGCAUCUUAUUUACCCCUAGUAGGGCUUCCUCUAAGUCCAUCUGUGCAAGAACUGCCUACAUCUUUAUCUGCCACAACGUGAAUCUGGUGUUGCGAUCCAACAGUAGAAUUUCAUACUUCAAAGAUGUCAUUACCGUGAUUGAGAUGAACAACCCAAAAGCUCUGAUACCAAUUUGUAAAAAAAUAGAACGUCAGUAAUAACAAUUUAUUGCAAAGAAAAAGAGAGAAAAAUAAAGAACACACAAACUUUACGUGGAAAUCCUUUGGGGGGAAAAAAACCACGGGCAGAGGAGAAGAUAAUUCACUAUGUCGAAUUCGAAUAAUUACAAGAGGAGUAGACUAUGUUUAUUUAUAGGCUUGUAAAACCAUAUUCUAAUAGAAGUUUAGUAAGAUUAAAACACCUUAUUCUAAUCAAUAUCAAAUAGAUGAAGCUUAAUAAGGUUUACAAAACCUUAUUCUAAAAUAAAAUAAAAGAAUAGUUCUAUAUGGAUUUUAAUUUUAUUUUAUUUUACCAAUGUAUUUUAUUUAAAUAAGGAUUCGAGUCACUUAAUUCUAACAAUAGACUUUAAAAUGCUAAGGAAGCCUAAAAAUUGAGUUUUUCCGCGUGUUUAGGAAACAAGAUGCGAAAUCGACAUGAGUUGGCACAGGGGAGAGUGGCCAGCCCGUGUGACUCAGACGAGCGUGUGGCCAGUCCAUGUGGAAAUGCUGAGGCUGUGUGGAUGCUGAAAACAACUCUUUUUGCUCAAUUUUGGCUUCUAUUUCGCUCAUUUAGCUCCCCUAUGCUUUCUUAAGUAUAAAAACAUGAAUUUGAAGGAUUAGGAGCAUCAAAUUCACUAAUUUACAUAAUUAAUCAUCCAAAAAUGCAUUAAGAAUGGGAUUGAAAUAUGUUACUUUUAUAGCUUAUCAAAUGUCCCCUCACUUAAGCGUUUGCUUGUCCCCAAGCAAAAUGCUCAACUCACAAUUAAAAAUUAAUCUUUCUCAACUUAUAAUUCUCAUCAAUAAUGUUUGGUCAUAAUUCACAAAUAAUUAUACAUUGAUAAUUUAACUAAAAGAGCACUAAAGAUUCAAACAAUCCAAGUCGAGCAUUUUUAAAGCAUGAAAACAUAAAUAUUUCCCCUUAUCUAAGUAAUUACCUUUAAUUCAAAAUCGACAAGAAUCGACAUCCUCACUAAAGAUUCACUCAAAUCACUCAAAGUGUUUAAGGUUAAAAAAUAAGCACUCAAUAGUCAAACAUGAAAAGUCAUUACCAUAGGCUUGCAUGAAAAUCAAAUCUCCACCACUAUAAAAUGAGAUGAUACACAAUCAAAAGGUCUAUAAGAGGUUGUAAUGGGGCUUAGGUUAAAGGUGUGGAAAAAGACUGAAAAAGAUGGUUAGAAUCGAGAUCGAAUUGAUAAAUUACCAAACUAGAAAAAUAAACAAAUGUUGAAUUAAAAAUAAUUACAUCAAUCGAAAGCUAUUCAAGAAUGACUCGAGCUUAUUCUCAAAAAUGAAUUUAACUAUUUAAGCUCAAUUAACAUAGAACUAAGUGAUAAUCAAUAUAUAUGUAUUUUUAUUUUAUUUUUUAAAUUUUCUUCUUUUUUUUGAGAAUAAUAAGAAAUAAUUUAGCAACUUAAACAAAAAGCUUAAUAAAAAAAUUAACCAAAUCAAAUCUCGAUAACAAUGGAGUCAAUAAAACAGGAAAAAUUCUCAAUGAACAAAAAAUGAGUUAUGGGUUAACAUUAAUGGGUAAAUCAAGAAACGGUGUGUUAAGCUCAAAGGGGUUCACUAGGGGUUAAUUAUGUAGGUAGGCUUUUUAUGGGAUAAGUGGGUUAAAACCUAAGUGCCUUUAUCAUAUCAGUAUAUCAAAUCAAAGGUGUGGUCUCGACAUGCAUAAUCGAAGCAAGUUCUAGAAUAACAAAUCAAUAUUGACACACUCAGAACCAAUAAUAAAAAUGAGCAAGAAAAAUGUAUGCUUUAAAGGCUUAAAAUCUCACAAAAAAUUAUAGUUUUUGAUGUCAAUCUUGCAAAUCUCAAACUUCAAGGUAAUACCUCAGUUCAGGGAAACAACCUAAAAUUUUUUAAUUCUGAAAAUAGACUUAUCAUGCUUGAUCCUCUCAUAUCUUAAAGUUUAAAACAACCAAUGCACAAUUAUCUAUGAAUUUAAUCUAAAACACAUCAAUAAAAAUCACAAAUCGAUAAAAAAUCAUUCUAAUAGUAGUAUGAGAAAAUUACUUAAACACAAGACAUAAUUCAGGGAUUUUCUAUUAAUUAUAUAAAUAACCUCCCCACACUUAAGAUGUACAUUGUCCUCAAUGUACAAACAUAGAUAAUCACAUUAUAAGCAGAAUAUCAUAAGAGAGGAAGAAAACUGAAACUACCCUGAAUACUGGAUGAAAUCUCCAGAAUAGUGAAAAGUGAUGUUGUAGUCAAAUCUAAAUGUAGAGCACGAUUUCGUACAAACUAAUAAGAAAAUAAACACAAAUUGUGAAGAAGAUUAAGGGAUUAAAACUCAAUUAGAAACAACCAUAAAAAUAAAAAAUAUAGUUCAAUAUAUAAAAACGAAAUAAGUCUAAGAAAAUAACAAUAAACAUAAAAAUAAAAAUAAAAUAAAACAAAUGGACUCAAUUGUCCUCAUCAUUAGAUGCGUCGGUGUCGUGAGUCGUCGGCGCUGAGGAGGAGAUAUAGAGAUGCUGACAGGUUUGCUGCAAUGUCGCAUCAAUACUGUCGAACCUCUAAAAGCAAUGCUACUUGAAACGAGUGAAUUGCUCGGAGAGGUCUGCUAAAGUAGCAGCAGAAGAAACAUGAAGGUGACUCAAAGGUAGAGGAUGAGGUGAAUCCUCGUGAUGGAAGGGGACAUCAUCAGUGAAGUCCUCGGGUUCAUUCUAAGAGUGAGAAUGAACGAAUUGGUACUGAACAAGAUCUACUCCACGACGCCGCUCAAUCAUCCCCAUAUGGAUCAUGCUCGAGAUUCCCUGUGGGGACAUCUGGUCACGAGUGUAAGUGUAGGGGACUGCUUUGGUGUGUCAAGGAGAUCGAAGUGUCGAGCAAGUCGAGUCACAUAAGGGCCUAAACAGAUGUGACCCUUCUUGUGGCGGUCAGUUUGAUGGCGGAAGGCUAAGGCGAUGAAGUAUGCCGAAUCAAAUAUAUGCCCGGUGGCCAUGCUCCAUAGAAAAUAAACAUCAGUGGUAUUGACGACUCCAGUGCUCUCUCUCCUACCGGUCAAACUAUGAGCUAAAAGGGCAUGAAGAUACCGUAAGGUCGGAGAGAGUGAAGUCGCCUUCGAGCUACUCGCAUCAUAAAGUGUCCUACUCACCUUAAGCUCUGGCCAACAACGAGAUGGCGAGAAAUGGAUGUGCUGGUGUAGGUGCAGGAAGUUCUCGGCACUCAUAAACACCUCAACAUAGAGUCCUAUAGCAGCGCUAAACUCGGGGACACUCAUAUGGCACACCAAACCACCAAGUCUGAAAGUAAUGGUGCCCGAUUGGUCAUUAGUCAUCAUUACCUACUGUAGAAUAAAUGUAGAACAAAACUCCAAAGUAAGCUCCAUGUAUGUGGGCUCGAUGAUGGAGAAAAAUUGGUCCUACGGGGUUGUAGUAAUAAAGGCGCGCACUUGAUUAGCUAUUUGGACCUACUCCAAAGCGGCCCAAUCAAUACAUCAGCCUAGGCCGAGUGGGUGCUGUCGAAAUAGUUGAAAUAAAUUCUCUUGGGGCUCCGUAGAAAUUGGAGAUAAGGGUGGCAGGCCUUGACAGAAGCGCUCGAAGAAGAGGUCGUACCAAGGGUCUUUCGCUUUUUCGAAGCAGGGACGACUACCUUAGACUUGCCUCGUGUUUUCGUCAUGGUGUGCCUGGAAACUAAAUAAUUCAUCAAUAAAUAAAGCAUCACCAAGUAAACAAACAAAGAAGCUGAGAAAUAGUUGUGUAAAUUAACAUACGACACUAAGAAUCAUCCUAAGACGCGCAUCGAAGUCUAAAUUGCCUAAAUAGAAAAUUCAUUCCAAAAACACUAUUUACUAGUAUCAGCCAUGUAAAAAUAAUAACAGAAAAGAAAAAGAAUAAAAUGGGUAAACAAGCAGCAGGGAAUCAAAAAUAUGAAACUAGGGAUGAAUCAUAGAUGUAAUAAUAAACUACACAGUAGCAUAAAGAAUAAUAAAUGGAUGAUAAGAACAGGAAUUAAAAAUAGUAUUAAUGUCAGGAAACAAUUAGAACCAAAAAAAUAAAAUUAUAAAACUAAGAAUAGAAAAUAAUAGAGAGUAAAUAAUGAAUAAAUAAAAUAAAAUAAAAUAAAAUAAAACUAAUAAUAAUAAUAAGAAACAAGAAAAAAAUAAAUAAUAAAGGAAAUAGGACAAAUAGUGGUUGACCGACAAGGGAAUGGUGGUAGCGACCGGACGGCGGCGGUGGAAUGGGGGACGGUGGCGGUAGUGUGCGCAAGGUGGGGGUCAAAUGUUGGAUAGACGGUGAGAAGUGAGAAGGGAAUGGAAAGGGGAGAUGGUGAAAGAGGGAGAGGGUUGGUGGUUUGGGGCAGUUGCGCACGUGGGUGCAAUGGGUCGGGCCGAGGUUUGUGGCGCGGGGGGCUUGGUGGAGGUUGAAUAGGAGCAAAAAGGUAGAGGAGAAGGGGUUGGUGAGAUGGGGCAAAGGAAGGGGAUCUAGUCGUUCAGAUGAGGGCUUGGAAAGAGAAGGGAACAAGAAGAAGAGGGGGCGGACGUUCGAUCAGAAUUGGGACAACGGGAAAGGAAUGGCGACCGGAAAGGGAGUGGUUGGCGGCUAGUGUUUGUUGGGAAGGUGGGGGAAGAAGAUAAAACAAAUGAAAAGAAAAGUGGGGCUAGGGUUUUUCAAGGGUGAAACGGUUGUGUUAGGGCCCGUGUUAGGCCACACGGCCGUCUCACAUGCCCGUGUGCUCUCGUUCAGCCCGUGUGCGUUAAAAUUUUUAACCUAGUCUUCACAUGGCCUUAGACACACCCGUGUGUCAAGGCCAUGUGGCACACACGGCCGUAUCACAUGGCUGUGUGCAACCUGCUUCAUUUCUCCCACGCCCGUGUGGUUCAACCGUGUCUUGCACACGGCUAUGUGCUUGGCCCGUGUAACUCUUUGACUUGUUUUAAAAAUAAAAAAAUUAGCUCCAGGUUUCUCAUGACCUAGGACACACCCGUGUGGACUAUUUUAGGCCGUGUCUCUGCCGAUUUUUGAAAAAACUAAGUCCUAGAAUCCACACGACCAAGGACACGUCCGUGAGUCUAGGCUGUGUGGGUCAGAUGGCCAUGUCGCCAUGCCAUGUAACUCAUUAUCGAUUUUUUAAAAUUUUAAAACUAAGUCUUAAGAUCCACAUGCAAAGGACACGCCUGUGUGUCUAGGCCGUGUAGGUCACACGGCGAUGUCGCCAGGCCGUGUAACUCACUAUCGAACCCCUUUUAGUGGACACAGCCUGGGACACGCCCGUGUGUCUAGGCCGUGUGGGUUCAAAAAACCUACAUUUUUUUAAUAUUUGAAAAUUAAUUAAUUUUAAAAAUAUCAUGAGAUAAAAUUAAGAAAAUUAGCAGUGUUAACACUCAGGUUGCCUCCCGAGAAGCUCUUAUUUAAAGUCUAAGCUCAACUUACCUCAAAUUCGCACGGUCACGGUGGUUCGCAGAGUUGAAACUCCUCUUUCUUUCUGUCAAUUCUAUUAUCAAAAUAAGGUUUGAGCCGAGUAAUAUUUACCUUAAAACUGUCGAAUUCAGAAUGAGUUACCUCGACUGUACCGUAUAUGAAGACAUUCAGUACUGUAAAAGGAUUUGCUCCGUUUGCAUUAAGCUCUAAAGUGGCAAUUCGAGGGUUCGUUUUAUCUAAUAGUACCUGAUCCCUAACCUUAAAUUGGUUCGUUCCAUCCUUAUGCUCGUCAUGUCAUCGCUUGGGUUCUGCAUCGUGUAUUCUCGGUUUCUCUUUGACAUGUGUCCGCUAUUCAUCUAGCUCAUUGAUCUGUAGCCUUCGUUCUUCAUGAGUUGUUCUGUUUUUGUCGCAUGAACUGGAACGUGGGUCUAUUACGUUUUUCCGAGGGUUUUCCUGCAAAAAAUUUUGAGCCACAAGGUUACUCAUAUUAACAGAACUUGUAUAAUCAUCUCGAUCAUUAGAUGUCUUAACAGAAUCACGAGCUUGGAGUUUAAUCGUAUUAUCACCUACACAAAGUAUCAAUUCACCUAUACCAACAUCAAUAAUAGUUCUGGCAGUUGCUAAAAAGGGUUGACUUAGAAUCAAAGGUAUGUCGCUAUCCUCAUCCAUGUCUAAAACAACGAAAUCAACUAGGAAUAUGAAUUUAUCAAUUUUGACAAGAACAUCUUCAAUAAUGCCCCUAGGAAAUGUAAUGGUUCUAUUUGCUAAUUGAAUACUCAUCCUAGUUUGUUUGGGUUUCCUGGGACCUAGUUGCUUAAACAUUUUAUAGGGCAUGACAUUAAUACUAGUCUCUAAAUCAGCCAAAGCAUUAUUAACAUUUACACUACCAAUUAAACAAUGAAUAGUAAAACUCCUUGGAUCUUUCAAUUGGUUGGGUAGUUUGUUUUACAAAAUGGCCGAGCAAACUGCAUUUAGCUCCACUUGCGACGAAUCAUCUAACUUCAAUUUUUUUGCCAAAAGCUCCUUUAAAAAUUUAAUGAAAUUGGGCAUCUGCAAAAGAGCUUCAAUAAAUGGUAAGUUAAUAUGUAUUUUUUUCAAAAGUUUAAGAAAUUUACCAAAUUGUUCGUUUGCGUGGUCUUUCUUUCUCGCGUUGGGAUAUGGCACAUGAGGUUUAUAUUCCUUACCAACCCUUUUUUGCUCAUUUUGGCUUACCUCAACCUUACCUUUACUUACCACACUUUCUUGCAUCGGUUCUGGUUUAGAUUCAACUAACCCUUCUUCAUCUCGAACAGUAAUUGCAUAAAGCUGCUUUCUUGGGUUAGUUUUGGUGUUGCUAGGCAAGCUACCUUACGGUCGUUCUGAAAUCAACUUCACAAGUUGACCAAUUUGGUUCUCAAGCCCUUGAAUCGAUGGUUGUUGAUUUUUAAGUGUUGUUUCAUUGUUUUGGAAGUGAGUUUCUGACACUGAAAUAAACUUCGUCAACAUCUCAUCAAGGUUCAGCUUUUUUUUCUUAUUGGUAAGGUGGUUGAAAGCCUAGAGGGGGUUGUAGUCUUUGGUUUCCUUGACCACCCCAAGAGAAAUUGGGAUCGUUCCUCCAACCUGCAUUAUGAGUGUUACUAUAAGGAUUAUACUGAGGCCUAGAAUUAUUACCCAUAUAGUUUAUUUGUUCGUUCUCUCUGCUAGGACCGUAGGGUAGACAUUCUAGAUUGUUCAUCCUUCCUCCAUUCGUAUUGCACUGCAUCACUGGAUGUACCUGCGUAGAAACACAUAAACCAUCAAUUUUCUUAUUUAAUUGUUCUACCUAAUUUUAUAACAUGGUAGCUGCAUCUAAAUUGAAAACACCGGCUGCUCUAUUAGGCUUCAUCCUCAUGACUUGCCACUGAUAAUUAUUCAGUGCCAUCUCCUCUAUAAAUUCAUAAGCCGCUUCAGGUGUUUUAUUGUUUAGAGUACCACCUGCGGUUGCAUCGAUCAAUUGCCUAGUUGAGGGGUUCAAACUGUUGUAGAAGGUUUGAACCUGUAGUCAUAAAGGUGACCCAUGGUGAGGGCACCUUCUCAAUAAAUCCUUAUACCUCUCUCAUGCAUCAUAUAGAAUCUUUAAGUCAAUCUACACGAAAGAAGAGAUAUCAUUCCUCAACUUAGCUGUCUUAGCCAUUAGGAAGUACUUCAAUAGAAAUUUCUCGAUCAUUUGGUCCCAUGUAGUGAUAGAACCUCGUAGUAAGGAAUUCAACCACUGUUUAGCUUUGUUCCUCAACGAGAAAGGGAACAACCGUAGGCGAAUGGUAUCAUCAGAAACACCAUUUAUCUUGAAAGUAUCACAAACUUCCAGAAAGUUAGCCCUAAUGAGUAUUUGGAUCUUCGUCCUACAAACCAUCAAAAUGAACAAAUUGUUGUAUCAUCUGAAUAGUGUUUAGCUUUAGUUCGAAAUUAUUCGCAGCAAUGGUAGAACUCACAAUACUCGAUUCAGCCCCAGUUAGAGUAGGGUUGGCAUAAUCGUACAUAGUACGAGGAGUAGGAUUUGGAUUUUCAGGAUUUGCAGCAACCACAGGGGGUAGCUGAUUUUUCUGAUUAUCAGCCAUCUCGUUAGUAAUAAUAAUGUCUUCUUGCUCUCCCACUGUACUCUGUCGAUUUUGCCGUGCUUCUCUAUGGUUUCUGCAAGUUGCACUUUCAAUCUCACUAUCAAAUACUAAUGGUCUCGACGGGUUUCUUCUAGUCAUAAACUAAAGGAACCUGCCAUAAGCAAAUAAAAGAAAAAAUUAGAAAACAAAAAAUAAACUAAAAAAAUAAAAUGCAAUAAAAAUAAAUGGCUAAAUUAAUAAAGAUCGAGUGUUCCUAAUAUUUUAGUCCCUGGCAACGGCGCCAAAAACUUAAUGAUCACUAAACUAACGAUAAUUAUGAUAAAGGCAAGUGCACCUAUCGAACAAUAGUAUAGCUAUGGUGAGUAGAGAGUAUCGUAUCCACGAGGACUAAAAGUACUAGUAAUAUUUAGCCGAUAAAUUUGGGUGAGUGUUUUUAAUCUAAAUUUACUAAUCUAAAUUAAACAAGAACGCAAUAAAAAAUGAAAUAGGUAAUAACCGAAUAAUACCAAAGAGAAAGACAAUACCCAGGAAAGAAUCCACCUAGACUUCACUUAUUAUUCUGAACCUAAAUUAAACAAUUUAUUCACUUGUGUCUUGAUCCGUAGAAAUCCCUAAUUUAUGUUAAUAUCUCUUUCGAGAGUAAGAACAAUUGACUCUAGGUUGAUUAAUUGAAACCUCUUUCUAAUUAAAACCCCUAUUGUCGCAUUAACUCGAUCUAUGGAUUCCUCUAUUAGAUUUGACUCUAGUCCGAUAGAUUUAUGUCAUCUCAUUCUAGGAUUGCAUGACACUCCACUCAAUUAAGCUAGAUCUACUCUUAAACAGUGACUUUUGCUCCACUAAAAUAAGCACAUUAAAUAUGAAUUAAUAUCCCAAAAAUAUUAAAACAUGAAAUAAGCAUAUAUAAUAGAGAACAAGAAUCAAGUAUUUAUCAUGUAAAACAGAAAUCAAAUAAUAAGAUUCAUUAUAGGUUUCAUCUUCCCUAGGUAUCUAGGUAAUUUAGUUCAUAAUCUGAAAUAAAAACAUCUCAAAGUCAGAAAAACCACAAGACAUAAAGAAAUUCACUAAAACUUCGAAAGAAGUUAAAAUGAGAUAUUCAAUCUUGAAGGAGAUCCACUUGUGCGUUGGCUUCAAUGGUGUUCUUCGAGUAAUUUCUUCAAUCUUCUUUGAGUGCUCUCUUAGGUCUUCUUCUAAUUGUUAUUUAUGGACUUUAGAAUGCUCAGAAAGCCUAAAAAUUGGGUUUUUCCGUGUGUUUGGGAAACAAGUUGCGAAAUCGACACAGGCUGGCACAUGGGCGUGUGGCUACACAGGCUCGCUACACGCCCGUGUGAGAGUUGAAAUGCUCAGGCCGUAUGGAUGUUGAAAACAACUCUUUUUGUUCAAUUUUGGCUUUCUUUCGCUCCUUUCGCUUCUCUAUGCUCACUUAAGUAUAGAAACAUGAAUUUAAAGGAUUAAGAGAAUCAAAUUCACUAAUUUACAUUAUUAAUCAUCCAAAAAUACAUUAAGAAUGAGAUUAAAAUAUAUUACUUUUAUAGCUUAUCACCUCAGUACAAGUUCAUCGUUACCCACAUUAAUAAUAGUUCUAGUAGUGGCUAAAAAUGGUCAACCUAAGAUCAUGGGUACUUCAAUAUCCUCAUCUAUGUCCAAUAUAAAAAAAUCAAUAGGGAAUAUAAAUUUAUCAACUUUAACAAGUACAUCUUCAAUAAUGCCCCCAGAAUACUUAAUUGAUCUGUCAGCUAAUUGAAUACUCAUCCUAGUGGGUUUUGGUUCACCGAGACCAAGUUUUUUUAACAUUUUAUAAGACAUAAGAUUUAUACUAGCACCCAAAUCAGCCAAAGCUUUUUCAACAUUUAAGUUACCAAUAAAAUAAGGAAUAGUAAAACUCCCUAGAUCUUUAAGCUCGGUGGGUAGUUUGUUUGUUAGAAUAGACAAGUAAUCCUUGUUGAUCUCCAUAGUUGACAAGUCGUCUAAUUUUCUUUUAUUUGUUAAUAGCUCCUUUAAAAAUUUUGUAUACUUUGACAUCUGCAAAAGGGCUUCACCAAUAGGUAAAUUAAUAUGCAAUUUCUUUAAAACUUCUAGAAAUUUACCAUAUUGUUCAUUCAUGUGGUCUUUCUUCAUUGCUGUCGGUUAUGGGAUUCGUGGUUUGUAUUAUUUGACCACCGGCUUACGCUCUUUCUUGCUUUCAUCAACCCUAUCAUUUUUCAAAAUAACUUCUAGGAUCAUCUCCUUUUCAGGCUUGACUAACCCUUCCUCGCUUCGAAUAGUGAUUGUAUGGACUUACCUUUUGCCUCUUUGGGUUGGUUUCAAUGUUUCUAGGUAAACUACCUUGCUAUCUCUCGGAAACUAGUUUAACAAGCUAUCCAAUAUGAUUUUCAAGCCUUUGACUCAAUGUUUGUUGAUUUUUUAGAGCUGUCUCAAUUUUCUGAAAUCUAGUCUCAAACACCAAAAUAAAUUUAGCUAACAUCUCCUCAAGGUUUGGUUUCCUUUCCUGCUAAUAAGGUUGCUGAAAUUUUGGAAGGGGUUGUGACCUUUGAUUACCUUGACCACCCUAAGAGAAAUUUGGAUGAUUCCUCCAUCCUUGAUUAUAAUUAUUGCUAUAAAGGUUGUUUUGAGGUUUAAAAUUGUUACCCAUAAAGCUAAUUUGCUCAUGCUCGAUGUUCGAACCGAGGGGUAAACAUUCUUUAUUGAUUACCAUUGCUCCAGUCGCAUUGCAUUGCAUUUCUGGAUUCGCUUAUUUAUCCCAACUCAAACCAUCAAUCUUUUUACUCAGAGCUUCCACCUAACUUGCCAACAUAGCAACUGCAUCCAUAUUAAAAACACUGAUUUCUUUAAUCUGUUUCAUUCUCAUAACUUGCCACUGAUAGUUAUUCAGUGUCAUCUCCUCAAUAAACUCUUGAGCUACCUCAGGUGUCUUAUUAUUCAAUGUUUUGCCAGCUACUACAUCAAUUAGCUGCCUAGUCAAGGGAUUUAAACCGUUGUAAAAGGUUUGAACUUGUAACCACAAAGGUAACACAUUCUUAAAAUAUCCUUAAUUCUUUUCCAUGCAUAAUAUAAUGUCUCCAAAUAAAUUUGAGAAACUUCUUAGUCCUCUGAUCCCAAGUCAUGAUAAAACCAUGUAGAAGUGAAUUCAACCACUGUUUUGCCUUCCUCCUCAAAGAGAAUGCGAACAACUUUAAGGAUAUGGCAUUGUCAGUAAAACUAUUAAUCUUGAAUGUGUCACAAAUCUCUAGAAAGUUAGCUAAAUGAGCAUUUGGAUCUUCAUCUUGUAACCCAUCAUAUUGGACAUAUUGCUGAACCAUCUGAAUUGCAUUCGGCUUUAGCUCAAAAUUGUUUGCAGCAAUAGCCAAGAUGACGAUACUCAAUUCAACCCCAAUCAGAGUAGGCUUAGCAUAAUCCAACAUAGUACGAGGAGCAGGAGGUGCCGGAGGCUGCUGAUUAUUUUGAUUAUUUUCCAUCUCUACAAUAAUGUCCUUUUGCCCUUGAUCAUCUAUUAAUAUCUGUUGACCUUGCUUUGCUUCUCUAACCUCUCUACGAUUUUUGCGAGCAGUCUUUUCAAUUUCACUAUCAAACACUAACGGAUCCAACGAUUUUCCUCUAGUCAUAAACCAAAAGAACCUGUAAAAAUCAAACAAAAGAAAAAUUAAAAUGUAAAAAUUAAAUUUUAAAAAAUAUACAUUAAAAAAUAAAGUUUUCCUAAUCUUCUAGUCCCGGGAAGCGGCGCCAAAAACUUGAUGUCCAUGAAACUAACUAAAAAUAUGACUAAGACAAGUGAACCUAUCAAUUAAUAGUAUAGCUACGGUGAUCACAGAUAUCGUUCCCAUUGAGACUAAAGGUACUAGUAAUGUAACACCCCAAUAUCGUCUUCGUCACUAGAUUAGGGUUACGGAGUGUUACAUUACAAUAUAGAACAUUUAACUUCAAAAAGAAACAAUUAUACCAAACUAAAUAAUACCAUUCCAUAACUCAUAUAAUUCAAGGUAAAAUUAAAUUUAUGGACCUUAAACCGAGCCCACAGGGCCUUAAAAAUAAUUUCAAAACAAUUAGGGGUCAUUUUAAAACAAAACAUAAAAACCUAAAAAAUUUGAAAACAGAGGUCCCACGGUUGUGUGACAAAGCCCAAACCGUGUGGCUAAAAAAUAUCGUUGUGUGUCUAUUUCACACGCCUGUGUGGCUAAUUCACACGCCUGUGUGGCUAAUUCACAGUCCUAUGUAUGUGGACCGUAUAAGUAACUGUGCCCAUGUAAUAUAAAGUUAUACGGCCGUAUGGCCAGACCGUAUAGCUCGGGGUCACAUGGUCGUGUUGCCAGGCCGUGUAACUCUCUUUGCCCGUGUGGACCAACCUGCACUUAAAAUAACAAUGACACACGGUCGUAUGGUGUGUUUGUGUGUGGCACAUGGCCGUGUGAUAACCCGUGUCCCAAGCCGUGUGCUCCAAUUCGUACCUUCAAAUUCAAGUUUACCAAAACAUGCCUACCUGGACAUCAAGAAACCCAAUUUUCAUCAAAUAGACUUACUCAAAACACGAUUAAACAAGCUUAAAACAAGUCAAAACAUCCAUCCUAAGUGUCUAACCAAUGUGCCCUCAUUGACACCACAAUUCAAUUUUUCAACCAAGUUGCAUUCAAAGCCCAUAACUCUUUACUAAGAACACAUGCCAAUCUUACCUUUCAUACAAUCAAGUUCACUUUUAUCAUAGUAUAGUCAUACAAUUGUAGCAUAUAGCCGAAUGAACGAAAACACUUAUUUAUGAACCAUUACAAGCCAAAUAUCAAAGAUAUAUAUUCACAUGAACCAAAAUCAUUUCAAGACCAAAAUCAUUCAAGUCUAGCAACUACCACAAGUAACUUGUAAUCAAGACGUUUACAAAACACCUAUUACAUGCCAUAUAACCCAAAAGUAAACAUUCAAAACAACCAAAAGAUAUCUGUGAUUUCUUUGACUCAAUCUAAUCACCCGACUUCAACGAAAUGCUGUGUACAAAGAGAUAAGACAAAUAACAUGAAUAAGCUUUUAUAAAGCUUAGUAAGUUCGACAAUUGAAACAAAUAAGCUUACCGGAAUAACAUGAAAACUUAAAUAACAAGAUUAAUAGUCAGUAUUUCUUGUCAACCACAAUCCGUAACAGGUGAGUUAAACACAAACGAGUACGAGUUACAUUUGAAUAUAAUCAUAUGAUAUCAAUCCGUAAUGUUAACAUGAAUUCAUAAUCAAUUCAUCGACAACUCAAUAUCAAGUCAUUUAACAAUAGAAAUGUUGCCCGAUGAACGAUAUACGGAUAUGAGUACACAAUUAUCUACCCGAAACACACCAAACGCUCCAAUGAGCCAAUCCAACUGAAAACACUCCUUGACACCAAGUGCCUAGACCAAAAGGCUAUCAUUCCUCCAAAACCACGCCCGGGCACUAAGUGCCAAGCCCAAAGGCUUUACAUCCACCUCCAAUAACACACCAAAAUCAUUGCAAUAUAACUUGAUAGUUCGCAACAAAUGAUGAACCUUGGGAUAUUCAGUGUAUAAACACAAAUCAGGAAUAAUUGCCUCAUCACAUAUCAAUCCCGUAAAAUGCAUAUUAUAACCUAUUGGCACGCCAAUCGUACUUUAUCCUACGUUCAUCCAACCCAAUAAAUAUCAUCGCUAAACAAUGUUCCAAGAAUUAACCAAUUCAAUUUAUACUAAUUAAAAUUAAACAUUUAGUAACCAAUUUAACAUUCAAUAUACAUUUCAAAUUAAAUUAAACUAAACUGAAUGAACUUCUAGGGCUAAACUGCAGUAAUAACAAAAGUCCAAGGACUAUUCUAUAACCUUCCCUUUUCCUCUGUUAUCAACUUGCUCUUGAUCUAUAAUAUAAUUUUAUUUCAAUUAUUAGCCUCAAUUUAAUAUAUUAUUCAAUUUAAUACAUGUGACUUCUUAUGUACAAUGUUACACAUUUACCCCAAACUUUUACACUUUAUUCAAUUUAAUCCCUAAACCCGAAACAAUAUUAUUUUCCAAAAUUAAACUCUAUUCCCAUAGAACCAAUUUUUUAACUAUACAAAAUAAAUUCACACAUGCUGAAAUUUCAUAAGAAAACCUUGCUUAAUUUAAUUUAUUUUCAAUUAAAUCCCUAAACUUAAAAUCAUAAAAAUUACUCAACAAAAUAUUUCUAUUUAACAACCAAACAUAGUAAUUCACCAUUAAACUUCAAGAACACACUAAAUUCAUCAAUGACACAUUCAAAAACAUUCAAUAGUUUCAAAAUCGGAGGUACGAGUUAUCUGGACCUAGUUGUAACGAUCUCAAAAACAUAAAAGUCAUGAAAAAUUAACCAAGAAACACUUACAAGCAAUCAUGAAUUCAAACCAAACCUCCCCCAAGUCUUCCAAUGGAGGCUCAACCAAUAUAAAAGAAAAAUGAAGAAGAUAGUACCAUUCUUUACAUUUUCUUUCACUUAAUUUAUACAAUAAUUACAAGUUUGUCAUUAGUUCAUAUUUUUAAUCAAUUUUCUACAUACCUACUGUCCACUAAAUAUGGAAAUGAUUUAAUUGCCAUAAUAAAUCAUCCUAAAUUAUUUAAAUAUCCAAUUAGCACUAAAACACUAAUAAUAAUUGACUUUUUCACUUUUUACAAUUUAGUCAUUUUAAAUUAAUUACCUAUCUAAACGUUAGAAUUUAUAACCAAAAUUUAAUACAAUACUAUUUACCUCGUAUAUAUUAAAUAAUUAAUACUUACAGACUGACACGUCAGAAUUGUGGUCUUGGAACCAUUAUUUCCAACACCACUGAGAAACGAGUUGUUACAAGUAAUUACUUUCUUUCUAUUAUUUAACCGAAUAAAUCCAGUACUAAAUUAAAAACUGAAAUUAACUAAUGAACACGACAAAUAACAAAAUAGAAAAAUAACAGAUUAGCAACCAAGAAGCAAAACAAUACCUAUGAAAGAAUUCACCAAGAUUCAUCUACCGCUAUCAAUCUAAAUUAUGAAAUUUCUUUACUUAGUAUCUUGAUCCGUAGAAAUCCAUAAAUUAUAUUAACAUCUCUUUCGAGAGUAAAAGUAACUGACUCUAGGUUGAUUAAUUGAAAUUUCUUUCUAAUUAAAACCCCUAUUAUUACAUUAACUUGAUCUAUGAUUCCCCUAUUAUAUUUGACUCUAAUCAUGUAGGUUUAUGUCAUCUUAUUUCUAGGAUUGCAUGCAACUCCACUCAAUUACACAAGAUCUACUCUUACACAGGGUCUAUUCCUCCUCUGAUUUUAGCAAAUCAAACAUGGAUCAAUAAUCUAGAAAUAUUAAACCAAGACUUAAACACACAAAAUUGAGAACAAGAUCUAAGUAUUUAUACCAUAAAAUAAAAAUCAAAUGACAAAAUUCAUCAUAGGUUUCAUCUCCUCUAAGUAUUUAGAAAAUUUGUUCAUGCUUGAAAAUAAAAAUAUCUAAGAUACAGUAUAACCGAAAGAAACAAAGAAACUCAUUAUAUCUUAAGAAAUCAAAUAUGAAUCUUCAAUCUUGAUGGAAUUCUGCUUUAGAAUUGGCUUCAAUGGUGUUUUUCGAGUUGUUUUCUUGAAUAUUCUAUGAUGACUAACUUCUAUCUUCUUAUUUUUUUCAUAUAUACGUCUUAGAAUACCAUGUGUAAAAGGUUAGCCCGUGUAACCCCUGUACCCUAUUCUGAUUUUCUAGUAUUCGCUUGUUUUUCGCUCCUUUUACUCACAAAUGAUCUCUUAAGUAUAAGUGCUUGAAUGCAAAGGACUAAGAGCAUAAAAUUCAUCAUUAACAUCGAAUAAUCACCCCAAAACACAUUAAUACUGAGAUUAAAACAUUUACUUUUAUCACUUAUCAAUUAUGAUGUAGCAUUUUUAAUUAGUCAUGUUCCAAUUAAGUAUUUAGAAUAAUAGUAAACAAUUAAAAUUUUUAUAUUUUUAACAUUAUUCAUGCACUGGACGGAGCACUAUGUUCUGGCAGGUGCGACUAGAAUUAAUCAGAAUAAGUUGGUGCAACUGGUACGGGCCAAAUUUUUUUCCAGUGCAGAAAAAUGGUGUUUGGUGUUUCGCAAUGUUAUUGAAACCGGAAUGAACAGACCGAGAAAUUAACCCAAGAACAAGAGUAAACCACAUUUAAACCGCAAAUUGUCGAUCGGUUGAACUAUUUAAACCGUAUUUUCACAUUUUCUAAACCCAAAAAACAAAAAUUUCACCCUAAAUCCCUUAAGCUUUUGUUACACUUCAUCUCUGCUCUCAAUGAAAUCAAACACAACAUAAAAAAAGAACCAGUUCUUUUCUUACUUUAUCUACUAAAAUAAGUUUUUUUUUUUGGUAAAAAAACCUAAGUAGGACAUAUAACAUUCAAUCAAUCAAAGCAAAGAAGAAGAAAACUUAGGAAAGAUGAAAGAUGGGGAGAGGGUAGGUGGCAAAGAAAUGAAAAAAUGAAUUUGAAAAGUAUAGAUUAAUGAAAAGAUUCUUCUAGGCUUCAUUAUUUUACCCUUUCUUAUCACGGGCCUAAAAUAGAUGUGCUUGAUUGGGUUUUAAAACUUAAAGCCUCCAAAAUAGAUGAGUUUGAUUGAAGUUUCUAAUAAUUAGUAUUAUUUUAUAUUGUUGAAAAGUAAAUUAAUUGUAUCAGUGGUUGAACCUAUUAGAUCAAGAAUCAAUGAUUUGAUUAAUUCGAUCAUUGGUCUAAUUUUAAAAACAUUGAUAAUUCGAUAUAGAAUUAAAAUAAUACACACAAAUUAGUUUAAUUGAAAUCGAUACGAAACCGGCCACCCUAAUUUAGUACAUAAUUGGGCAUCCAUAUAAAAUAUUUUCUUGGGAUUAUAUUGAAAGAGGAAAGUAAUCGUAUGUAAAUGGAUAACUUGGAAGAGAUAAUGAAGAAGGAACCAUUAUAUCAGCAGUGGCAUCUUCUCGAUGUAUGGCUGCUCAAUAUCUUGACUGCAUUUAUCAUUUGAUUCUUUUCUUAAUUAGCCAAACUCAUGAUAAAAAUGGUAUAAAAAUAGUUAAUUACUUCAUGGACAGAACAUUAAUAUAUAAAUACCCCAUAUAUAAUAAGCAACAACGUAUCAAAGUACACCAAAUAACAGCAAUUGGAGAACUCCCAUUUAUACAAUCAAAUAUAAGUGGGCAAAAUCAAUAAUCAUAAUAAAGACACAAAGACGACUAAAAACCUUAUUAAACUAGAUCUAGUAUGCAGCAGAUAAAAAAAGGGGGUAUUUAAAGAAGUAGAACGAGAAGGUGGUGGAAAAAGAAAGGAAUAGAGGGAAAUGCAGUUGGGAUUGUAGGGACUGAAGGAAUGCUUUGUAGAGGGGGAAGUCCUCUUGGCAAUGUGGUAGGAAGUGGAGGAAACGCCCCAGGGUUUGGGAAAUUAUGGAAAUAUAGAAAUGGUGGAAAAGAGAAAGGAAUUGGGGGAAUUGUAAUUGGGAUUGUGUGGACUGAGGGAAUGCUUGGUAGAGGGGGCAGUCUUGUUCGCAAUGUGGUAGGAAGUGGAGGAAAUGCCCCAGGCCAUAGGAAUGAUGGCCGGGAUGGCGUUGGGAGAUUAAGGAAAGAUGGCAAACUUUGCGUUUGAGGCUGUUAUAGAAGGUGAGGAGCUGCUACCCCAACAUUGUUAGGAUCGAUCCAAUUAAGCAACAAGUAACAAAAAAUAGUGGAAUAAAUUGAGAAAUUGAACACACAAAUUUAACGUGGAAAAACCCCUCCAAAGAGGAUAAAAAACCACGGGUAAAGGUAAUUUUACUAUAAUGGCCAAAGAACGAAGAGUACAAAAGAUGGAGAUAAAAAACUAAACCCCGAAAAACCCGAAAAAAAGGAACCCUCAAAACAUAAAAACAAAAUUCUCUAAAUGUGUUAUGAGUUCUAAUCUCUAAUUGGUGUAUUUUCUAAGGUUGUAAAAGAACCUAUUUAUAGGCUAAAUUAGUAAGUCAAAUAAACUAUGCUAAUAAAUGCUAAAUAUAUUAUACUAAUAAAUACUAAAUCUUCUAGAAAGAAAAUAUAUUUUAUUUAACUUAACUUGCAAGCAAUCUCUUAGAAUUUGGGUCACACAACUCUAACAAUCUCCACAUUGACACAAAUUCUUACAACGCUAUCUUUGCCAAAGCCCGCCACGAGCCUAUCUUGAACUAUGUAGGGAAUUAACUGAGUCGAAUCUGUGCUAAGAUGUUGGAAGACUUCUAGCCUUCGACUUGUGCAGUUCCAAAUCAAAACUAGCCCUGGUCUAAUUUUUACGAACACAGUGCCCUAACUUUUCAAAAACUGCAUCCAAAAGAGAACCUCUCUCCAACGAAACGGUCAUACCUUUUUCCCUCCUAUGACCAAGUUGCCUCCGCUCCAAAAGAGUUGACUUCGACUCCGUAACGGACGAGGGACGUCUGAUUUUACCAGUCACUGUAGAACCUUCCAGAAUAUAAAGACUGCCAGUUUUUUUACCUUUUAACAAAACAAGAGCUCCACGAGGUACUUUAAUGUCACUCGACUCAAUGUUGAUUCUGUAUCCUUUCAAGUCUAAAAUAUUCAAGGAGAUGAAAUUCUUUCGUAAAUCAGGUACAUACCUGACAUUUGAGAGUGUCCUAAUCGUCCCAUCGUGUAUCCUAAUUUUAAUAGUACCAAUACCAAUUACCUUACUAGAUGAAUCGUUUCCCAUGCAAACAACUCCACCUUCAGCCGAACUAUAUGUGGAGAACUAUUCUCUAUUGGGACACAUGUGGAAAGAACAUCCCAAAUCUAGGAUCCACUCGAACGUGAGCUUGGAAUUAUUGAUCGUUGACACUAACAAGAAAUCAUCACCGCUUUCAUCAGCCAAAUUAGCACCAUCUACAUAUUCCUCGUUACUCUGAGUAGCUAUUUUAUUUCACAGUUUAUAACAAUCUGCUUUGACGUGACCUAACUUUUUUUACAAUAACGACACCUUUUGUCUCAUUUCUUUGAUGCUACCAAAACAGAAGCUUGCCUAUCUGCCUUACUAUCCAAACCAAACUCAUUGUCAAGUUUUUCUCUACUUAACAAAUGACCCUUCACAUCUUCGAACGAGAGUUUGUCUCUGCCAUAAAUCAGGGUCUCCCUGAAAGACUUGUAUGAAGGGGAUAAAGAGCACAAUAAUAGCAUAGCUUGAUUUUCAUCGUCGAUAUGAACCUUAACAAUCAUUAAAUCAUUUAAAAGAGUAAUAAAUUGACUGAUGUGAUCUCUAAGAAACUCACCUUUGUUCAUGCGAAACGUGAAUAGACGUUGUUCCAACACUAAACGGUUAGCCAAAGACUUAGUCGCAUAAAGAGUUUCUAACCUUUUCGAUAAGUAGAUGAGGUCUUCUCCAUCAAUACCUCUUAUAAUACCGUAUUCGUGAGGCACAACUGGAUUGUAUAUAAGGCCUUUUCAUCAAGCUCUUCCCAUACUAUUUGAUUUAGAUUCUCAGGUUUUUUCUCGGUAAGAACCUUUUUCAAUCCGGUUUGAACUAGAAUUACCAUAAUUCAAACUUGCCACAGAUUAAAAUUUGUCUCACCAUCAAACUUCUCAAUUUCAAACCUUGUUGCUAUCAUCUUUGAAUAGGCUGAUCUAUAAAAAUUACAGUAGCUUUGAUACCACUUGUUAGGAUCGACCCGAUUAAGCAACAACUAAUAAAAAAUAUAAAAAUAAAUUGAUAAAUUGAACACACAAAUUUAACGUGGAAAAACCCCUCCAAAGAGGAUAAAAAACCAAGGGCAAAGAUAUUUUACUAUAAUGGCAAAAGAACGAAGAGUACAAAAGAUGGAGAUAAAAAACUAAACCCCAAAAAACCUGAAAACAAAGAACCCUCAAAACGUAAACACAAAAUUCUCUAAAUGUGUUAUGAGUUCUAAUCUCUAAUGGGUGUAUUUGUAACACUGGGGUUUGUGCAAGUGUACACAGUCGUUAUCAAGUAAUAAGUAAGUAUCGAGUUAUCGUCUCCACAGGGAAUGUAUGUGUGUCGAGUCACUUAAUUUGUAAAAUUAUAUUAACAAUUUGAAAAACUAAAAACAAAAUAUAGUUGAGAAGUGGUAUAAAAUAGAUGUAAUGAUCCCUAAUGUAAAUUAUCCAAAUAUGCAGACUAUAUGAAUGAAAUAGAUUUUAGCAAAAUUUAACACAUGCAACAAUUAUAACAUAACUGAACUAGGACAAUUACUUUAAUUAAACUUAAUUUAUUAUCAUCACGCUUAAUAAUAUUCGAAAAAACAUUCCAUGGCAACUCGAUCUUUCAUGAGUUUGGAAACCAAAUUAGGUCCUUUUGGAAUCCUUUACUCAGUAAAUACGCAUUUUACUGAUUCCUAUUUACUAAGGGUUUCUUAGCAUUCGUGUGAGGUAACAGGGACGUGUUAGGUUUGAAACAAUUUAAUCACACAAAUCUAAAAACUAUGCAGAUAACAGAGCCUAGUUAGAGUUGUUAUGCAACCUACAAUUUAAUCGGGUUAGGAUCUAAAUUGAGCAUGCACAUUUCAAUUAUGCGUCCAUUAGCCGUCGCCUGGUUAGGAUCGCUCAGCUAAUUCAGGUGCAUUUCAAUCAUGUAUGAACGAAAUACAGACUUGAUUUUAAUUGAAAACAUGAUCGAUUGAGGCACAAACAUUAUAAGCAUGAAUCAAAUAAAUAUUAUUUAAUCAAAAUAAUCAUCCUAGCUUAAAUAAAAUUAAGCCAUCAUUGUUGUAAAGAAGAACAAAGAACACAUAGCAAACAUCUUUAUAUUAAAUUAAAGAAAAGAAAGAUUAAACCCAAUUUAGAGUGGCUAUCACCCAAGACUCUGACUGACGAGACUCCUUCUCUUCUUUGCGUUGCUCCUUUGCUGAUGGUUCUCCAAUGUGGCCAACCAAGGGCUUUUUAAGAGGCUAAUUUGCUAAAAUCCUUAUGCAAGGAUGAUGAUAGGCAUGAGAGCUAAGAGAGUUGAGAGAGAGGAUGAGAGAUGUGAGAGAUGAUGAGAUGAGGGAUGAGGGAUGAUGAGAAAUGAGCUCUUAUUUAUAGGUGAGGCAAGGGAGCUAGUUUGCUAAAAUUAGGAGUGUCCAUCCUUUGAAACCUCCUCCAAGAAUGGUUGGCCAUGAAUUGAGGAAAUGUGGCUGAUUUUUCCUUUAUUUUUGGUCAAUUUUAAUGCCACAACAACUCAGGACUAAGACUCGAUCUCCAACAAAUCUUCAGGUAAAUCUCUAAUUUCUUCAACUCUUCAAAGGCCUUGUAUAAUUAAACCGAAAAUUGGUUUAUAAUCAGCCAUGUGCAGCCAAAAAUUGGGUUGACUUGGUCCUCACUUUCUACGGUUUUGCAAUUAGAAGAAAACUCUCAGACCUAUCAAAAAUAACUACUUUAUUUAAUCAAUUUACUUAAUUAAUUAAACCCAAUUUUAUUAAUGAAAUAUUUACAAUGAAUUAUUAAAAUAUAACAUUAUAUUUUAUUAUUUAAUUUAAUCAUGCGUGGCCCACUUCAUAGCUUAAAAAUAUAAUAUGCUUAAAUUAAUAUAAAAUAAGUCAUUUUAUGCAUGAAAACUAUAUAAUAAAACAUAAAAUCACAUUUUAAUAAUUUCUAUGUCCUAAUUUCAUAUUUUCACAUAUUUCAUUAAUUUAUUAAACAAUUACUUGGUUUUAACAACAAUUUUAAGUAAAAAGGUGAUGAAUUAUAUAGGAAAAAUCCUAUAUAUUUUUCCAUUUAUACCUCCCAAACUCAAAUCAUUGCUCGUCCCGAGUAAUGUUCAUGCACAACACAAGGUCUUGCUAAGGCAAAUUUUGCUAAGAGUGUUAGUAGCAUCAAUCUUUGUCUCAUAAUCAUGCAUCAACAAAUUCAUGCUCAUAGAUCGUCUUUAUUAGCAAGUAACUCAUAUACAAACAUUUUGAAAAUUUUAUUCUAGGUUUCAAGAUAUGGCAACAUGAAUAAUAGUUUGCAUGUAUGUCAUAGCCAUAGAUAAUAUUCUUCAUUCAACACAAUUUAUCAUGAAUCAAGCAAACAAUCAUAAGGCUUAUUUAUGAUCUUCAUAUGUUGAACUUAAUACUUCCUCUCCACUAAUGUAGGUGACAUAAUCAUCAAAUCAAUUGGUCUUUUAUAAGGUUCUAAUGGGGCUUGGUUUAAAGGUAGGGAUUUUAAGAGAUGAGACAUUUCGGUUUCAAAAAUCUUAACCUUUAACUUGUCUUGGAUUUCUUGAAAUUCAACCUUUUUCUUCAAGUGAACCUUUGGAACACCCCCAAACUUAUUUUGAACUCAAGCUCGUACAUUUUCCUUUUUAAAGACUAGGCGAACUUUUCUUCGCUCUUUCCUUGUCUUUGUGAUUUUUUAAGCAUGAGCACAUACAUCUUUAUGAAAAUUUCCUCAAAUGUUGAUUCCCAAGACACUUAAGUUAAAAUAGGUGCACAAAAUAGGAUAAUUUUAAAAAGAUGGUAACCGGCUUAUAAUGUAGGUUCAUUUCAAAAACAGGCCUUAAAGCUCAAAAUUGUAGUUUCAAGGGUCUAAUAUCAUAAGGUGGGCUUGAAAAGGCUCAAACGAUCCAAAGAAAAAUGGUGUUUAUAUCAUUUUAGAUUUUUAUGUCCCCUAGAAUUUCGCCUCAAGAAAGUUACUAAGUCAAUUCUAAAGAUAUAAACCUUCAUGCAUGUUUGAUCUCAAGAGAAGCUAAGUUUUCACGGCAAACAUUACCUAAGACUAAGAUCAUAAAAACAUUCCAUUCUUCACGAUAACAUACAAUCACUCAGAUAAAAUCAUCAUUCAUACUUGCAUACAAGAUAUCUUAUUAAAAAGAAUUUCUCUAAACAUUCAUUUAUUAAAACAUACUUAUGAAAGAAAUGAUUGAAACAUACUUGAAAAUUUUAAAAUUUAAGCAAUUUAUUUGCGUAACCCCCCUUUAAAAAGAAGCAAUGUCCUCAUUGCAAGAACAAAGUAUGAAUGAAACCUGAACACCAGGUAGGGUUGUCAAAACCAUUUUUUAUUUGAUUAACAAAAAUUUAGUAGUCGACUUAAAAAUAAAAAUUGGAGUCGCCACCGAUCUUUUAUUAAGGUGUGAUCGGCUCACCUUAAAAAUGGUUUUGGUCUGCAGAAUUUGAGAAAAUAGGUUCGGGACUCGGUUACAUACGAGGAAGUGUUAGCACCCUCGUAACACCCAAAAUUGGUACCGAAUUGAUUAAUUAAUGUCUUAAUGCCGAAUGUUUGAAAAGAUUUUAAAAUAUGAUCCUUUGAAAAGAAAAUUUGAAUAAAAUUAAUUGGAUGAUGAGACUCACUUAUUUCAAAGAAAUAAAUUGUCACACUCAGUAAGUUAGAGUGCAACAUCUUAAGUCCUCAAAAUUAAGUUUAUUUUUUUGACUUUUAAAACCUAUGCAUUUUGAGAAGGAUAUCUGAUUAUUUGGGUCAAAUGAAGAGAUCAAAACCCAGUAAGUUAGGGUUCAAUUUCUCAAAAUUCCAAAUACAGAAUAUUGCCUUUAUUUUUAGAAGAAUCCUCAUCUCGAGGAAACAACAUGUCAUACCCAAUGCGUUAGGGCACAACGUAUCAAAUUCCAGAGAAUGAGCUUUUUUAUUUAUGUUUUAAUUAAAGAGGAUAUUCGGUUUCCUAGAUCCCGAGGAAGAUUGGAAUCCAAUAAGUUAGGACACAAUCCUUUCGAGGAUCCCAAAUUCUGAGUGUCGCGUUGUCUUGAAAGACUUUUGUAUAAAUGAUUUUGAUAUUUAAACGAUAUUAGACGUAAUCUUUAAUGUAACGCGAUUGAAUGGUAAAGUAUGAGAUACUUUGUAAUCCGAAGACACACUAAAAAAUAAUGACCAAGCAAUAGAUAAAUGUUAACAAGAAUAGCAACAAUAAUUUUAAUCCUAUUAUACAAACAUCAAUAUUAACAAUUAAACAUCAAACGAAUUAAUAAUCGAUUUUAAAACGUAUACUAAGAAAACAGUGGCAAUAAGAGAAAUCACAAUCAAUAAAUUAUACAUGCCAAAGUCUUGAAAUGAACAAUAUAUAUAUAUAUAUACCAAUACAUAAUAUUUUUCUUUUAAAAUAAUGCCUAAUAAAUCUGAAAUGAUAAUACAUAAUAAAUUUAAAAAUAAAUAUAUAAUAAAGCUAAGCUAAUAAUACAUAAAAAUUUAUGAUGUUAAUAAUAUAUUGAAAUUUAAAAAUAAUACAUAAUGAAAUUUAACGCUAAUAAAUACGAUUGUAAUAUAUAUGAAAAAAAAUUCAAGUGUAGUACAUAAAGUAAUAUGUACAUAUAUAUAUAUAAAUAGAUAAAUAAAAUAUAAAUAACGUAAUUACAAUAUCAAUAAGGCUAGUGGAGACAAUGAUAAUAAUAAUAAAGAAGAUUAAACUAAUUAAUAAAAAAAACAAAUAACGAAGAGGAUUCAGUUGAGUUUUAAACAAAAUUACAAGGAAAAAAAUGAGAAUAAAACAAAACAGAGGGCCAAAAUAUAAUGCGCGAAUUACUUGGGGGACCAAGUAGGAAAUACUCCCUUCCCUCAAAACGCGGCGUUUAGAUCAAGACUGAAUUGAAACAAAUUCAAAAUUCAUGAAAGUAAUUUACAAAAAAAAAUGCAAUUAAAAUGAUGGAGUAAAAUGGAGGGAUCGAAGGCGCAAAUAGACCACACAACAAAAAUGCAUGGAUCCUCCCCGGGUCGGGUCACCGUGCUAACCAUAAACCACCAAACGGCGUCGUUUUGGAGCCAUUGGAACCGGGCUUAAACGACGUCGUUUUUUUAGACUAGAUAAAGAUCACUUCAAACCCUAAAUCAUAAACCCCAUGCCAUUUUCAAAACUCACGCCGCAAAACCUAUGUCUCUCUUCGUCGUUCGAACCCCUUCGACUCUGAUUUAGACGAAAUGAAUAGGAACUCCGACGACUCCUCCAAUGGCAAGAUCCUUUCACUUUCUCUCUUUUUGGAUUUCGUAGAGGAACAAAAAUAAUUUGCAUUAUAUCAAAAAAUGAAAUCUGCCAUUACUCUUUUAAAAAUCAAUCUAUUAUUAUUUUUUUGUUCAUAAUAAAAAAAAUCAAAGAAAUAAAAGAAGAAGAGGAAAAAAAAGGAAAACGGAGAAUCACCUUCAAAAAAAUUUACUUUUUUUCUUUUUGUAUUGAUAUCGUGUGUGUAAAAAAAUAAAAAGGUUCUUCCUUUUCUUUUAUAGCCGAGAGAAAAAGAAAGAGAAUAAAAUAAAAAUAAAACAUAUCCAUUUUCUUUCUGUUGUAUUGUUUUCGUCCCAUUUGUAGGCGUACGGAGGCUCGUCACACGCGAGGGGCUUGGCUGCGGCGCCUGGAUCUUCUAGGGUUUCCGUGUGUUGUUUAAUGUUUUGGGCUCAUUUGGGAUUUGGGUAGAAUUAGAUGUUGGACCUUAAUUGUUUGGGCUAAUUUCUGCCUAGGAUUUCACGGAACAAGAUAUUUUGCAAGUCUAGUCCCUGAGGAUUUGACCCUACUUCCCUUUUACUAUUCUUUUUCAUUAUUUAUUAGGGAUAGGAUAUUUUUGGUGCUUCCAAUGACCGCAUCAAAUUUUAGCGCCGUUGCCGGGGACUGGCAACAUAUUAAUCUUGUUGUUUGUUUCUUAUGGCCAGAUCUGCUCCAGGUACUCUUGAGUUCGAUUCAAAAAUUGAGAAGACUGCUAGAGCCAAUCACAAGGAGAAAAGUUACAGAAAAAGCAGUCAGCGGUGGUUGGAACUCAAAGUAACCCACCGCCAGAAAUAGAAGUCGACGACGAAGCUGAGUCUAGGGUUAACGAAAACCCUACUCGAACACUUGAGAGCGAAAAAGUAGAAGUUGACUCACCAGAACAAGUGCUUAACGCUAGGGUUAACAAAAACCCAAAUCUAGCACACCAACCAAUGGCUCAAACGAUUCGGCAACUGGCCGAAGCUCCGACAGAACAAUCGCCAUUGUGCAUCGCAUAUCCUACUAUGGAUACUGAUUUUGAGUUGAAGAUAGGUUUAAUCCAGUUAUUGCCAACUUUUCGUGGGUUACAAAAUGAAAAUCCCCACAAGCAUCUGAAAGAAUUUCAUUUGGUUUGUCUUAGCAUGAAACCUCAGGGGGUAACUGAGGAUCAGAUUAAAUUGCGUGCUUUCCCUUUCUCCCUAGCAGAUUCUGCUAAGGAAUGGUUAUUUUAUUUACCCCAUAGAUCUAUUACAACUUGGGCUGAUGAACAGGAUUUUUCCAGCGUCACGAGCAGCUGAGCUAAGAAGAGAGAUCAUUGGAAUAAGGCAAAAAGAAGCUGAAUCCCUUUACGAUUAUUGGGAGCGGUUUAAGAAGUUGUGUGCAAGCUACCCACAACAUGGUAUAACGGAGCAAUCUCUCCUCCAAUACUUUUACGAAGGUUUGAAGCCCAUGGAGAUGAAUAUGGUAGAUGCUGCUAGUGGAGGAGCAUUGGUCAACAUGACUCCCGAACAAGCGAGAGACUUGACCUCCACGAUGGCUGCAAAUUCUCACCAGUUUCGAGCUAAUACUGAACCCCCUAGAAGGGUUCACCAGCUAAGUAAUUCAACCUUAGAGGAUAAAGUUGAUAGACUUACUAAUAUGAUGAACUCUCUUAUUGCAGAAAAAGCGAAGACAACUCAGUUAUGCGGAAUAUCUGCUACACUUGAUUAUGCAACUGAUGCAUGUCCCAGUUUGUAUGAUGAUACCAUAGCCCAUCUGGAUGUUGUGGGAAAUUUCCCUGGGCCGCCACAAAGGCAGUACGACCCCUACGCUAAUACCUACAACCCAGGGUGGAGGGACCAUCCUAACUUAAGCUACGGGGCCAAUCCACGAAACAACCAGCCAUACCAAAAUCGGUUUCCGCAACAACCACAAGGUUCAGGUAAUUUUCUAAAAACCAUGGUCAAUAAGUUAGCAGCUAAUGUUCUUGAUUUUCAACAGCAAAAUCUUAAUUUCCAAAAAGAGACGAAGGAUUUCCAACAGAAAACUGAGGCGUCCAUCAGAGAGUUGACCACAUUAAUCGAGGAAUUGACCUCUCAAGGGAAGCUGCCGUCACAAACAGAACUAAACCCUAGACAAAAUGCAAAUGCAGUGAUGUUGCGAAGUGAAAAGGUACUGGAACCAAUUCCUGAUAGGAAUCUUGCCCAAGAAAUAGCCGAGGAAAAACCCGAAAAAGAUGAACAGGUUCGACCGAAGCCUCCAUUGCCUAAAAUUCAACCUCCAUUUCCAGAGCGAUUCAACUAGUGUCGAAAAGGUAAAGAGGACAAGGAAAUUCUUGAAACAUUUAGGAAUGUCGAGAUCAAUAUUCCGCUGUUGGACGCCAUCAAGCAAAUACCGCGGUAUGCUAAAUUUCUUAAAGAGCUUUGCACCAAAAAAUGAAAAUUAACAGGUAAUGAAAGGGUGAAUGUUGUUGAGAAUGUAUCCGCAGUGUUACAGCGGAAAAUGCCGGCAAAAUGCAAGGAUAGGGGCAUGUUUGUAAUACCAUGCAAAAUAGGCCAUCUGGGAAUUAAGAAGGCUAUGUGUGAUCUAGGGGCCUCUAUAAAUGUAAUGCCAUAUUCUAUUUAUGAAUCACUUAACGCGGGUUUUUUGACAAAAAAAGGUGUUAUCAUUCAAUUAGCAGACAGGUCUGUUGUGCAUUCAGAAGGAGUCCUUGAGGAUGUUCUGGUAAAAGUUAACGAGCUUAUUUUCCCUGCAGAUUUUUAUGUGAUCAAAAUGGAGGAGGAUAGCACUCCUGGAUCUUCAGAUCUCCUGUUGGGUUGACCGUUCCUUAGUACAGCUAGUACUAAAAUUGAUGUUCGAAGUGGAACUCUCACGAUGGAGUUUGAUGGGGAGAUCGUAAAGUUUAAUGUCUACGACGCCAUUAGCCAUCCAAGCGAAAUUUUGAGUGUAAAUCGUAUCGACAUAAUUGACUCUUUGGUGGAAGAGAAUUUUGAGUCAAUUUAUGGAGAUAAUUCUGAACUUGAUGAAAUUGAAUUUGUUAAUGAACUAUUAUCUCCAAAUACUAAACUGUUACCUUCCGUUAUACAGGCGCCAGAGUUGGAGUUGAAACCGCUUCCUGAGCAUCUGAAAUAUGUAUUUUUGGGGAAGGGUAAUACCCUAUUAGUCAUAAUCUCCAAUAGACUCUCCACACAUGAAGAGGAAAGUUUGGUUCAUAUAUUAAAAAGUCAUAAGGAGGCGAUCAGUUGGACCAUUGCAGACUUAAAAGGGAUAAGCCCUUUGACGUGUACACACAGGAUCUAUUUGGAGGAAGACACGAAAUCAAGGCAAGAGGCACAAAGAUGGCUAAAUCUGAAUAUGAUGGAGGUAGUACAAAAAGAAAUAAUCAAGCUUCUGGACGCUGACGUAAUUUACCCUAUUUCUGACAGUAGGUGGGUAAGUCCAGUUCAAGUCGUGCCCAAGAAAACGGGCGUGACAGUAAAGAAAAUGCUGAAGGUGACUUGGUACCUACCCGAGUACAAAAUGGGUGGCGCGUCUGCAUUGAUUACAGGAAGUUGAACUCAUACACUAGAAAAGAUCAUUUCCCUCUUCCUUUUAUAGAUCAAAUGCUUGAAAGAUUAGCCGAAAAAACUCACUUUUGUUGUCUUGAUGGAUACUCAGGUUUCUUUCAAAUUCCAGUCACACCGGAGGACCAAGAAAAGACCACUUUUACAUGCCCAUUCAGUACAUUUGCAUACAGAAGGAUGCCAUUCGGUCUUUGCAAUGCACCGGCCACCUUCCAAAUAUGCAUGAUAAGUAUAUUUUCUGAAUAUGUAGAAAAAAUUAUCGAAGUCUUUAUGGAUGAUUUUACUGUAUAUGGGAGUUGUUUUGAUGAAUGCCUUAAAAACCUAACGAUAAUUUUGAGUAGGUGCAUAGAAUUUAAUCUUGUCUUGAAUUAUGAAAAGUGUCAUUUUAUGGUAGACAAGGGUUUAAUUCUGGGUCAUGUUAUUUCAUCUAAAGGAAUUGAGGUCGAUAAGGCCAAAAUUGAUAUUAUAAAUUCUUUGCCUUAUCCCUCCACUGUGAGGGAAGUUCGUUCUUUCCUUGGCCAUGCAGGGUUUUACAAGCGCUUCAUAAAAAACUUCUCGAAGGUAGUUGAACCACUGUGUAAGUUGUUGCAGAAGGAUAAGAAAUUUGAGUUUGACCUAAAAUGUAAGGAGGCAUUUGAUACACUCAAGCAAAAGUUAGUCUCCGCUCCUAUAGUGCAACCACCAGAUUGGAAAUACCCAUUUGAAAUUAUGUACGAUGCCAGCGAGCGCAGUGUAGGAGCUGUGUUGGGGCAAAGGAUAGACAAAGAACCACAUGUCAUAUGUUAUGCCUCGAAAACCCUAGAUGUUGCCGGAGCAACUACACCACUAUGGAAAAAGAACUCUUAGCCGUUGUAUUUCCUUUAGAUAAAUUUCGGCCUUAUUUAUUGGGAUCUAAACUAAUUAUUUUUUCUGAUCAUGCAGCCCUCAGGUACUUGAUCUCGAAGAAAGAAGCAAAAUCGAGGCAUAUUAGGUGGAUUUUACUACUCCAAUAAUUUGACAUUGAGAUUCGAGACAAAAGGGGAUGCAAAAAUUUAGUGGCUGACCACUUAAGCAGAAUAAAAGUACCUUUUGACGACAUCCCUAUUAAGGAAGAAUUCCCUGAUGAGAGCCUAUUCUCGACUGAGGCACGUCUCCCAUGGUAUGCAAAUAUAGUAAACUUUCUAGCCACAGGAUCAUUACCCACUGAGUUAGCACGCUCUGUGAGAGACAAGCUUAGACGCGAUGCUCGAUAUUAUAUUUGGGAUGACCCAUACUUGUGGAAACACUGUUCAGACCAGAUAAUACGAAGAUGUGUUCCAGAAACUGAGGUAACUUCUAUCCAUAAUUUUUGUCAUGCUGAAGCUUGCGGAGGUCAUUUUGGCCCUAAGCGGACCGCUCAUAAGGUGUUAGAAUGUGGGUUAUAUUGGCCCACAAUUUUUCGAGACGCAUAUAACUUCUGUAAGUCUUGCGAUAGGUGCCGACAUACAGGUAACAUCACUCCCAUUUCUUUCUUCAUUUGGUAAUGUAUAUAUAAUUAUUGCAGUAGACUAUGUUUCUAAGUGGAUAGAAGCAAAGCCUACUCACAAUGAUAAUGCCAAAACUGCUAUGAAGUUUUUAAAGCAAACUAUUUUUUCCAGGUUUGGCACACCUCGAGCCCUAAUUAGUGAUCGUGGCACCCACAUUUGUAAUAAGGUCAUGGAGGAACUGUUGGCAAAAUACGGAGUCCACCAUCGUAUAGCUACGGCUUACCAUCCCCAAACGAAUGCUCAAGUUGAGGUCUCAAACAGGGAAAUCAAGACUAUUUUGGAGAAAACAGUUCGUCCUAACCGAAAGGAUUGGAGCCUUCGACUAAAUGACGCACUUUGGGCCUAUCGAACUGUGUAUAAGGGACCGAUUGGUAUGACCCCGUAUCGACUUGUUUUUGGUAAAGCUUGCCACCUUCUGGUCGAAUUGGAACAUAAAGCCUAUUGGGCCAUUCGACAGUGUAACAUGGAGUUAGAACCAGCAGAAAAUGCAAGGAAAUUAGACAUCCAAGAGUUAGAAGAAAUUCGCAAUGAUGCCUAUGAAAAUGCUCACAUUUAUAAAGACAAAACAAAGUUGUUUCAGGAUAAGAGAAUAGCUCAGAAGCAUUUUUCGGUAGGACAAAAAGUUUUACUUUAUAAUUCCGUGUUAAAGUUAUUCCUAGGUAAGCUUCGAUCACGAUGGCAAGGACCUUUUAUUGUUACUAAAGUGUUCACAGAUGGAGCAGUUGAAAUAGAGAGUGAAGAAUCUGGAAAGCGGUUCGUAGUCAAUGGCCAGCGGUUGAAGCCGUUUUAUGAGAAUUUUCAAGCCCACACGAUUGAGACAAUCCAUUUGGAACCACCAUAGAACCAAUAACGGCGUCGAGCUAACGACAUUAAACAAGCGCUUGUUGGGAGGCAACCCAAUUUUUAUUUUUAUUUUUAUUUAUUUUUUUCUUUACUUUAUUUAUUACUUUAUUUUAUUUUAUUUUACUUAUUGGAUAUUAAUAAAUUUUUCUUCUUUUGCUUAGAUAAAACAUAGCGAAAAUGCGAAAAAAACCGUUGAGCAACGCUUAGAGCGCAUUGAGGCCCGACUUGAAACCUUUGGCCAGCAACUGACCAAGCUCAUUGCCAUCAUUUGCGAUCGACAGUAACAACACGGGGAUUUUUUCUAAACUUUUCUACCUAUUUAUUUCUUUUCGUCCACAUUGAGGACAAUGUGCUUUCAGUAGGGAGAGGUACUCUUCGUUAUUACUAUCAUUUUCUACUGUGAUUUUGGUUAUUAUUGCUGAUGUUACUGGUGUUGCUGCUUGAGACUUUAUUUUUUCCAUAUUUAUUUUUUUUGAAUCUCCUGCCUCUUUUCAUGCCCAAGAUUUUUACCAAGAAUUGCCUACUGUUUGACUUACAAGCAUGAUUCUUGUUUUCUGAGAAAAUUACGAGUUUUCCAUAAUUAAUGCCAUCUCCACUGUUUUAUUCUUAUCAGACUAAAAAUAAUUGUGAUUCAUAAAGUUAACUUUAUCUUGCUUUUCGUAAAAUUGAUCAAGUUUAAAUACAAAGUAGACACUUAAUAUGUUUGCAUGCUAAAAUAUGUUGAUGACUAUUAAGGUAAUUAUUGAAACUUAUUUUUGACACUUGAUUAUUUUUUCUCUAAAGUCCUCAUAAAAAAGUUAUUAUUAAAAUGUUGUUUCCGUGGUUAUGAGUGCAGCUUAAAAACGUGACUGACUGAGUAACCGGGGUAGGGUGCUUGGGUUGUCAUCCUAUUUCGCGUCAAAAAGUUGUGUGACGUGUGAGGUAAAACUCCGCUAACUGGAAUUAAUUUUUAAGAACAUGUUGGGCUGAGUAACCGGGGUGGGGUGCUUGGCUGUCAUCUAUCUUCGCGUUAAAAGGUUUGAUGUGUUCAUAAGAAAAAUUAUAAUAAAUUAGGAGUUUGCUGGGCUGAGUAACCAGGGUGGGGUGCUUGGCUGUCAUCUCUCUUCGCGUCAAAAGGUUCAGUAUAUUCCUAAAGCAUAAAAAAAGAGAAAAAAACAAAAAGAAAAAAAAUAAUUUGGAGACUGAAGGACGAAACAAAAAGAGUGUCUUGGUAGGUUUGGUAAUUUACCUAAUUUUCAUUAAAUAAUUCAAGUUGAUUCUAAUUUUUGUGUGUAUUAAUUGGAAAACUUUUUCUGUUUUACUUAAAGCAAGCUUAGGGUUCUCUUUAUUUUUCAUAUGCAUUUUUGACUGAUUUUUAUAAAACUUUGGAGUUGUAUUUCUUUUAUGUCAGAAUCUAACUUUCACAGUAGAUAGGAACCAUACUUGAGGGCAAGCAUGGGCUAAGUAAGGGGGAUUUGAUAACACUCUAGAAUAACAUAUUUUUAUGUAUUAAUUAUGUAUUUAUUCUGAGUAUGAUCCUGCUAAUUUGAGCUAUUUAUGAUAUUUUAUCUCAUAGGGACUAAAUUUGAGGCAAAAGCAAAAUUAAGGGCCAAAAGCAUGAAUUUAGAGAAAAAACAGGCCAAUGUGCGACAUAAGGAAAAGUUGGUGCCAAAAGUGCAAGCAUGGAGGACACAAGGGUUGAAAUGCAAAAAGAAGAGAUUUUAUUCUAUUAAACUCUAUUUUAAUUAUAUUAGGAUAAUUAAUAUUGAGAUAAUUAUUAAGGAUUAUUUUUAGGAUUUUAUUUUAUCUUUAUUUAUCUUCAAUUAAACGUAUUUAUCUUUUAGGAAUUUAAGUAGGAUUAGAAUAUCUCCCUUAGCACUAUAAACAGGGGGUGAAGUGACUCAAAAGGGGAUCCCAGAUAUUUUUCUGAAAACACUCUCUCCCCAAAAGUUUAGGCUUUUGUUCUUCUCAUAUUUCUUUUUAAUAAAAUCUUUAUUUCUAUUUAUUUAUUUUCUUUUCUACCACAACCAUGAGCCACUAAACCCAUCUAGCUGAAGGUUGUCAAAAAUCUCCAAAAGGGUUCAUGAGGCUUAGAAUCCGUACUUAGCUUCCGUCCAUGUCCCUAAAGAAGUAAGCUUUUCAACAUAUGCAAAGGCGGCCGCUUUGUAUGUUUUGGGAAGGUUGCACAGUCGGUUCAUUAGCUUACUGCGUCAGAGGUUGGCGAGCCCAAGAGACAAAAUGGCGUGGGAUUCGCCAUUGAGAAGUGUUGAUCUAGCAUAAGACGAUCCCACAGAAGCGAUUGUUGGCUAGAGUCAAGUUCCACCACAUCGUAAGUCUAAGUCAUUGGAGCUGGUGGUCGUAGGCGUCCUCUUCCACUAUAACUGGCUUAUUCGGUUUGGGAAGGUUCAUCUAAAAGUCGAGGAUUGAACCCAAGGCAGAACGAGACAACUGGAGGCUGGAAUCUCCCAUAAGAAUUUCCUUUCUCUCAACUCUAUUUUUAAUUUCUCAAAUUUUCGAUUCAAUAUUCUUAAUUCUAUUUUUAUUUUAUUCUUCGUUUCCAGAUCCAAACAUUUAAUUCUGUUAUUUUUAAUUUUUUCAGGAACGCAGGUUGUCUUGGGCAAGACUCUUCCUAGGAUUCCACGGAACAAGAUAUUGUGCAAAUCCAGUCCCUGAGGAUUUGACCCUACUUCCCUUUUACUAUUCUUUUUCAUUAUUUAUUAGGGAUAGGAUAUUUUUGGUUCUUUCAACGACCGCAUCAGUGUUGUUUAGUGUUUUGGGCUCAUUUGGGGUUUGGGUAGAAUUAGAUGUUGGGCCUUAAUUGUUUGGGCUAAUUUUUGGACUGGUGUUUAGUGGGUUUGAGGUUUAAUGUAAUCCGGGCUUGGAUUUUAUUAAAUUUGUAAUACUGGACUGUAUUGGACUUUUAUUAUAUUUAUUUUAUAUAUAUAUUUUUAUAUUUGGGUUUUAAUACUUGGGUUCGGGUCGGGCAAAAUUUGGGUAUUACAGCUGCCUCUCUUUGCUCGUUAUCGUGUAACGAGAACGGAGCAAAGACUCUAGAAAUGGCCAAUUUUGCCCGGUCGUGUUGGACCUUGGCGCUCUUCUUCUUCGAGUUGCCUCAUUCCAUCCUACUGCAUCUUCAGAAGUAUAGGAAUUGGUGCAUCGAUCCACUCCACCGCAACGUCGGGGAGAUAGGAUUUGUAACUCGUAACUUUAAUCUGCUUAACUGUGAUGUUAGGGAAGCAAGACUCGCUAUUGUAACUUCAAUCUGUUCUAUUACACCACCAGAGAAGUAAGAUUUGCUAUUCUCAGUCUGCUACGCUGCAACUUCAGGGAGAUAAGACCUGAUGCGAUCCACUCUACUACAACUUUAGAGAGAUAAGAUCUAUUAUUUUAAUUCACUCCACUGCAACCUCAGGGAGAUAGGAUUAGUGGCUUCAAUCUACUCCAGUGUAACCUCAGGGAGGUAAAAUCAGCCACCUUUAGUCUGCCCCACUGCAACUUCAUGGGGAUAAGACCUACUUACUCAGUCUGCUCCACUACAACCUCAGGGAGAUAAGACUUGAUGCGAUCCACUUUACUACAACUUCAAAGAGAUAAGAUCUAUUAUUUUAAUCCGCUCCGCUGCAACUUCAGGGAGAUAGGAUUAAUGGCUUCAAUCUGCUCCACUGCAACCUCAAGGAGAUAAGAUUUGCCAUCUUCGAUCUGCUCCACUACUACUUAGGGAGAUAAGAUCUGUAAUUCUUGAACCUACUCCACUACUGCUUAGGGACAUAAAUCUUACAAUCUUCAACCUAUUUCACUGCUGUCCCGGGAUAUAGGAUUCACAAUCUUUAACCUACUCCACUGCUAUCCAGGGAGAUAGGAUUCACAAUCUUCAACCUACUCUACUGCUGUCCAGGGAGAUAGGAUUCACAAUCUUUAACCUACUCUACUGCUGUCCAGGGAGAUAGGAUUCACAAUCUUCAACCUAUUCCACUGCUGUCCAGGGAGAUAGGGCUGGGGUCAUCGAUCUACUUCGCUGUCGGUGUAGGAAGGCAAGAUCUGUUAUUUUCAACCUGCUCUGCUGCAACCCAGGGAGGCAAGGCUAGUGUCUUCAAUCUACAUCGCUGUCGGUGCAGAAAGGCGAGAUCUGCUAUUUUCACUGAUAUGUUCUCUGGGGAACAUGACUUGUAUAAUGAACCUAAUUAUGCCUAAUGAUUAGGACGGCAUGAUCAAAAUGAAUCAAAUGCUCCUAACUAGACAUGUGUGAAUGGUGUUUGCAUGAAUGCAGAAUUUUAUUUUUUCGAGAAUGAUCCUUCUUUAUCACUUAGGUUAUCAUUACUCAAAGUUGAUUAAAGCUUUAUCACUGACGUACUAUAACGCCUUCGCUCAGCCGGCAUCUCCAAAGGAACACUUAAUCAAAUUGCCCCCACUGUGAACUUCAAAGUUAAUUCCACUAGGACGCAAAAUUUAUACCAUCUUUCUCGCGCUGUGAACCAAGGGUAGAAAAAUCUGGUUUUUUCUCAAUCCUCUUCUAUCAUAAUUGAAAGCUAUAGAAUAUGAAACUCUUUGGUCCUUUACAUUAUGCCUAUGCACAAAUGAAGAAUUCUCUUCUCCAAGAAUAGCUUCCUCUUAUUAUUCAGUGAUCAUUGCUUGCUUGUUCAUGACAUCUCGUCAUUUUGUUCAAUCAUAUUUGACAACAACAUCCAAAGAGAAAGUCCUAAUUUAGACUCUUCCUUUUCAGAUUUCCAACCUUUAAACUUGGUACGUUCUAAACAUUAGUCCUGUUUCAGGCUCCUGUAUUAUUUAGAAACUUCUAGAGUAAUAUGUAAAACUUCCCUUGUGAAAGUUUUAUUAGUCCAUUAAUCAUUAUCCCAAUGCAACAUGCUUGCAAAAAGGGUCAUAACAAUGGUUAAGAAUAAAGUUGGUUCUGAGCAUAGCUCGAAAGGAAUAAAUUACCAAAAAUAGUAAAGAUGGAUAACAAAGAAAUUGAUUGGGAAUGUGUAUCUUGGAAAAGAAUGAAAUAUUCCAAGAACAACAAAUUCAAUAUAAAUAGUAUGCAAAUUGGGUGCCCCAGAUAUCGUAGCUUGAACUUCUUUGUACAAACUUUCUGAAGACCAUUCUGAGUUUGACAUGAGUUUAGGAGAUCUACAGUAUUUUCUCGAUGCCCCAAGAUGUCGCCUACCCUUUCCUAUUGAUUCAGGUAUAACAAGAUCACCACAUGCCCCAAUAUGAUCAAUAUUUGAGCCGCCCUUUUCGGGUUUUCUACUCAAAUUCCCUUUGGCCUAAGGCGCCCUUUGCGGGUUUUCCCCUUAGCCUCUCCAUUUUUACUUUUUCAUUUUUUCAUUUUUCACAUUUUUUUUGACUCAAAGUGCCCUUUGCAGGUUUUCACCUUGGUCCUUUCUUCUUCUUUAAACGAAAUAUUUCUUGACUAGAUCUGAGUUUAUAGGAUUUGGCAAGUUUUUACCAUCCAUCUCACUUAGAAUCAAAGCUCCACCAGAAAAGACCUUCUUUACGACAUAAGGACCCUCCCAAUUUGGCAUCCAUUUUCCUCUAAAGUCUUUUUGUAUAGGAAGAAUUUUCUUCAACACCAGAUCCCUUCGUGGAAUUCUUUGGGACGACCCUACUUAUUAUGGGCUCGUAUCAUUUAUUUCUGGUACAUCCGAUCCUGAUGAAUAGCUUUUAACCCUUUUCCUAGGUUCAACUGAUCACAUCACGAUUGGAUUCAUUCUGCUUCAUCCAACUCUAGCUUAACUAAUACCCGGAGAGAGGGGAUUUCAAUAGGUAAAACUACCUCAAUCUCGUAAACCAAAGUGAAAGGUGUUGCCCCAGUACAGAUGUUUGACAAGCAAGUAGGGCAAAUGGUAAUUUCUCAUGCCAGUCCUUGCAAGUCACAGUCAUUUUUCCUUCAAUUUUCUUGAUAUUCAUCUCUAGGCAAUUUGGUGAUGAAUUGUGGUGUCUGAUUUUGGCUUGAUUACGGACCUCAGCUAUCGUGCUAUUGUUCAGGAUCAAUUCAUUAUCCAAUAUAAUCCUCUCUGACGGUCUAUAUAGUCAUAUGAUGACAUUAGUGUAUGGAGCAACCUCUACUAGUUUGAUGAAGUAAUUGAUAUCCUAAAAAAUAAGGCGAUGCACAUUAGAAGCCUUCGGUGAUAUUGGCCCAAUGUCAUCCAUGCCCCACUUUGCUCAAAAUUUGAGUCGCCCUUUUCGGGUUUUCAACUCAAAUCCACCUUUGGUCAAAGCACCUUUUGAGAGUUUUUGCCUUGACCUCUCCUUUUUCUUUUUUUUUUCAUUUCAUCAUUUUUUUGUUUUGAUUUUAAUUAUUUUUUUUUUGAUUUUUUGAUUUUGAUUUCUUUUUUUUAUUGAAUCUGAACUCAUAGGAUUAGGCAACUCAUUGCUAUCCCUUUCGAUCAGAAUCAAUAUUUUUGUAGAUAAAGUCUUUCACCUAAGAUCUUCCACUUUCAUCUUGCAUGCGAAAAAUCUUAUUUGGCAUCUGAUUUCUUUCUUAGAGCCUUUUGGGGCGCAACUACGAUAGAAAACUUUGGAUCUUACUCUUUAAUCGGGAUAAAAUCCAAUAAAACUUGAAGAGAUGGAAACUCGACUUCAAACAGGCAAAGCUAUGAUGAGUCAACGAGAAAGGCAUUGCCCUGGCAAAGAAUUGCAUCGUUCAUACUGCAAAUUUCUGACAUCGUGCUGUUGUGUAGAUUUCAUUAUCAGAUGUUAACCCAGGCAUAUCCUGGUAUGAUCAUACAAAGACAUCUUUGAACUCUAGAGGUAACUCAACAAGGUCUUGCUUCAUCUUCUCGAUCAGGUCAAUUCUAAUCUUCACCAAGCUCACAAUUCCAAAUGAUUCCUUGUGAGGUAGGAUUUGUCUAUCCUCUUGUUCUACCAUCCUCAACAAGUCCAGAGAUAAGCUACGAUCUAUGUCAUUUUCAAAGUCAUGAGAUCCCUCUAAACACAUGCCUCGCUCAAAAGGAAAAUCUAAGUCUGUAGCAGCGUCAUUCAUGUAAUUGAUAUCUGGGGACCCAUAAUAAGUACCAAAGAAUGUACAAAAGAAUGUAUAAAUUUAUGAAUAAUUAUUUUUACAAUAUGCUUAUGAAUGAAUGAAUGAUGUGGAAGGAAAUUCAAAAGAAUGAAAGAAUAAUUAUUCAAAAAGACUGAAAGAAUAUUGGUUCAAAAAUGAUCACAAGAAUGCAUUUCAUUAAAAUAACAAUGUUCAGACAUGAGCCUAUUUCACAAAGAAGUUCUGAUUGCUUCUAGGCUAAAAGCAACAAGUGCGUUCUGACUAUUACUCUAAGUAAGCUCUAAAUACUAUAGGAAUUUCUUCCGGAGUCCAAUUGCUAAGAACACUCCCAGAUUUAUAAGGACGGAUAUCUAACAAGGUCCCUUCUUCAAUUGUGUCUUCAUACAUGUCAUUGAUUUGAACGCUUCCCAACAUCUCUUCAUACAUCGCAUCAAUCAUGAUUGGGUAGAGGGUUUUCUGCACUAGAGUCAUCAAACUUGACAACACCCAUGUUGAUGUGCCUUUAAACAAGCUUUUUAAAGACGGUGCAAUUUUCUAUCGAAUACCCCGCAAUUCCCGCAUGAUAAUCACGUUGUGCAUUCACGUCAUACCAUUUGGGGUACGGAGGUUGCAGGGGUUUUAAGUAGAAAGGGGAAACAACGUGCGCAUCGAAUAAGCUUUGAUACAGCUCCUUAUACGACAUCAAAAUUGGCGUGAACUGGAGCUUUUUAGUAUUUUUUUCACACCAGAUUCUUGUCUUGAUGAACCUUGUAGACUAGCAACCACUUUUCUUGGCUGGUUCACCGUAAUUGAUUUGUUGUAUGUGCUCACGUUGUUUACCUCAUUCUCCUUUCUCCUUGCGGCUGACUUUUUGUUACUCUCUCAUGGCUUUAUUUUCCCAUUCCUGGUGGCAUUUUCAAUCAUCUCACCAUUCAUGAUUAUAUCUGAGAAACUCUUUGAGGCACUUCCCAACAUGUGCGUGAUAAAUAGGGCUUUCAGUGUGUUGAUGAAGAGCAUCGUCGUCUCUUUCUCCAAUAGUGGCGGCUGAACCUGGAUAGCGACUUCCCUCCAUCUUUGUGCGUAUUGCCUGAAACUCUCGCUCGAUUUCUUCUCCAUGUUUUGUAACGUAAUGCUAUCAGGGGUCGUAUCAGUUACACGACUGUACUGUUUUAUGAAUACCUGUGCCAGGUCCCUCCAUGAACCAAUCUUGGUACUGCUCAAUUGAUUGUACCAUUUGGACGCUGCCCCUACCAAACUGUCCUAGAAGCAGUGUAUUAGCAGCUGGUCAUUGUUAACGUAGUCAGUCAUCCUUCUACAGAACAUGGUGAUGUGAGCCUCGGGGCAACUAGUUCCAUUGUAUUUCGAAUUCAGGCAUUUUGAACUUGUGAGGGAGUACUAAGUCCGGAACCAAGCUCAGAUCUUUAGCGUCGAUUCCAUGAUGGCUAUCAGCGCUUUCCAAGGCUUUGAAUUUUUCCUCCAACCAUUUACACCUAUCCUCCCAUUGUUUUGGUAGCUCCACGUUUGCCUUUUCUUUUUCAUUCGUUUCAUCAAAAUUGGGAAUAAUAGGGUUAAUCAGGUUAUCUCUUAGGAUUAAACUUGAUCCACCUUGGAGAUUCACGGGCAUAGAGGCACCAGCUUGGAAUUGUUGAGGCCUAAUUGUAACAGAUAGUCUUCUUGGGUAUAUGUCAGCUUAGGUUUGUGCAUUUGGUGGAGUAAAACCCGGGGGAUAUAACGGAUCCUCAUUAUCUUCUCUAGGAUUGGUCAUAGGGUCCUUUCCCUUAUUUGCUCCUCCCGCCAGUAAUUGAGUUAACUGAGCAAUCAUCUUUUUCGUCAUAUUUUGUUGAAUUUUUUCUAAUUGCUCUUGCAUUCGCACUUGUAACCGUGCUUGCAUAUCCUUUUGCAUUUGCUCCAGCUUCUCUAAUCUUUGAUCCAUUUCCUUAGUUUUGGGACGAGUACCGUAAGGGUGUUUGGUUGAUUGGUUUUCCAGAUUAGCUGAAAUAAAUUUACUCAAUUAGAAUCUUUCAAUGGAUUUUGAUGAUGUCAUGUAAUGUAAAUGCAUGAAAUGAAUGCCUAAAGAGGGGUUGAUUUUGAUUCAAUUACAUUUAGAAAACUUUACUAGAAGAUAAAUUUCUUUACAUAAAGCGGAUAUAUAUACAGUCUCGCCCUCAUAUUCCAAGAGACAACAUCGAUCCCUUCCUUCAUCCGUGUGCUAAGAUAAACCUUGCGAAUUCUUCAAAAAAGGUGUCUCCUUUAUCUCUUUUUGUUUGAUCUUGGUCGCAAUCCGUUGUCUGCCUAUCCUCGUAAUGCUAAUCAGGUCCUUUAAGGAAGUUAGAAUGUCGAUGGCUCUUAGAUAGUCAUCUUGAAUCUUCGAGCCAUGAGGUACAAUCAUGAACUUUUCCUUCACCCUUCUUGUGUUUCUCGGAAUAUAUUCAGGAAGUCGUACUAUUUUCCAUUUUAUCAAGAAAUCUGUAUUCCAUGAAAAGCUUUCUAAUUUAGUAAUCGGACUCGAAUCAACAUCUCUUUCCUAAGAUGCAAAUGCAAUGCAAUCAUAGUCAAAGCAAAACAAAACGAGUUAGUACAAACUAAAAGCAAACAAAAGAAUACCUAGUCGGGAAACCACUAGGGGUUUGGAGUAGUCCUACCUAAGGUGGGCACCAAAGGUCUUUUACAUGCGGUUUGGUUCUAAAGUUGAGGUACCCAAACCAGCAGAUUCCUCGAUCCUCACCCAUUAUAGGCUCAUACAGGUCGAGUUCGGUUCAGGGGAAUACAUUCCCCUAUGGUUGCACGGAGAUGAAAAUCUCACGAAGACAUAGGUACGAAUGUAUUCCGAAAGUGAUCCACUAUCCUGCACGGAGGUGAAAACCUCACGAAGAAGUAGUUUCUCACUUCCAUUUAAAAGGUAAGACUAAACAAUCUUUAUGCAAUAUGAUGCCAAAAUAUAAAACCCAGUCAGUAGUAAUCAAUCACAAACAAAUGCAAUGAGAGGAUCGUAAUUUUUAAAAUCAAAUUUUCAAUUUUCGAUAAUAAGACAGAAAACAAUCAGUUUUACGGCUUGACUCUCUAAAGUCCCCAGUGGAGUCGCCAAGAUGUCGAAACCAUUUUUUUUUGAAAAACAAAAAUUUAGUAGUCGACUUAAAAAUGAAAAUUAGAGUUGCCACUGAUCUUUUAUUGAGGUGUGAUCGACUCACCUUAAAAACAAUUUUGGUCUGCAGAAUUUGAGAAAACAGGUUCGGGAGUUGGUUACGUACGAGGAAGUGUUAGCACCCUCGUAAUGCCCAAAAUUGGUACCGAAUUGAUUCAUUAAUGUCUUAAUGUCGAAUGUUUGAAAAGAUUUUAAAAUACGAUCCUUUGAAAAGAAAAUUUGAAUAAAAUUAAUUGGAUGAUGAGACUCACUUAUUUCAAAGAAAUAAAUUAUCACACUCAGUAAGUUAGAGUGCAAUAUCUUAAAUCCUCAAAAUUAAGUUUAUUUUUUGACUUUUAAAACCUAUGCAUUUUGAGAAGGAUAUCUGAUUAUUUGGGUCAAAUGAAGAGAUCAAAAUCCAGUAAGUUAGGGUCCAAUUUCACAAAAUUCCAAAUACAGAAUAUUGCCUUUAUUUUUAGAAGAAUCCUCAUCUCGAGGAAACAACAUGUCAUACCCAAUGCGUUAGGGCACAACGUAUCGAAUUCCCGAGAAUGAGCUUUUUUAUUUAUGUUUUAAUUAAAGAGGAUAUUCGGCUUCCUAGAUCCCGAGGAAGAUUGGAAUCCAAUAAGUUAGGACACAAUCUUUUCGAGGAUUCCAAAUUCCAAGUGUCGCGUUGUCUUGAAAGACUUUUGUAUAAAUGAUUUUGAUAUUUAAAAGAUAUUAGACGUAAUCUUUAAUGUAACGCGAUUGAAUGGUAAAGUGUGAGAUAAUUGGUAAUCCGAACACACAUUAAAAAAUAAUGACCAAGCAAUAGAUAAAUGUUAACAAGAAUAGCAACAAUAAUUUUAAUCCUAUUAUGCAAACAUCAGUAUUACAAAUUAAACAUCAAACGAAUUAAUAAUCAAUUUUAAAACGUGUACGAAGAAAACAGUGGCAGCAAGAGAAAUCACAAUCAAUAAAUUAUACAUGCCAAAGUCUUGAAAUAAACAAAAUAUAUAUAUACCAAUACAUAAUAUUUUUCUUUUAAAAUAAUGCCUAAUAAAUCUGAAAUGAUAAUACAUAAUAAAUUUAAAAAUAAAUAUAUAAUAAAUCUAAGCUAAUAAUACAUAAAAGUUUAUGAUGUUAAUAAUAUAUUGUAAUUUAAAAAUAAUACAUAAUGAAAUUUAAUGCUAAUAUAUAUGAUUGUAAUAUAUAUGAAAAAAAAUUCAAGUGUAGUACGUAAAGUAAUAUGUACAUAUAUAUAUAAAUAGAUAAAUAAAAUAUAAAUAACAUAAUUACAAUAUCAAUAAGGCUAGUGGAGACAAUGAUAAUAAUAAUAAAGAAGAUUAAACUAAUUAAUAAAAAAACAAAUAACAAAGAGGAUUAAAUUGAAUUUUAAACAAAAUUACAAGGAAAAAAAUGAGAAUAAAACAAAACAGAGGGCCAAAAUAUAAUGCGCGAAUUACUUGGGGCACCAAGCAGAAAAUACUCCCUUCCCUCAAAACGUGGUGUUUAGAUCAAGACUGAAUUGACACAAAUUCAAAAUUCAUGCGGGAAAUUUACAAAAAAAAAUGAAAUUAAAAUGAUGGAGUAAAAUGGAGGGAUCGAAGGCGCAAAUAGACUACACAACAAAAAUGCGUGGAUCCUUCCCAGGUCGGGUCACCCUGCUAACCAUAAACCACCAAACGGCGUCGUUUUGGAGCCAUUGGAACCAGGCUUAAACGACGUCAUUUUUUAGACUAUAUAAAGACGACUUCAAACCCUAAAUCAGAAACCCCUUGCCAUUUUCAAAACUCACGCCGCAAAACCUAUGUCUCUCUUCGUCGUUCGAACCCCUUCGACUCUGAUUUAGACGGGAUGAAUAGGAACUCCGACGACUCCUACAAUGGUAAGAUCCUCUCACUUUCUCUCUUUUUGGAUUUCGUAAAGGAGCAAAAAUGAUUUGCAUUAUAUCAGAAAAUGAAAUCUGCCAUUACUCUUUUAAAAAUCAAUCUAUUAUUACUGUUUUGUUCAUAAUGAAAUCACCUUCAAAAAAAAUUGCUUUUUUCUUUUUGUAUUGAUAUCGUGUGUGUAAAAAAAAUACAAAGGUUCUUCCCUUUCUUUUAUAGCCGAGAGAAAAAGAAAGAGAAUAAAAUAAAAAUACAAUAUAUCCAUUUUCUUUUUGUUGUGUUGUUUUCGUCCCAUUUGUAAGUGUACGGAGGCGGUGGACGUAGUGUGUACGGAGGAGAAGGCGUACGCGUACGGAGGCUCAUCACGCGCGAGGGGCUUGGCUUUGGCACCUGGAUCUUCUAGGGUUUCCAUGUGUUGUUUAGUUUUUUGGGCUCAUUUAGGGUUUGGGUAGAAUUAGAUGUUGGACCUUAAUUGUUUAGGCUAAUUUUUGGACUGGUGUUUAGUGGGUUUGAGGCUUAAUGUAAUCCGGGCUUAGAUUUUAUUAAAUUUGUAAUACUGGACUGUAUUGGACUUUUAUUAUAUAUAUUUUAUAUUUUUUUAUAUUUGGGUUUUAAUACUUGGGUUCGGGUCGGGCAAAAUUUGGGUAUGACACAUUCAUUUAUUAAAACAUACUUAUGAAAGAAAUGAUUGAAACAUACUUGAAAAUUUUAAAAUUUGAGCAAUUUAUUUGCCUUACCCCCUUUAAAAAGAAGCAAUGUCCUCAUUGCAAGAACAAAGUAUGAAUGAAAACUGAACACCAGGUAGGGUUGUAAAGAAAGAGAGGUGAGUCAUUAAGACUUCUUAAAUACCAAGUCUUUCCUAAUAACCCAAUCCUAGACAUCUUCAUUCUCAUUGCCACAUCACUUAGUCUUUUUCUUUCUAAAGAAGUAUUUAUUCAUGCUUUCUAUGUUUAUUUUUCAAAAAUUAAAUCCUAAUUACUAAAGAAAUAAAUUCCUAAAGACCUAGAAAACAAUUAAAUAAAUAACAAGACAAGAAUCCCCCAUUUUAUUUUUCUGACUCAUUCCCCUUGUCUUAUUUAGUUCCAUCUCUGCUUGCAUCGUUUGUAUCUUCCGUUCAUGUCUCAAAGAUAGCAUCUGAGAAUUCAAGAACAAAAGUGUUAGAGAUAUUCAUAAAAGUAUUUCAAAUUGAAUCAUCCCUAAUUUUUGCAUAUUUCCAGUAAGUUUGUUGUUGAUUGUGCAUGAACUUGCACAUAUCCAUCAAAAUUGUCAACUUCGAUUUCUUUGAAGUACUUGCAAGAGUCGGCAUUGGAGUCGUAAAUUCUGGUUCAACACUUAGCUUGACUGGUUCUUCUUCUAGCUCAACCAUUGGUUUAGAGUUUUCAGUUCCUUCAACUGGUUGAGGACUAUUUGGUUCCUUAUCAGAUUCUCCUUCAAUGUCUGUGUAACGCCCCAAAAAUGUAUAUUUUUGUUUAUAAAAAUAUGACACAAAUAUGUUUCUGCUUUAGUGGUUAAGUGUUCUAGGUGUGUGUAUGAGGUCCUAAGUUCAAGCCAUGCCUUUGGCGAAAUUUUGGAAUUUUUUCUAAUUAAAGCCUUAUCCUUAUUCAGUGGGCUUAAUUUUAAUUAUUUGUAAAACCAUAUCAGAAUGAGCCUACUGGUUCAAGUGGUAAGGCAGUUGGAGUGUUGGAGAUUUCGUGUUUGAAUCUUUGCACGAGUGAGAAUGUUAAUUGUUUUACUUGAUUUCCUAGAAGAGUUGUGCAGAAGAUGGAUUCUGAGUAGUUGGGAUUUGGGGAGUUAUCAGGAUUAUUUUUGUACUUUUUUAUUUUAUUCAUUUCAAAAUUUGUUUCUCUCUCUUUCUCUCCAAAAUUCUGACGUCGACUUUCUUCUUCACUUUUCUUCUUCGAUUUUUCUCGACUUCCUGUUGAAUUUUUCACAGUCAUUGCGUUCAUGGCCCUUUUUCAUCUGGUAAGUGAUCUCUUUUAGUCUUCUUCCUUUGAUUUGGGGUCUAGAGACAUUAGUUUAUGGUAGUUAAUCGAUGUAUCCUGUGUUUAUGAAAAGAUCAAGGUGCUGGGGUUUCCGAGUCGAUGCUUUAAAUGUGCAGAUUAAUGUUGCUCGACCUAAGGUAAGAUUUUAGUCGAUUUAAGUGGGUUGUUCAUCACUUUUGGUUCGGUUUAAUGUCAUUCUAAGUGUUUAAUUCUGGGUUUGUUUGGUCAAUAUUAGGUAUUGAAGUGCUUGUGUGCGUAUUUGCAGUGAAACGAUACCAGGUGUGUACCCAAAACACAAAAAUAAGAGAUUCGGCAAAAAGCCAAAAUUGCUUGCUGUUUGGAUAGCAGCAGUAAGCUAAAUUUGAAAAAUCACCAUAAAUUGUAAAAAUCGAAUUAAAGGAUGAAAAAAAUAUGGAAUUAAAUAUAUUUAAGUUUAGUUUUUUAUAGAAGAAACAAAGUAAGAAAAUAUUUUCAUGUUAUGGGAUAUUUGAAUUUUAGUGAGAUAGGUUCAGAAUGAUUUCAAAAUCCCUAUCCUGCAUUUGGAAAAUUAUUAAAAAUUUUAUAAAAAUAAUUAUGGGUUAAAAUUUAUAUGUUUAAAAUCUGGAAAAGCAAACAAGAACAUCAUCUGAAUUCUGUAGAAGAAGAUAAUUAAUUUUUAGUGCAGAAAGGUCGAAACUGUCAGACAGCAGAACAAGGAAAACUUUAAACAAUAAACUGUACUUAUUGGCUAAACCAAUAAUUCUAAAAAUUUUAUGGUAAGAAAAUAUGUGAGUCUGGUUUCAGAGAAAAUUUUCAGAUCUUAAUUCAAAAUUCUGUAGCUUAAGACACAAAUAAUUUAGUUACAGUGACUCAAAUAGACAACUUUGAAGGAUCAUAUAAGUAAAUAGUGGAAACACAUAUGAAUAAUUAACUAGCAUGGGUUACAUUAAAAUGGAUCACGAGGCCAAGGCCAAUUUGGGUCAUGUGGGUCACACGGGCGUGUGGGUCCACACAAGCGAACAUCAUGGGCUUGUAGGCCUAUUUUCACUGUUUGAUUGAUAAGGUCGCACGGGUCGCCCAAGUCGUCUGUGAACCUACUGUAGGGUCGGUAAGUUUAUCUAGACCCCUAAUUGACUGAAAUGACUGUAUGACUGAUAUGAUUAAGCAUGAUGGCGUCCCACUGAUUUGAUACUGUAUGCCCUGUUUACAUGCAUGAUAUUAUGUUAUAGCAUGUCAUAUCUGUAUAUUGCAUUACAUUGGGUUGGGGGAUUAUAAUGUUCGGAGGAAGUGUACUGAAAGGCCUCGAGCCUAAUUUACUGGCAGCUUAGCUGCAAACUACUGUCUAGUGCCACAUUCGGUACUACUUGAAGUAUAGGGAUGGGUGGUUUGAUUAUAUCCCUACAUGGAGUGUAGGGUUGGACGGAGAUGGUGUGUAGAGGCUGGAUGGGUAGGAUUUUGGUGACUACAUAUCUGUUACUGCUACUGAUACUGUGAUGGGCUAAAGCCUUACUACAUGACUGUUUUUGUACUAAGAUGGGCUAAGGCCCAAACUGAACUGAUACUGAUACUGAAAAGGGCUUAAGCCCAGACUGUGAUUAUUUGUUUACUAUCUGUUCAUUUGUAUGGGGAUUACACAUUGAGUUUACGUAAACUCACCCCUUCUGUUUAAUCUGUAUAGGUAAUCCCUAGAUAUAGGCAGAUCGGUGCAGCGGAGGACUCAGUGGUGGCUACACGACUUCUUUUACAUUGUUUACUACUUGUUUAUGAUUUUACUUUUAUUUGGGAGUAUUUUGAUGUAAUUAUGACCUUUACGUAUUUUGGUUUAAAAUUUGGAUUUUAUACGGUUUUAUGAUUUAAAUCUGCUUAGUGUUAGGUAAAACUCAGGUUUUCAAAUGAAAUUAAUGUUUUAUCAAAAAUACCACGAAUAAACAAACUGUUUAAAAGCUUCUGCAUAGAAUAAACAUUUUGAAAACUUUCGACUGAUUAAUUAACACGACUUUAGAAAUAAUAAGUAGACUUUGAAAAGUUUUCUAAGUGAAAAAUGUUUUAAGCAAAGCUACGGUUUUCAAACACUACCAUGUGACAUUGCCAGAUUCGGCCAUAACGUCUAGGUCGGGUUUGGGGUUUUACAGUCUGUAACUGAAUCAGCUUCAGUUUUACUUUUAUUUGUUAACUCUUUGGUUUCUGGAUCAAUUGGUUCCUCUUGCUUGCCUUGGUUCAGCUCAUGCACUCCCUCUACUAACCUUUCAAGAUCAUGACUUGUGAUGCACCCUUGGACAUACUGCCCCUUCAGAUUUGCUUGUGUUUUAACACGGGCCCUUAAGCAAAGUGAAGUGAUUAAUGGUGGGAAAUAAGCACUUCCUGCCUUCUUUUUAGCACAAUCAUGAAUUUUCUUGAGUAUAACUUUCCCAACAUUAAUGGAAUUUUCUGUCAAAAUUGUAUAUAACAAGAGCAUUCAUUACAUCGAGAUGGUGAAACUAUGUUGUCGAAACCUCUUUUAAAUUUAUUUGAAAAAACGGGGAUCGACUUUAAAAAAUGAAAAUUGGAGUCGCCACCGAUCUUUAAUCAGGUGUGAUCAGAACACCUUGAAAAUGAUUUUAGGUCUACGAAUUUUGAGAAAACUGGUUCGAGAGUCGGUUACGCACGAAGAAGGAUUAACACCCUCGUGAUGCCCAAAAUUGGUACCGAAUUGAUUGCUUAAUGUCUUAGUGUUGAAAUUUUGAAAAGAUUUUAAAAUAUGAUCCUUUGAAGUUUAAAUUUGAAUAAACCAAAUUGAAUAAUGAGACGCACUCAUUUCGAGGAAAUAAAUUGCCACACUCAGUGAGUUAAGGUGAAGCAAUUCAAUCGUCAAAAUUAAAUAUGUCUUUUUAAUUUUUAAAUUUUAAAAUUCAUGUAUUUUGAGAAGGUUAUUUGGUCAUUUAAGUCAAACGAGAAAUCAGAAUCCAAUAAGUUAGGGUUCAAUUUCUCGAAAUUCCUAACAUCAAACAUUGCCUUUAUUUUAAAAUCCUUAACUCGAAGUAACAAAAUGUCAUAUCCAGUGAGUUAGGAUCCAACAAUUGAAAUCUCGAAAAACUUUAUUUAGAAAUCGUAUGGUUUUAUUGCAAUAGAAAUACUUGGCUAUCUAAAUUCAUUGAAAAAAAAUUGAAGCCCAGUAAGUUAGGGCACAAUACUCUCGAGAAUCGGGAAUACCAAGUAUUUUGAGAAUUUACGGAAUAAAAUGAUUUUAGUGCUUUAAUGAAACACAUUUUGUAAACAAAUGUAAUAUGAUUGAAUGGCAAUGUAUGAUGUAAAAGAUAAUCGUUUGAGCAAUAGAUAAAUGCAAACAAGGAUAGCAACAAUGAUUUAAAUCAUAUUAUACAAAUAUCAACAUCAAUAUUAAAACUAGAUAAAUCUAUCAUCAAUUUUAAAAGAUACGCCAAGACGAUAAAAAAUAAUAAAAACAAUAUGUCCUACGCAUAGAAAUUUUAAAAUAAAUUACAUGCAUAAACUCAAAAUAGACUUGAAAUAAAAUAAUAAUAACAUUUAAAAAUAGUAUUAAAAAAUAUUAGGUAAACAUUUAACAUAUAGAUAUACUAAAAUAAAUUUUAAGAUAUAACCUAAAACAAAACAUUAAAAUAUGUACAAAAUAAUAUCAGAUUAUUGUAAAUAUAUAUAUAUCAAUAAUAUCGUGUCAAGUUUGAAAAUAAAAAUAUAUAAUGGACCCUUUUUAAAAAAAUGUAUGAUAAAUUUAAAACAUGUUAAUUUGGAAUAUUAAAAUAAUAUUAGAAAUGAAAACUAAAUUUGUCAAAAUAAGAUCUAAUUUGAUUUAAAAUUAAACUAAUAAAAGUUUAGUUAAAAUUGAAACACAAUCAAAAGAAAAAUAAAAAUAAAAUAAAAUAAACUAGAGGAACGAAAAUUAAAUUGAAAUUAAAACAAAACUAAAUAGGCAAUAAACAUAAAUAAAAAUAAAAGAAAGACUAAAUUCGAACUUGAUGUAAAAACUGAGGGACCACAAUAGCAAAUAAACGCAUACUUCUGAAGAUUUUAAUCUUCUUGAUGGAAACAACGUCGUUUGCUUGCCGAUCAAAAUAGAAUCAGAAUAAAAUGUGCAAUAAGAUUUGAAUACAUUGAAGAGAAACUGAUUUGAAAUAGAAUACAAAGAAAAGGGACCUAAUGCAAAAUAAACCAUUUCUCAAGACGCGCGGAUCCUUCCCACGGAUCGGGUCACUGCUCGGGUAUGGCCAACACGUUGCCGUUUUGAAGUCAUGGAAGAAGACUUUAGACGGCGCCAUUUAAAUAAUCUGCCUAAAAUUUAAAAACCUAAUUGAUAUUAAACAAUCAUCUAAAAUAAAACUAACAAAACCUAAUCAAUUCUCUUUCUCUCUUGCGCUGCUCAGCCAACCAACGUUUGGAGGCCCCGAUUCCUCACUCACCUUCGAUUGCGACGGAGGGAGCAAAAGAUCAACCACCAGGUACACUCUUUGAUUUCUAACCUUCUAUUAUUGUAUUGAAUAGGGAACAAAAGAGCGAAGAACAAAAAAGGAAGAAAAAAAAGAAAAGCAAUCUAUUCACCUUUCAAUUUUUCUGAGUAUUUUUUCUUUUUGCAUUCAAUCUCUGUAAAAUGCGUAAAAAAAGAUCCAUUUUUACAAAUCUUGAUGGCUUUUAUAGCUAAAUUUUCAAAGAUGAAAAGAGAAUAAAAAAUACAAUGUUUUUCCUUUCUCUGCUACGCUAUUUUCGUCCCAUUUGCAGGUACGAAGGAGUGCAUACGUACGGAGGCGCGGUGACGUGGAGAGGACGCGUGGUGGUAUGGCUCAGCUACGUACGGAGGCUGGUCACGUGCGGAAGGCUUGGUAAGUGGCUAGCGGCGGCUGAGGCAGAUAGUUGUUUUAGGGUUUUAUUUUGAAAAUGUUUUAGGGCUAGGUAUGUGGGUCAAUGGUUUGGGCCUUUUUGGGCCGAUUGGUUAUUGUAAAUGGACUGCUAUUGGACUGUUGUUAAUUGUAAAUGGACUUUUAAUAUUUUUUACUUUUAUGUUGGUUUUAUUUAUUUUUUAGUGGUCCCGGGUCAAAAUUGGGCAUUACAGCUACCCUUAUUUGCUCAUUGUCGUGUAACGGGAAUGAAGCAAAGACUUUGAAAAUGGUCAAUUUUACCCGGUCAUGCUGGACCUUGGUGCUCCUCUUCAAGUAGCCUCAGUCCAUCCUAUUGUAUCUUUAGAGAUAUAGGAAUCGGUGCCUCGAUCCACUCCACUGCAAUGUCGGGGAGAUCAGAUUUGUAACUCAUAACUGUGAUGUCGGGGAAGCAAGAUUCGCCAUUGUAGCUUUAAUCUGUUCCGAUGCAUUAUCUGGGAAGUAAGAUUCACUGUUGUAGCUUUAAUAUUCUUGACUGCAAUGUCGGGGAAGCAAGAUUCGCCGUUGUGGCUUUAAUCUGCUCCACUACAUUAUCUGUGGGAUAAGGUCUGAAAUUCUUCGGUCUAUUCCACUGUAAUCUCAGGGAGAUAAGACCUGAUACGAUCUGCUUUACCGUAACUUCAGAGAGAAGAUCCUUUAUUUUAAUCUGCUCCACUGUAAUCUCAGGGAGAUAGGAUUACUAGCUUCAAUCUGCCCCGCUGUAAUCUCAGGGAGAUAAGAUCUAAAAUUUUUCGGUCUAUUCCAUUGUAAUCUUAGGGAGAUAAGACCUGAUGCAAUCUACUCUACUGUAACUUCAGAGAGAUAAGAUCCUUUAUUUCAAUCUGUUCCACUAUAAUCUUAGGGAAAUAGGAUUACUAGCUUCAAUCUACUCCGCAGUAAUCUCAGGGAGAUAAGAUUCACCAUUUUCGAUUAGCUCCACUAUUGCUUAGGGAGAUAAGAUCUGGAAUUCUUCGGUCUAUUCCACUGUAAUCUCAGGGAGAUAAGACCUGAUGUGAUCUACUCUACUGUAACUUCAGAGAGAUAAGAUCCUUUAUUUUAAUCCUCUCCACUGUAAUCUCAGGGAAUUAGGAUUAUUGGCUUCAAUCUACUCCGCUGUAAUCUCAGGGAGAUAAGACUCACCAUCUUCGAUUUGCUCCGCUAUUGCUCAGGGAGACAAGAUCUGUUAUAUUCACUGAUCUGUUCUCUGGAGAAUACGACCUGUACAAUGAACCUAAUUAUUCCUAAUGAUUAAGAUGGCAUGAUCAAAAUGUAUCAAAUGCUCCUAACUAGACAUGUGUGAAUGGUGUUUGCAUGAAUGCAGAAUUCUAUUUUUCUGAGAAUGACUCCGCUUUGUCAUUACACGAAUUUUAUUAAGGCUUUAACACUGACGUGCUUACAACGCCUUUUUGCUUAACCAGCUUUGUUGAAGAAACAUCUAGCCAGGUUGCCCCCAGUGUAAAUCUCAAAGUUUAAUCCAUUGGGGCGCAAAAAACCAUCAUUCUCCCACUGCAACACGAGGGUAGAAAUAUAUGUGGUUUUUAUCACAAUCCUCUCUUAUAACAAAUCAAGGAUAUAGGAUCUAAAAUUGUUUUGGUUCCCUACACCAUUCCCAGGGUGUCAUACCAAAUACUUAUGUGCAAAUGAAGGCUCUCUUCUCUGAGGUAACCUCUUUCUCUUGCCUGAUGAUUAUUGUUUGCUUGUUUAUUUAAACUUUGUCAUUAACCCGACAUCCUAUCAUUUUGUUCAAUCAAUGCAUUUGACAACAAAAUCCAAAGAGAAAGUCCAAAUUUAGACUCUUCGUUCUCAAAUUUCCAACCUUUAAAUUUGGUGUGUUCUAAACAAUAGUCCUGUUUCAGGCUCCUAUAUUAUUUAGAAACUUUUCAGAGUAAUAUGCAAAACUUCCUUUGUGAAAUUUUUAUUAGUCCAUUAAUCAUUAUUCCGAUGCAACAUGCUUGCAAAAAUGGUCAUAACAAUGGAUAAGAAUAAUGUUGGUUCUGGGCAUAGCUCAAAAUGAAUAAAUUAUCACAAAUAGUAAAGAAGGAUAAUAAAGGAAUUGAUUGGGAAUGUAUAUCUUGGAAAAGAAAAAAAUAUUCCAAGAACAACAAUUUCAAUAUAAAUAAUAGAAGAAUUGGGUGCCCCGAGGAUUGCAGCUUGAACUUCUCUGAACAAACUUUCUGAAGACCAUUUUGAGUUUGACAUGUGUUUAGGAGAUCUACAGUGCUUUUUCGAUGCCCCAAGAUAUCGCCUACCUUUCCCUGUUGAUUCAGGUAUAACAAGAUUACCACAUGCCCGAAGAUUCGAGUUUUUCUGAUCGCUUCAUGCCUCAUUUUGAUCAAUAUUUGAGCAACCAUUUUCGGGUUUUCAACUCAAAUCCCCUUUGGCCUAAGGUGCCCUUUGCGGGUUUUCUCCUUAGCCUCUCCAUUUUUACUUUUUCAUUUUUCAUUUUUCAUUUUUUUUUAAGAAUCAAAGUGCCCUUUGCGGGUUUUCACUUUGAUCCCUUUCCUUCAAGUGAAGUAUUUCUUGACUGAGUCUGAGUUUACAGGAUUUGGCAAGUUUUUUCCAUCCAUCUAACUUAGAAUCAAAGCUCUACCAGAAAAGGCCUUCUUUACGACUUAAGGACCCUCCGAAUUUGGCAUCCAUUUUCCUCUAAAUUCUUUUUGUAUAAGGAGAAUUUUCUUCAACACCAGAUCCCUUUCGGGGAAUUCUCUGGGACGAACCUUUUUGUUAUAGGCUCGCAUCAUCCGUUUUUGAUACAUAUGACCAUGUUGGAUGGCUUUUAACCUUUUCCCUUCUAUUAAGUUCAACUGGUCGUAUCGAGACUGAACCCAUUUUGCUUCAUCUAAUUUCAAUUCAGCUAAUACCUGAAGAGAAGGAAUCUCCACUUCAAUGGGUAAAACAGCUUCCAUCUCAUAAACCAGAGAAAAGGGUGUUGCCCCAGUAGAGGUCCUAGCAAAUGUUCGGUAAGCUAAGAGAGCAAAUGAUAGCUUUUCAUGCCAAUCCUUGUAGGUUUCAGUCAUUUUCCCCGCAAUUCUCUUAAUAUUCUUAUUGGCCGCUUCCACUGCACCAUUCAUUUUUGGGCGAUAUGGCGACGAGUUAUGGUGACUAAUCUUGAACUGACUACAAACUUCCGCUAUUGUGCUAUUAUUCAAAUUCAACACAUUUUCGGAUAUGAUUCUUUCAGGCAUUCCACUCGACAAAUGAUCUCCUUUUUUAAGAAUUUACUAACCGCCGAUUUCGUGACAUUUGAUAUGAAGCAGCUUCCACCCAUUUGGUAAAGUAAUCGAUGACCACAAAGAUGAAACGAUGCCCAUUUGAAGCCUUCGGUGAUAUUGGACCAAUAACAUCCAUGCCCCACAUGGAGAACGGCCAUGGAGCAGUCAUAACGUGUAGAGGUGAGGGAGGUACACGUAUCUUAUCUCCAUAAAUUUGACAUUUAUGACACUUCUUGGCAUAGCUAAUGCAAUCCCCUUCCAUAGUAGACCAAUAGUAUCCAAAUCUCAUGAUCUGUCUGGCCAUUGUAAAACCAUUUGCAUGAGUUCCGCAAAUGCCCUUAUGGACUUUUUCCAGGAUCUUUCUAGCCUCCACGGCAUCUACACAUCUUAACAGCACUUGAUCUUUCCCUCUCUUGUACAACACUUCCCCAUCUAAGACAUAUUCAAUGGCUAUUCUUCUCAGUGUUCUCUUGUCAUUUUCUGUCGCUUGAUCAGGGUAUUUUCGAUUUUUCACAUAUUGUAGUAUACUCUAAUACCAAGGGUGAUCAUUUUUUCCUUCCUCUUCAAUAUUGUAGCAAUGAGCCGGAACUUCAUAUAUGCUCAUCUAAAUAGGCUUCAUGAUUUCUAACUUGUUCACCUUAAUCAUCGAGGCUAGAGUAGCCAGUGCGUCAGCCAUCUCGUUUUCAUCUCGUGGAAGAUAACAGAAAGUGAUGUCAUCAAACUCGUCAAUCAAUUCAAGAACCAGCUCUUUAUAACUGAUCAACUUAGGGUCUCUGGUUUCCCAUUCUCCUUUGAGUUGGUAUAUCACCAAUGCGGAAUCUCCACACACUUUUAGCACUUUGAUUUUACGUUCAAUGGCCACACGAAUACCCAUAAUACAUGCUUCAUAUUCGGCCAUAUUUUUUGUGCAAUCGAAGUCUAACUUGCUAGCAACAGGAUAAUGAUCUCCAGUUGGGGAUACCAAGACUGCCCCAAUUCCAUUACCCAUAGCAUUUGAAGCUCCAUCGAAAUUUAACUUCCAUAUGUGGUCUAUUCGAGGGUUUUCUUCAGUGUUUGCCACAUACAUCAAGUCCUCAUUUGGAAAAUCGAAGUUCAAAGACUCAUAGUCUUCCAAGGCUCUGCUGGCUAGAAAAUCAGCUAUUGCACUUCCUUUUAUAGCCUUCUGACUUACAUAUACUAUGUCAAAUUCAGAGAGCAGAAUUUGCCAUCUAGCCAUUCUCCCAUUUAAAGCAAUUGAUUCCAUUAUAUACUUUAAAGGAUCCAACUUUGAAAUCAGCCAAGUCGUAUGAUACAACAUGUAUUGCCUUAGUCUUCGAGUUGUCCAAAUUAAAGCACAACACAACUUUUCAAUGGAUGAGUACUUCAUUUCACAAUCAGUGAAUUUCUUGCUGAGAUAGUAUAUUGCUCUUUCUUUCUUUCCUGUUUUGUCAUGUUGGCCCAAGACGCAUCCCAUGGAAUUGUCAAACACCGUUAGAUACAAUAUCAAUGGCCUAUCUAGACUAGGCGGUGAUAGUAUUGAAGCAUUAGCCAAGUAUUGCUUUAUCUUGUCAAAAGCUUUCUGACAUUCCUCAUCCCAUUCUCUCGGAUUAUGUUUCUUCAGAAGACGAAAUACUGGAUUGUAUUUCUCAGUCAAUUGUGAAAUGAACCGAGCAAUGUAGUUCAACCUUCCUAGGAAACCUCGGACCUCUUUCUGAGUGCUUGGAGGAGGCAGAUCUCGUAUUGCUUUAACUUUAUCCGGGUCAAUCUCAAUCCCCUUCCUACUGACUAUGAAGCCCAACAACUUUCCUGAUCUGGCUCCAAAUAUGCAUUUUGCUGGGUUGAGCUUAAGCUGAAAUUUUCUCAAUCUUAAGAAUAAUUUCCUCAAGACUCGGAGAUGAUCUUCUUCAGUUCUAGAUUUUGCAAUCAUAUCAUCAACAUAGAUCUCAAUUUCUUUAUGCAUCAUGUCAUGAAACAGGGCAUUACUUUGUAACAAAAUGUUCCCCAUAGGGUAAUGAAUGUGGUUUUCCUCAUAUCUUCAGGAUGCAACUUUAUUUGAUUGUAUCAAGAAAAGUCAUCCAUGAAAGAAAAUAAUGAGUAGCUAGCUGUAUUAUCUACCAAAGUAUCAAUGUGUGGCAACGAAAAAUUAUCUUUUGGGCUAGCCUUGUUCAAGUCCCUAUAAUCCACACACAUUCGUACCUUUCCAGCCUUUUUGGGAACAUGGACAAUAUUUGCUACCCAUUCUGAAUACCUGACCUCUUGUAAGAAUCCAACAUAUAACUGCUUUUUGACCUCCUCUUUUAUUUUCAACACAAUAUCAGGUCUCAUUCUUCUGAACUUCUGCUGAACUGGUUUACAAUCUUCUUUUAUAGGUAAACGAUGUACCACAAUGCUAGUAUUUAGCCCUGGCAUAUCCUGGUAUGGCCAUGCGAAAACAUCUUUGAACUCUCGGAGUAAUUUAAUGAGGUCAUGUUUUGUCUUUGUGGUGAUAUCAGUUCCGAUUUUCACCUCUUUUCCUUCCUCUAAGCUCACAAUUUCUAAUGAUUCCUUAUGAGGUAGGAUUUGUUUAUCCUCUUGUUCCACCAUUCUCAAAAAGUCCAGAGAUACACCACCGUCUUCGUCAUUUUCAAAGUCAUGAGAUCCUUCCAAACACAUGUCUUGCUCAAAAAAAGACUCUGUGUUUGAAACAGCAUCACUCAUGUCAUUGAUAUCUGAGGACUUAUAGGGAUACACCAAAGAAUAUACAAAAAUAUAUAAAUUUAUAAAUAAUUAUUUUUACAAUCAGGUUAUAAUGAAAAAAAAUCAUUUGGAAGACAAUCAAUCAAAUGGAAAAUAUUUACUUGCCUGGAAAAAAUAAAAGAAUAAUUGCUCGAAAUGAAUGCAAUGUAUUUUAUUAGAAUAAUGAUAUUCAGACUUAAGCCUAUUUCACAAAGGAUUUCUUAUCAUUCUUAGGCUAAAAACAACAAGAAUGUUUUGAACAUUACUCUGAAUAAGCUCUAAAGAAUACAGGUAUUUCUUCCGCAGUCCAAUUGUUUAGCUCACUCCCAGGUUCGUAAGGGCAAAUCUCCAACAUGGUCCUUAUUUCAGCUGUCUCUAUAGCAUUGAUAUGAACAUUUUCCAACAUCUCUUCAAUGCCUUCCCUUCUGGACACCCUUCGCUCAGGGUAAAUAAACCCACCCGACACAAAGGAUUUAGAUAUAUGGGGGAAAGUCAAAGGCUCCCACUUGACUUCCUCUCCGUUUAAACGUGCCCUUCUUCUCUCCUUCCUUUUCUCCACUUCUUUUCUCUUUUGUUUCAUAUCUAGCUUGUAACCUAAGCUAAAACGAUCAAACUUUUCCUUCAGCAUGGGUGCUUCAAUCCUUCCUUGAAGGUAUUUUCCCAACCCUUUCCCUGGCGAAGCUCCUCUUCCUACCAUCAAUUGUAGACCCAUCUCAGUAGUCUUGGAUAUCUUUGGUACUGGAAUUUUGUUUCCUUCAGCAAUAAACGUUGCGUUCACAAAUUCCAAGGACCGGAAAGAACAUUCCACUCCCUCAUCAUUGGUCUCUACAUAAGGUACAUCACGCGUUACCAUCGCAAUGAUAUCCUCCUCUGCACUUAUUGUUAUCAAUCGACCCUCUGAUAUUAGCUUCACCUUCUCAUGUAACGAUGAAGGUACUGCCCCUGCCGAGUGUAUCCACGGUCUCCCCAAUAAACAGUUGUAGGAAGGCUUAAUAUCCAUUACUAGAAAGUCCACCUCAUAAGUAGUUGGGCCAAUUCUUAAUGGUAUUUCAAUUCUUCCUAUAAACCCUCUUUCUGUUCCAUCAAAUGCCCUUACUAUAUUCUGGCAGACUUUCAUAUGUGAACUGUCCACAGGUAGUCGAUUAAGAGUGGACAAAGGCAAUACGUUCAAUGCGGAUCUAUUAUCGAUCAAAACCCCCGGUAAUGUGUCCCCCCGACAUCGGGUAGUAAUGUGUAGAGCUUUAGUAAAACCCCUACCUGCAGAUGGUAUUUCAUCAUCUUGAAGAAAAUAAAUUGUCAGCACUUAUAUUAUUGAUCAACCGAUCCAACUUAUUGACUGAAAUGUCAUUGGCCACAUAUGUUUCAUUUAGUACCUUCAUCAGUGCAUUUCGAUGUACUUCUGAGAUGAAGAGCAAAGCUAAUACUGAAAUACGGGCUGGCUAUUUGUGCAGUUGCUCCACAACACUGUAUUUGCUAUGUUUCAAGAACUUCAAGAAUUUCUUUGCUUCUUCUUCUUUUAUUGGUUCAUUAACCAAUGGCUAAGGUUCCGCUACCUUCCCUUUCCUCUGUUCUACUAUCAGAGUCUAUUCUCUUAGCAAUUCUACUUGAGUGUCAUAACGCUUCCCAUUACGUGUAUAAAAACCCCUUUCCUGAUAUUCUUUUACCAUAUUGCCCUCAACUUCUUUUCCUGGGAUUGUCACAUUGCAUCCGUAAUUCCAUUGGACCAUUUUGUCAUCCUUAUAUGUGAAACUUGACGGUUUGGUGAUUACAAUUUUUGGUGUUACCUGAACCCUAGCCUCAUUACUCUUAGGGCGUGAGAUAAUGACCACAAGAUGAUUUAUUUUCAGAGUCCCUAUCCCGACUCUGUCGCGUAUAUGCUCCUCCUUUCUUCCGCAUCUUCAUAGAACCUCAUCUCCUUGUUAUCCAUCAUGCUUUGAACCAAAGCCCUGAAUCCUUCACAUUCUUGGAUUUCGUGCCCUAUUUUAUGGUGGAAUUCACAAUAAUUUCCCAUCUCAUACCCUUCCUUAAAAUCUAAAAUAACUAACCCUCUUUUUGCCAUCUCUUUCUAGACCCGUUUCAAUGGAGUUUUUACUUCAGCAAUGUCAGUCUUGACUUCUUCCCCCGUACCUUCGCUCAACAUAUUCACUCCCUUAUCAUCAUGAUUAGGCAACAGAAUUUCUGUGUUGGGUGAGUCAUCAAAUUUGACAACACCCAAUUUGAUAAGUCCUUCCACUACCUUCUUGAAAGCAGUACAAUUUUCUGUUGAGUGUCCUAAAAUUCCCGCAUGAUAGUCACAUUGCGUGUUCGUGUCAUACCAUUUUUGAUAUGGGGGUUGUAGAGGACUCAAGUAACGAGGAGCAACAACAUGUGCAUUAAAUAAAUUCUGGUACAACUCUUUAUAUGUCAUUGGAAUGGGAGUGAACUAGGGCUUCUCAGUAUUUUGCCUCAUUCCCGAUUCUUGUUUCGAUGAGCCUUGUUGAUUAGCAACCAUCUUCCUUGGUUGAUUCACUGUAAUUGAUUUGCUGUAUGCAUUCACAUUGUUUACUUCACUUUCUCUUUUCUUUGGAACUGGCCUUCAAUUAUUCUCUCCACCAUCUAUUUUUCCACUUUUAAUAGCAUGUUCAAUCAUUUUUCCAUUCAUGAUUAUAUCCGAGAAACUCUUUGAGGCACUUCCUAACAUGUGCGUGAUAAACGGUGCCUUCAAUGUGUUGAUGAAAAGCAUCGUCAUUUCUUUUUCCAAAAGUGGUGGCUGAACUUGAACUGCAAUCUCUCUCCACCUGUGUGCAUACUAUCUAAAACUGUCAUUUGAUUUCUUUUCCAAGUUCUGCAAAGUGAUUCUAUCAGGCAUUAUUUCAGAUACAUGACUGUACUGCCUCAUAAAAGCCUGCGUCAAAUCCUUUCAACUGCUGAUUUUGGUCCAGCUCAAUUGGUUAUACCAUUUAGAUGCCGCCCCAAUGAGGCUAUCCUGAAAACAAUGUAUUAAUAGCUGAUCAUUGUUAAUGUACCUAGUCAUUCUCCUACAGAACAUUGUAAUAUGGGUUUUAGGGCAACUGGUCCCACUAUAUUUCUCAAAUUUUGGCAUCUUAAACUUGUAAGGAAGUACCAAAUCCAGAACCAGACUCAGAUCUUUUGCAUCUAUUCCAUGAUAACGUUCAAUGUUUUCUACUGCCUUAAACUUCUCUUCAAUCCAUUUCCAUUUCUCCUCAAACUGUUUUGGUAAUUCUUCAUUUUCUUUAUCCUUCUCAGCUACUUCAUCGAAAUCCGGGACAGCAAGAUUAAUCGGGUUCUCACCAGGGUUAGAACCUGAUCCAGCUUGGGAGUUCAUCGGUAUUGGAAUAUCGGCUUGAAACCGCUGAGGCCUUAUUGAAACAGAGGAUCUACGCGGAUGCACCUCAGUCUUAACCUGCGCAUGCGGAGGCGUAAAGCCUGGAGGAUAGGUGGGUCCAUUCUUGUCUUCUUCUUCAUCAUUAAUCAUAGGACUUUUCCCCUUAUUUAUUUCUUUUAGUAAUUGCGUCAGCUCAGUCAUCAUGUCCUUUUGAGACUCUAGCAUCCUUUCUGUCAUGUCAUGUUGAAUUUUUUCCAGUUGCUCAUUCAUUUGCAUCUGUAACUGAUCUUGCAUUUCCUUUUGAAGUCAUUCCAACUUUUCCAAUUUUUGAUCCAUAAUUUUUUAUUUUGCACGGGUACCGUAGCGGUGCUUGUUUGACGAGUUUUUGUUGGUUUCAAGAUCCGUUGCCUACAGCCUUGUAAUGCGUACUCCAAUUCUUCUAUCCUCUUUUUCAUUUCUUCAAUAUUGCACAGACUUGUCUUUAAUUCCACUACAGAAUUACGACUUCUAUACGAAGCAAGUGAUCUCUCGAGUUCUGCUAUUCUAGCUUUUAAGUCCGCUUGAUAGUUUUGAGUUUCUGACACCUGCCGUUCUAAGGUCUCUUUCUGAACUUGAGCCUCCCGAGACUUUCUUUCCCACCGAUCGGCUUUGUCUCUUUCUUCCUGGAUCUCCUGUUGCCUCUGCUUCGAAGUCUUUCCCAACCUAGCAGUUCUCAUUGAUAGUCGUAGCUUUUUGUACUCUGUCUAUAAGCUAUCUAGAUCCUCCUCGACUUUAUUCUUCCUUUUUUUUAAUUUUUCAGCUUCUAACUUUUGGACGUCAACGUCUAGCCUCAAAUGCAUCUUUUCUUCUUCCAACUGCUCUAUUUUCUUUUCGAGUUCUAAAUUCCUAUUUAUAAAAUAUUGUUUUAUAAUCUCUAACUCUGAUGGGAUCACUUGUAGGUACUCUUCCAUUGGUCGAACACCCUCCGAGUUCAACUCCGGAAUGUUAUCAUUAAUUCUUUUACCUCGCCACUCACCAUACUCUGGAGUUGUCAUCGAACCCACAGCUAGCCUUUUCAUCCUAUGAACCUGAUUCCAAGCCUAAGAAAUUUCUUUCACCUUUUUCUUGUAAUUGUCUCAUCGAUAUGAGAACUCACAUUGAGCUAAACCAUACGUUGCUGGCACAAACUGUCUUGAACUGUAUUGCCUUAGGACCAGCAAAGGUGCAGACCCGAUGGCUCCCCAAAUCCCAAGCAACGGAACCCAGUCAAAGCUUCCACAACCGUAGAGAAUUCCAUCAGGAAUCAACCAAGGAGCUCUCCAUUCCACGUCAUCCUCUUGAAGAUUUUGCAGAAUUGCUAUCCAAUUUUCUUCUAAUAUGUCGUCCCUUCUUGGCGUAGCCACUAUCUCUUUUAAAGGGGAGUAAUGCCCAGAGAAAACCCGAUACGAAACUUUUUCGACCUUCCAGAAAUGACUAUGGAACCAAGCUAUCAACAAUUGCGCACAACCUAUAAAUUUUCCUUCACCAGCUCGCCUACACGCAUUCAAAGAUCUAAACGUUUCAGCCAAAAUCACAGGAACAGGCGUGACCCCUUUACCCAACCGAUCAAAGAGAUCUAAAACCGCUUCGUCAACAUGCCCCAAUGCUCUAGGGAAAAUCACUAACCCGUAGAUACUCAAAGCAAACACAUCGACCUUCUUUUUCCCAUCAGGAUGUGCUAGGAUCAAGUCUUGCAAAUUCGUCCAUGGGAUACAUUUACACUCGCCCUUCUGUUUGAUCCUGGCCGUGAUCCAUUUUUCGUUUAUUCCCGUAAUACUCAUUAAUUUCUUCCAAAACACUAGGACAUAUGCGGCUCUGAAAUAUGCUUUAUCAACCUGAAGCCUAGGGCAGUGCAGUAAAGUUGUAUAUUCCUCCACUUUGGAACCAAAUCUACGUUCCCAAAAGUAAAACAGCUAUAUGCAGGAUUCUAAUAUUGAGCGAGAGCGUGAAACAAUCGUUCAUCACCUUAAUGUUAAGUAAGUACGGCAAGUCCCCAUAAUUAGAGUAGAACAACUGCUUGGUUUCAUCAUUCCACCAAUCCCAAAUCUCAUUUAACUACUGAAGGCUAUUUUGCGUCACACUAAAACGAGUGUAGUCCCAAAAAUCUGACACAUAUCCCUUAGCUAAAUUGUCUCCUUUCUCCAAUUGCACCUUCUCUGACCAUAUACGGACAAUGGCAUUGUCUUCCACUUUAUCAAGAAAUUCUUUUUCCAUGACAAUUUUCUAAUUUAGUAACUGAACUUGAAUCGACACUCUUUGAGAUAUGCAGUGACAUGCAAAAAUAUCAACAAAACACAAACAAGUCAGUACAACACAAAACAAAAUUCAAAGCAAGUAUAAGAAAAUCAAGCACCUAUUUGGACAAUCGCUAGAGUUUGGAGUAGUUCUACCUGGGUUAGGUUCCUAAGUCCACUAUAUGGAGUUUGGUUCUAAAGUUAAGGUACCCGAACUAGCAGAUUCCUUAUCUUCACCCAUUAUAGGCUCAUGCAGACCGAGUUCGGUUCAGGGGAAUACAUUUCCCUAUCGCUGCACGGAGAUGAAAAUCUCACGAAGACAUAGGUACGGAUGUAUCCCGAAAGUGAUCCACUAUCCUGUACGGAGGUGAAAACCUCACGAAGGAGUAGCUUUUCACUCCCAUUUAGAGGGGUAAGACCAAAAUAGCCUUUAUGCAAUAUGAUGCGAAGAUUUUUACAAAACUCAACCUACAAUAAUCAUACAAAUCAAAUUCAAAGAAAGGAUCGAAAUUUUUCAAAUCAAAUUUUCAAUUUUCGACGAUAAGACAAUUAAUUUUACGGCUUGACUCUCUAAAUCGAUUCCCCAGUGGAGUCGCCAAGCUGUCGAAAUCUCUUUUAAAUUUAUUUGAAAAAACGGGGAUCGACUUUAAAAAAUGAAAAUUGGAGUCGCUACCGAUCUUUAAUGAGGUGUGAUCGGAUCACCUUGAAAAUGAUUUUAGGUCUACGAAUUUUGAGAAAACUGGUUCGGGAGUCAGUUACACACGAGGAAGGAUUAGCACCCUCGUGACGCCCAAAAUUGGUACCGAAUUGAUUGUUUAAUGUCUUAGUGUCGAAAUUUUGAAAAGAUUUUAAAAUACGAUCCUUUGAAGUUUAAAUUUGAAUAAACCAAAUUGAAUAAUGAGACGCACUCAUUUCGAGGAAAUAAAUUGCCACACUCUGUGAGUUAGGUGCAGCAAUUCAAUCGUCAAAAUUAAGUAUGUCUUUUAAUUUUUAAAUUUUAAAAUUCAUGUAUUUUGAGAAGGUUAUUUGGUCAUUUAAGUCAAACGAGAAUUCAAAAUCCAAUAAGUUAGGGUUCAAUUUCUCGAAAUUCCUAAACAUCAAACAUUGCCUUUAUUUUAAAAUCCUUAACUCAAAGUAACAAAAUGUCAUAUCCAGUGAGUUAGGAUCCAACAAUUGAAAUCUCGAAAAACUUUAUUUAGACAUCGUAUGGUUUUAUUGCAAAAGAAAUACUUGGCUAUCUAAAUUCAUCAAAAAAAAUUGAAGCCCAAUAAGUUAGGGCACAAUACUCUCGAGAAUCGGGAAUACCAAGUAUUUUGAGAAUUUACGGAAUAAAAUGAUUUUAGUGCUUUAAUGAAACACAUUUUUUAAACAAAUGUAAUAUGAUUGAAUGACAAUGUAUGAUGUAAAAGAUAAUCGCAUGAGCAAUAGAUAAAUGCAAACAAGGAUAGCAACAAUGAUUUAAAUCAUAUUAUAGAAAUAUCAACAUCAAUAUUAAAACUAGAUAAAUCUAUGAUCAAUUUUAAAAGAUACGCCAAGAUGAUAAAAAAUCAUAAAAACAAUAUGUCCUACGCAUAGAAAUUUUAAAAUAAAUUACAUACAUAAACUCAAAAUAGACUUGAAAUAAAAUAAUAAUAACAUUUAAAAUAGUAUUAAAAAAUAUUAGGUAAACAUUUAACAUAUCGAUAUACUAAAAUAAAUUUUAAGAUAUAACCUAAAACAAAACAUUAAAAUAUGUACAAACUAUAUCAGAUUAUUGUAAAAAUAUAUAUAUCAAUAAUAUCGUGUCAAGUUUGAAAAUAAAAAUAUAUAAUGGACCCUUUUUUAAAAAAAAUAAUGUAUGAUAAAUUUAAAACAUGUUAAUUUGGAAUAUUAAAAUAAUAUUAGAAAUAAAAACUAAAUUUGUCAAAAUAAGAACUAAUUUGAUUUAAAAUUAAACUAAUAAAAGUUUAGUUAAAAUUGAAACACAAUCAAAAGAAAAAUAAAACAAAAAUAAAAUAAACUAGAGGAACGAAAAUUAAAUUGAAAUUAAAACAAAACUAAAUAGGCAAUAAACAUAAAUAAGAAUAAAAGAAAGACUAAAUUCGAACUUGAUUUAAAAACUGAGGGACCACAACAGCAAAUAAACGCAUACUUCUGAAGAUUUUAAUCUUAUUGAUGGAAACGACGUCGUUUGCUUGCGGAUCAAAAUAGAAUUAGAAUAAAAUGUGCAGUAAGAUUUGAAUACCUUGAAGAGAAACUGAUUUGAAAUAGAAUACAAAGAAAAGGGACCUAAUGCGAAAUAAACCAUUUCUCAAGACGCGCGGAUCCUUCCCACGAAUUUGGUCACCGCUCGGGUAUGGCCAACACGUUGCCGUUUAGAAGUCAUGGAAGAAGACUUUAGACGGCGCCGUUUAAAUAAUCUGCAUAAAAUCUAAAAACCUAACUGAUAUUAAACAAUCAUCUAAAAUAAAACUAACAAAAACCUAAUCAAUUCUCUUUCUCUCUUGCGUCGCUCAGCCAACCAACGUUUGGAGGCCCCGAUUCCUCACUCGCCUCCGAUUGCGACGGAGGGAGCAAAAGAUCAACCACCAGGUACACUUUUUGCUUUCUAACCUUCCAUUAUUGUAUUGAAUAGGGAACAAAAGAGCAAAGAACAGAAAAGGAAGAAAGGAAAAGAAAAAAAAUCUAUUCACCUUUCAAUUUUUCUGAGUAUUUUUUCUUUUUGCAUUCAAUCUCUGUAAAAUGCGUUAAAAAAAAAAGAUCCAUUUUUACAAAUAUUGAUGGCUUUUAUAGCCAAAUUUUCAAAGAUGAAAAGAGAAUAAAAAUACAAUGUUUUUCCUUUCUCUGCUGCGCUGUUUUCGUCCCAUUUGCAGGUACGGAGGAGUGCAUAUGUACGGAGGAGCGGUGACCUGGAGAGGACGCGUGGUGGUAUGGCUCGGCUACGUACGGAGGCUGGUCAUGCGCGGAAGGCUUGGUACGUGACUAGCGGUGGCUGAGGCAAAUAGUGGUUUUAGGGUUUUGUUUUGAAAAUGUUUUAGGGCUACGUAUGUGGGUCAAUGGUUUGGGCCUUAUUGGGCCGAUUGGUUAUUGUAAAUGGACUGCUAUUGGACUGUUGUUAAUUGUAAAUGGGCUUUUAAUAUUUUUUUCUUUUAUGUUGGUUUUAUUUAUUUUUUAGUGGGCCUGGGUCAAAAUUGGGCAUUACAUGUGAGAUAGACAUAAAACUGUAGCGAACAAAAUAAAACCAUACCUUUGCUACUGGUUUUAAAUAUUUAUAAUGACAAGAAUGGCUUCUAUACUUUCUUAUAAUCCAUUGGGAUCCCGGAUUUGUCACAACAUUAAGCACUUGUUGAAAAAAAUCUCAUUUGAUAUUGUUCAUCAUAGGGUAGUACUCAUCUUCCUCAACAUCAGGUAAAUUAAACAAAACAUUGAUGGACUUAGAAGUAAGAGAUACCUUUUUCUUUCAAACGAUGACUUCAAUAGCAUCUUGUGUAGUCAAUCUAGUAUAGAAUUCUCAAACUAGUUCAUCAUCGGGAAGUGAACGAGCAUCAAAGAAUCGUUCCCACUUAGAGCAUUGAUUAUCUUUAUAAUUGGCACAGGGACAACCAUCACAUCAUUGCUCUUCAGGUUAAAACAUUUUUCCGGCAUCAUAUGUUGAUGCUUGAAAAUUGAAUCAAAUAGCUCUUUCACUUCUUCAUCGAUCAAAAUCUAGUUUUCAGAAGUAGUUUUUAACGAUCUAGUUCUUUUGCGAGGCAUGGUAUUUUCCCGAAAAUUUGGCAAAGUUUUUGCUUGCAGAGGUAAAAGAGGGUGGAUCUUGCUUCGACAAAGCUUACGAUGGUGAAGGUGUUGUGGCGGCGACAAAUACGUGCGGCAGCAAUAGUGGUAUGCGGUGGCAAUAAUGAUUGCAUGCGGCAGCGACGUCGAUGCUUCGGCAAUUCUCUUGUGGCGGCACUAGGUAGUUUCAGCCAAAGAAAAGAAAAAGGGCUAGAGAUUCCUUUUGGGAUCUGAGGCUAGUGGCACAAAAAGAGAGAUUUUAAGGAAUUUUAGGGUGUAAGUAAAUUACUUUGAGGGAUAUGAAAAUUUAGUAGAAUAAGGAGGGGUUUAUAUAGGAAAAUAUUAGGGCAACAUGUAGCAAAAAAAUUAGCUAAAUUAAAGUUACUUGGGCGGCAAGUAAUGGGUGUGACGGCAAGGGUUAAAUUUUCCCUCCUUUUUGCUAUCUUGGGCCUCAAACUCAGACUGUAUCUCACUAAAAAAUAAAUUAUUAGUACUUGGGCCAAAUUUUGACCCCCUUUAUUAACAUAAAAAUUUAAAAUUUAACAAAAUAAUUUAAACUAGAAAAACAUUUUAAAACCUAAUUAGAAGAUCUCUUCUUAACAAAUUACAUUAAAUUAAUUCUCAGGAAAGGUUGGAGGGGUCAGAGCGGUCCCACUUAAGUUUCAAUCUCCUUAGACAGAAUUAAUUAAAUGAACUUAAUUAAGAAAAAUAAAUUCUAAUUAUUUAUUUAUUUACAAGACGAGUUUAUGAAAAAUCAAGGGUCUGUUAAUUUGAACGAAAAUUCAACUCGCUCAACUUCACCAUCCUAGUAGUGUUUGAGACAUUGACCAUUAACUUUAAACGUACCUCCGUAAUUGUCGUAUAAUUCAAUAGCUCCAUAAGGAUAAACUCGGUGGAUGGUAUAAGGUCCUUUCCAUUGGGAUUCCAUCUUCCCAAGAAAUAACUUCAGCAUUGAAUUAAACAAUAACACCUUCUGACCUUCUUUAAACUCGCGAGGUUGUAUAUGACUAUCAUGCCAUCUUUUUUAUCUUUCUUUACACAUUUUGAAAUUCUAAUAGGAAAGAAACCUUAGCUCUUCCAACUCAUCAAGUUGAAACAUCCUUCUCUCACCGGCUUGCUUAAGAUCAAAAUUUAACUACUUCAAAGCCCAGUGAGCUUUAUUCUCCAAUUCUAAUGGAAAAUGACAUGCCUUUCCAAAAACUAACCGAUAAGGAGUCAUUCCUAAUGGAGUCUUGAAUGUUGUUUGAUAGGCCCAUAAUGCAUCAUCGAGCCUUCGAUACCAAUCUUUUCUGUUAGGGCAUACUACCUUUUCAAAGAUACCUUUGAUUUCACGGUUCACUCUUUCAACUUGUCCAUUAGACUGGGGGUGAUAAGCAGUAGCAAUCUUGUGCUUCACAUCAUAUUUGUCAAGCAACCACUUAAGCUAUUUGUUCACAAAGUGAGAACUUUCAUCACUAAUAAUAGCUCUUGGUAUCCCAAAUCGUGUAAACACAUGCUUAUGUAGGAAUUGCAUGACUACCUUAGCAUCAUUUGUAGGGUAUGCUUCAGCUUCAACCCACUUGGAUACAUAGUCCACAGCAACUAAGAUGUAUUUGUUCCCAUAUGAAGAAGGAAAUGGGCCUAAGAAGUCAAUGCCCCAUAUGUCGAACAAUUCAAUCUCUAAAAUGUUUGUCAAGGGCAUCUCAUUCAUCCUUGAUAUAUUUUCGGUUCCUUGGCACUUAUCACAGUUCUUCACAUAAGCGUAAGCAUCUUUAAAUAGUGUAGGUCAAAAGAAACCUGCUUGCAAAAUCUUUGCUGCAGUACGUGAACUACCAAAGUGUCCCUCACUUGGAGAUGAAUGGCAAUGAUAUAAGAUCUCAGCAAUCUCACUUUCAGCUACACACUUUCGGAUUAUAUUAUCUGCACACUGUUUAAAUAAAAACAGAUCCUCCCAAAAAUAAUACCGACUAUCAUGAAGGAAUUUCUUCUUUUAUUGGUAUGUCAUUUCUCGAGGAAUUAUUCCACAUGCAAGAUAAUUGGAAAAAUCAGCAAACCAGGGUAUUUCAUGAAUUCGAGUUACCUCAAAUAAGUGCUCAUCUGGGAAAUUCUCGUUGAUAGGCAUACCAGACUGGGUUACCUUAUCUUGCUCCAACCUCGACAGAUGAUCAGCUACUUGAUUUUUGAUACCUUUUCUAUCUUGGAUCUCAAGGUCAAAUUCUUGGAGUAAAAGUAUACAACGAAUUAGCCUUGGUUUUGCAUAUUUCUUCGUGAGCAAGUAUUUAAUGGUUGCAUGGUCAGUAAAUACUGUAACUUUGGUACCAAUAAGAUAUGAACAGAAUUUGUCAAAAGUAAAAACUAUAGCAAAUAGUUCCUUUUUAAUUACCGUAUAAUUGAGUUGGGCUCCCGUCAAGGUUCUACUUACAUAGUAAAUGGGGUGGAAUACUUUAUUUCUUCUUUGACCCAUCACAACUCCAAUAGCAUAAUCACUUGCAUUGCACAUCAACUCAAAAGAUGAGUUCCAAUUAAGUGUAACGAUUAUUGGGGUUGUAAUUAACCGAUUCUUUAGAUCUUCAAAAGCUUCCAAACAUGCUUUGUUGAAAUUGAACAUUGUAUCUUUCUCUAACAACAAACAAAGCGGCUUAAAAAUUUUCGAGAAAUCCUUGAUAAACCUUCGAUAAAAACUGGCAUGGCCUAAGAAACUUAUGACUCCUUUCACAUUAAUAGGGGCCGGUAAUCUUUCAAUUACGUCCACCUUUGCUUUGUCAACUUAAAUUUCUUUCUUGAGAACUUGUGACCUAAGACAAUUCCUUCAUUGACCAUAAAAUGGCAUUUUUCCCAAUUAAGGACAAGAUUCGUCUCUUCGCAUCUCUUUAGUACCUUAGCCAAAUUACUCAAACAGAUAUCAUAAGUGUUACCAAAAACAAAAAAAUCAUCCAUGAAAACCUCGACGAAAUUUUUGACCAUAUCAGUAAAUAUUACCAUCAUGCAUCGUUGAAAAGUUGCAGGUGCAUUGCAUAAACCAAAAGGCAUGCACCUAAAAGCAAACGCACCAUACGGACAAGUAAAGGUUAUUUUAUGUUGGUCCUCCGGGGCUACAACUAUUUGGUUAUAUCCCUAAUAGUCAUCUAAAAAAAUAAUAGAAUUCAUUACCUGUCAGUCGAUCUAACAUCUGAUCCAUAAAAGGCAACGAAACUAUGCAGAUAACAGAUUUUGGUUAGGAUUGUUAUGCAACCUGCAAUUUAAUCAGGUUAGGAUCUAAAUUGAGCAUGCACAUUUCAAUUAUGCGUCCAUUAGCCGUCGUCUGGUUAGGAUCGCUCAGCUAAUUCACGUGCAUUUCAAUCUAAAAACUAUAUAGAUAACAGGUGCAUUAGCCGUCCCUUGAGCUUUUGUCACACUUCUUCUCUGCACUCAAUGAAACAAAACACAACAUAAAAAUAUAAGCACCAUUUCUUUUAUUACUUUUUCUACUAAAAUGAGUUUUUUUUUCUCGUAAAAAACCUAGGAUGGGGAGAGGGUUUUAAAAUUCAAAGCCUUUGAAAUAUAUGAGUUUGAGGUUGUUAAUAUUAUUUUAUAUUGUUGAAUAGUAAAUUAAUUGUAUUGGUGGUUUAACCUAUUGGAUCGAGAAUUAAUGAUUUGAUUGAUUUGAGUUUGGGCUGCUCACUAUCUUGACUGCAUUUAUCAUUUAAUUCUUUUUUUAAUUAGCCAAACUCAUGUUAACAAUGGUAUAACAGUAAUUAAUGACUUCAUGGACAGAACAUCAAUAUAUAAAUACACAAACAAAUAUAAUGGGAAUUGGAGAACUCCCAUUUAUACAAACAAAUAUAAGUGGGCAAAUUCAAUACUCAUAAUAAAUACACAAAGAUAACUAAAAACAUUAUUAAACCAGAUCCAGUAUGCAGCAUACAAGAAAAAGGGGGUAUUUCAAGGAGUAGAACGAGAAGGUGGUGGAGAAAAGGAAGGAAUAGAGGGAACUGCAGUUGGGAUUGAGGGAAUGCUUGGCAGAGGCGGCAGUCCUCUUGGCAAUGUGGUAGGAAGUGGAGGAAGCGCCCCAGGGUUUGUGAGAUUAGGGAUAGAUGGCAAUGGCGGAAAAGAGAAAGGAAUAGGGGGAAUUGCAGUUGGGAUUGUGGGGACUGAGGGAAUGCUUGGCAGAGGGGGCAGUCCUGUUGGGAAUGUGGUAGGAAGUGGAGGAAGCGCCCCAGGCCAUGAGAAUGAUGGUCGGGAUGGCGUUGGGAGAUUAGGGAAAGAUGGUAAACUUUGCGUUCGAGGCUGCUGCAGAAGGUGACGAGCUGCUACCCCAACAUCAAUGCUUGCAAAUGACAAAGCAAUCAAGAAUGCUAAAGCAAAGCAAUUGAAAGAGGCCAUUUUUGUUCAAAGAUUUCGAAACAAAUGAAGCAGAUGAAACGAAGUUCUUUAUCUGAAUAGUUGUGAGUGAGGAAAACAAAGCAUGGUAUUGAGGUUUAUAUAGGCAUUGGAGUAGUGAAUAGAAAUCCCCUGCCCCUAAACAAUGCCCCAUGCAUGCCCCCAAACCAAAAUAGCGCCACAUGUUUUUUAUUUUUUCCAUUUUAAUUGUAGUUCAUUUUUAAAAUAAAAAAUUUAUAGUGAUUUGAAUUAAUUUUUAACUUAUUAUCAACGUUUUUAUUUUUGUUUUAUUUUUAUUUUACAUUAAUUUUACCUAUUCUUUAAUUAACAAAUUUAUAAUGACUUAGAGUUUAUCUAAUAGAGUUUUUUUUUUAUAAUCGGUCUUAUGAUAAAAUUUUAUAAGGUGGGAACAAGUCCCACAGUGACAACAUGAUCCUUCAAUUUUUGGUGGUGGCAUGCCUUUAGUCAAAGGAUCAGCCAACAUCUGCUCAAUGCUAAUGUGCUCAAUGACCAAUUUCUUGUCUUUAACAUGUUUCCUUAUGCCUAGGUACUUAAAGUCGAUAUGUUUACUUCAACUUCCACUUUUUUCGUUCUUAGCCAUAAAGACAGCAGUUGAAUUGUCACAAUAUAUGAAAUAAUCAAAACCCAUAAUGACUCAGCCUAAAAAUCUCGAGCUUCAAACCCAAAUUAAAUUAAAUCAAAACCAUAAUUUAUUAUGUACAAUUGCACAAAAUUAACAUAAUUUAAGUGUGUCAUAGUGCGCGUUAAAUUAAAGUUUACGUUUGACAUUAUAGAUAAUAUUCACGUGUAAAAUUUUGAGAUUUAUUCCCUUAAUUAAUGUAAUAUGUCAAAUAGAAUACUUGAACAAUCCUCCAUGUUGGCAAAGUUUAUGUUAAGUAGUAGAAGCGAACUAAAUAAUGAGAAUAAAUCUAAAGUAUGGCAUACAUAUAAUUUAUUCACAAUGUGACUUAAACUUUGUCCUUCAAGAUUUCACGGUCUCAAUUUAUGUCUUAAAUUUUUAAGAUCAUUUUAGGUUUGUUAAAAAAUUAAAAGUUUAGAAAGUUAGAAUUGUUGCUUGAGGCGUGAAUAUCCCUAUUCUUUAGGAUAUUUGUGGAUUUACCAUCUCUCAGGAUUUCUUUUGUAUCAUGCACAAUGAAAAAAUUGAAAAAAAAAUUUCCCAUUUGAAUGGAAUUGAGCUAUUAGGCUCAAGCCUCGUGUGCGCAUAUAUAUUCUCUUAUUUUGAGUCUUACAAGUUUAUAGUAAACCAAAUCUAUAUAAACAUCAUUUAAUAGGUCAAUCUAAAAUAUGUUUAAUAUGUGUAAUUCUUUAAAAUAGAUGAAAACUUCAAAUAUGGUUUAGGUCAUUUUCAGAUUUGUCUUAUUUUAGGUUCAAAUUAUUCGAAUUUGAGGCUACGUUUUUCAUGUCUAAUCAUUAUUGAUCCGAAUCAUUUUAGAUUUUGAUCAUUUUAAGUUCCAAUUAUUUUGUGAUCAAAUCAUUUCAAGUUUUGAUAAAUUUGGGUCGAUUCGAAUUUGACUUAAUUACGUAGUUAACUUUUUUUAUACUGAACUGAGCUGAAUGAAAGUUAGAUUGGAAUUUAUUUAGUGUGCCUUUGUGUUUAAGUCGAAAUUUAAACAUCUCCCUUCAAAAUAAACAAUUUAAGACAAUUUUAUUUUAAAGACAAUAAUACAACAUAGUUGAUUUGGGAGAUAAACAUGUUAAUUUUUUAAUCCCAACCAAAAUUGUACAUAAUUCUUUUAUGCCAUAUUAAAUACAUGCAACGUCUUAUAAAAAUUGUAAAUAAAUUAUGCCUAGCGACAACGUUAUUCAACUCUAAUUUCAUGGUUAAUACCUAUUUCUAUUUUUCUUCUACUGUCUUCAGCUUUAAAUAUAAAGGGAUUGAAAUUUUAAGAAUUGAGAUUUCUUUUCUCUGUAUUAGUGGACGUUUGAUUUUUUGUUUGAUUGUUUUUUUUACUGGAAUUGGCACAUAUCUUUUCAGAUUUAUCAAUAUUUUUUUAAAUUUAUUUAAGAUAUGUAUAUCAAUAUAUUACAAAUAUAAAAUAAAUGAAACUAAAUACAUUUCAAAUAUAAAAUAUUUAUUAAUAAACUGAACAAAUAAAAAUUUAUCAUUCUAAUAAAUCCAAAAUUAUUAAUAACAAUCCAUCAUUUAAUAUGAAAUUUUAUGGAUUUAGCUCAUUUACUUAAUAAAAGAAGCUGAAAGGUGGACGAAUAUAUUUUUUCUUUGAUAAUCGGGUGAACGGUUUUUUCUUAAUUAUAUUUUGAAUGUGAAAGUGUAUUCCAUUUUUUAAAAAACUUUACAUUCUGAUGUAACAUUUUUAAUUAGCCACGUUUCAAUUAAGUUUUUGGCAUAAUAGUAAAUAAUUAAAAGUUUAAUAUUUUUAAUGUUAUUCAUCCACAGGACUGUGCAUUAUGUUCUGGCAAGUGUGACAGGAAUUGAUCGGAAUGAGUUGGUGCAAUUUGUACGGACCGAAAUUUUCACCAGUGUAGAAAAAGUGUGUUGGGUGUUUUGCAAUGUUAUUGAAACCAAACUAAACAGACCAAGAACCGAUGAACCCGAGGACUAGAGUAAACUGCAGUUAAACUGCAAAUCAUCAGCCGAUUAAGUCGUAUUUUAACAUUUUCUAAACUGGAAAGAAGAAAAUUUCACUUCAAGGCCCUUGAGCUUUUGUCACACUUCUUCUCUGCACUCAAUGAAAUAAAACACAACAUAAAAAUAUAAGCACCAUUUCUUUUAUUACUUUUUCUACUAAAAUAAGUGUUUUUUUCCUCUUAAAAAACCUAAGAUGGGGAGAGGAUUUUAAAAUUCAAAACCUUCGAAAUAGAUGAGUUUGAGGUUGUUAAUAUUAUUUUAUAUUGUUGAAUAGUAAAUUAAUUGUAUUGGUGGUUUAACCUAUUGGAUCGAGAAUUAAUGAUUUGAUUGAUUUGAGUUUGGGCUGCUCACAAUCUUGACUGCAUUUAUCAUUUAAUUCUUUUUUUAAUUAGCCAAACUCAUGUUAACAAUGGUAUAACAGUAAUUAAUGACUUCAUGGACAGAACAUCAAUAUAUAAAUACACAAACAAAUAUAAUGGGAAUUGGAGAACUCCCAUUUAUACAAACAAAUAUAAGUGGGCAAAUUCAAUACUCAUAAUAAAUACACAAAGAUGACUAAAACCAUUAUUAAACCAGAUCCAGUAUGCAGCAUACAAGAAAAAGGGGGUAUUUCAAGGAGUAGAACGAGAAGGUGGUGGAGAAAAGGAAGGAAUAGAGGGGACUGCAGUUGGGAUUGAGGGAAUGCUUGGCAGAGGCGGCAGUCCUCUUGGCAAUGUGGUAGGAAGUGGAGGAAGCGCCCCAGGGUUUGGGAGAUUAGGGAUAGAUGGCAAUGGCGGAAAAGAGAAAGGAAUAGGGGGAAUUGCAGUUGGGAUUGUGGGGACUGAGGGAAUGCUUGGCAGAGGGGGCAGUCCUGUUGGGAAUGUGGUAGGAAGUGGAGGAAGCGCCCCAGGCCAUGAGAAUGAUGGUCGGGAUGGCGUUGGGAGAUUAGGGAAAGAUGGUAAACUUUGCGUUCGAGGCUGCUGCAGAAGGUGACGAGCUGCUACCCCAACAUCAAUGCUUGCAAAUGACAAAGCAAUCAAGAAUGCUAAAGCAAAGCAAUUGAAAGAGGCCAUUUUUGUUCAAAGAUUUCGAAACAAAUGAAGCAGAUGAAACGAAGUUCUUUAUCUGAAUAGUUG
rnacentral:lncRNA from 1 species